rnacentral:lncRNA from 1 species
UUUUUUUGAUAUGUUGUAUAUGUAUUUUAUCUCCGCCCUAGAUCUAAUAAUUAGAUACGAGCAUAAAUAAUCAUUUUGCCGUUCUAAUUAAUUUUAGUAUCAUUUUCUUCAAUGAUACUGUGAACUAAUCACGGAUGUCGAAAUUUAACUGUUGCUAAACACUAAACUCAGAUUUUAACCUAUCACCAGAAAAUAUUUAAGUAGUCACUCUCCCAUUUUUCAAGGUGACAGUUCUUGACAGGAAUUCAUGUUUUUUACUUUGCUCAUUCUCAAGUUUUCAACUCAUCGAGAUAUUUGACCAAUAAAAAUGAUCUCACCCAUUGAUGAAUCAUAGGACCAUUAAAAUCAUGAAAAUAUAUACAUAAUCCCAUCAAGAGAUUUAAAUGAAAUACACAGCGGUCAAAUGGAAUUUAAUUCUCCGAAAGAUCAUGUUAUAAAAUUAAAUUCAGCACAUGGUUCGCUCAAUACACUCCAAGUGUACUAGUGUCACAUUUAACUAUUUCUAUGAUAAGGACAAAUCACAAACUUGAAUAGUGAAUCAAUCAACACUACAAACUUUCAGUACUAGGUGCCAUCAUAGGCACUUUAAUUCGCAUGCUCAAUAAAUAAAAUAAAAAACAAUUUGAUAUAAGAAUAUUGUUAUUUUUUACAUCAGCAAAGCUAUAAUAUAUAGGCACACAACCCAAUAACCACCACCACCACCACUAUUACUAGUAUAUUCAGUGUUAUAUCGUCGAUGUUGUCGCUAGUACUACCUAUCUGGAAACACACUCUUUUUGACAUCUCGAAUGAGAUAGAUGAACUUUUCGCCAUAAAAAAAUGAUGAUGUGAAACUGGUUGUUCUAUUUUGUUGUUGACGAUGGUGAUGAAUAGGGGAUUUGGGAUGGAAUCGUAGGACUACAGAUCUGAACAUGACUAUUCUCUAAGAGCCUUUCCUCUUCGACAACAAGCACUUCUCAUAGUUCUUUCACCUCAGUUAAUGAUGUCGUUGUUGCGUCUGUUGUUUCUGGUUGUGUUGUUCUGUGUUUCCAAUGGUGGUGAAUUGGGAAUUUGAGAUGCGAUCGUUGGAUGGCUAUAGAUUUGACGAUCAAUGAUGGUUGUUGAUAAUGUACAUGUAGUGGAGGAAAUAGUGGCUUGAUAGGGUAGAUGUGUGGUGUACUUGAGGUGAGGUGAAGUUGGUAAUGUGGUUGAGGUCUAUGUGGUGGUAUGGUGGAGGUAAGGGUGUUACUGGCCUUGAGUUAUGAAUAAGCAUUUAUGGUGGUUUCGAUGAUGUGCAGUGUUAGUAGGGUGGAGUAGGUCCUCAACUUUUGCUUGUUUUCGCACUUAUAACCUCAAUCUUCUCAUCUCUUAAAUGUUUAUUAAUUAACACAUCUUGUCCCCAUUGACGGUUAAAAGUCCAUAUUAUGAUGAGUGAAAAGACUUGUUUACCCCUUGAUUUUUAAAUAAAUAAUAUAAACAAUACAGACAAAGUUCAACAAAAAAUUUGUAAGCUAAACAUUAUCCGAUAAAAAAAUGGUUCUUAUUAGUUAAAGAUUGAAUAUAAGAAUGUGGUGAAAAAUUUAGAGAAUUAAUUAUCAAAAUUAAAUGAAAAUUGAAAACCAUUAUUGCAGUUUAAAUGUGGUACAAUUAACAAAAAACAGUUAUGUUAAUAUAGAUAUUGUUAGGCAAUUCGUUGUCAAACGAUCUCCCUGUGCUAUGAUGUUAUUCGGUUUUAGUUUUUAGUCGGUUUAGCCAAAUGACUGAACAGAAAUAUAACGCCACAAUCGAGACGAUACGACCCAAAAGUUAAUUGGGCCACUCGAAGCAACCUAAAUAUUCUAGUGUUGCUCGUGGCCCAUUUCGCUUUCUUGGAUGGCCACAAUUGAGAGAGAUUACUUGUGAGCCCAUUUACUUAUUGGGCCUCUACUUUGACCCAUUUAUUAACCUAGCUACACUUACCAUACUUGGGCCAUUAUUACUUGAUAAAAUGGGUCUCCUUUUCUCUUUAUGAGAGACGUCAUCUGCCUCUCUCGUGUUUGGCUAUUUUUUUCAAGUUUUCUUCUACUCUUAUGCCUUCUUUUGAUUUCUACCUAUAAUGGUGAUAAUAUAUGAGAUAUGGUGCACAUUUGUGGUCUCCUAAGUGAAAUAUCUCAUUGGUAACCGAAAGUGGAAGCUUUGUUAUUUUCUUGGAUCGUUGUUGUAAGAUUGUGGUGUCAAUAGUUGGAAGAAAUUGAGCCCGGGCAAGCUUUGGUGCUCCAUAUACGUUCAACAUCUGGUAUCAAAGCUUGGGUUAUUGAAAUCCAGCAAGAAUCAGAACAAAAAUUGGAAGAAUAGGGCGAUUUCUUCAACCCUCCCAAAUCCGAAAACUUUAAUUACUCCGUUGGACAAACAGAGGUCGGACGCAUACUCGGUAGGCCGAGGCAACCAUGGUGGCGACGCGUGACGGAGGCCAAUCAUAGCGCAUGGGUAGUCCCGGGGCGCGAUUUUCUCUGCCCUUCAUUUAUUUUAAUCUCAUGAACGUACUGAUGUGUUUGGUUUAGUGUUUUAGGUUGCGAAGAAAAUUUUGGAUGAUUUUGUCCCUGACCCCAAUAUGCAUUUCUGGCUGAUUGAAAUUGACACUUUUGCUGAAUCUUUAGGGUAAAUAGUGGUGUCCCUAAAGCAGUAAAUUCGCAUCUCUCCACUUUACGAAAUCAGAUAGGUCUACUUUGGUAAAUUGGCUAAAACAUUUACAUUAACACACUAGUAGAUCAUCGUGUGGGGGAUCAUCAAAAUUGUGGUUUGUCAUUGCUUGGCAUCGAUUGCUUGUGCUAGAAAUUAGGAUUACUUGCUCUUAACUUAUUGAUUGAGUACCUGUCUUUUGGUUAAAUCAGUAUUUCGUUCUUAGUAAUAUAAUUGCUGUGAAACUGGUUAUUUGUUAGACGUACAUUUUGUUGCAUUGUUACAUCCGCUGCUUAUUAAUUCCGUUAGAAUUAUCAAGAUCUUACCCGUUCAAACAUUCCCGUUUUCUAAGACCGCAAGUUAUACGAAACCUUGGGAAUCUAGAACGGUAUAUGCUGUCUGUAACCCUAGGACUAUUUUGUGUAGUUUGAUUGAGUUUGGUGCAUUUUUGGCUAUUCUGUAAAGGUGACAACUUCCAACUUUGAUUUAGGAAUUUUUAACGAAAAAGGUGAUUUUUCUAUCUGUUAACAAAAGAUGAAGGGUAUUUUGAUCCAACAAAAAGUUUCAAAAGCCAUAGAAGGCAAUUUUUCAACUGAUUUUUCAAAAGAACAAAAGGAAGAAGCCGAUGAGUUUGCAUAUAUCUUAAUCAUUUUACACUUGUCUAAUGUCGUUUUGAGAAAGGUAGGUAAACUGAAAACCAUCAAAGAAUUUUAAAAAAAAUUGGAAGACCUAUAUUUUCUCAAAUCUAUAUCGAAUAAACUUUACUUACUUGAACGCUUUUUCAGUUAUAAAAUGGAUCCUUCAAAGGAUCUCGAUGACAAUUUAGAUAUAUUUAACAAAUUGGUGCAAGAUAUUAUUAAUUGUGAUGAGGCUGUGUCUGAAACUAUAAGACCAUAAUCUUGCUCAAUUAUAUUCCUGAUUCUCAUAAGGAAGUUAACAAUAUCAUUAAGUAUGGUAGGGAUACGUUGACACCUGAAAUUGUCAUGGACUCUCUCAGGAGUAAAAAGAUGGAAAUUAGGGUUGAAAAACAUGAUAAAAGAAGCAGUGAGUUACAUAUGAUGCGGGGUAGAACUCAAUUUAGACAAAACUAUCAUGAUGGAUACCAAAGUGGUGGCGAGUCGAGUAGUAAUGGAUGGAAGAAGAAGGGCAAGGGUAAGUCUAGAUCAAAAUCUAAGACUAAGGCUACAAAAUGCUAUGGCUGUGAAAACACAGGGUAUUUAUAAAUGAUUGUUAUAAAGAAAAGGGUAAGCUAAAGGUUAAGGAGAGAGAUGAAGUCAAUACGUGAUCCUCUACUUCCACUAUAGAUAACGGUGAGGUCUAUAUGAUUACAAGUCCCAUUGCAUACACUGUUGAAUUGAAUCUAACUGCUAAUUCCUGCAUGCAUGUGUGGAUAAUUGAUUCUAGUGUAUCUUUUCAUGUGACAUUUGAAAAGAAUUGGUUUGACAACUUGCAUUAAUCUAAUGAUGGGCAUGUUGUACCGUGUAAUAACUUUGUCUAUGCGAUUUCUGGAAUUGGUGACAUAAAUAUAAAAUUUGACAAGGGCGUUGUGUAUACGUUAAAGGACGUUAGAUAUAUUCCUGAACUAUCUAGGAAAUUGAUUUCAGUGGGGAGUCUUGAAACAGAUGAUUUCACUGGUAAAAUAGGAAAUGGUAUGCUAAAAAUGAUUAAGGGUGCAUUAGUUUCUAUUAAGGGAAUUAAGAAAAAUGACAUUUACAUCACUACUAGGGAAGUGAUUAAAGGUUGAACUCAUAUAUCUCUUCUGCCAAGGUUGAUCACAUACACACAUGCCAUAAUAGACUUACACAAAUAGACAUUAAGGGACUUAAGCUAUUUAAUGAAAAAGGUGCAUUUGGUAAUAACUGUGUGUCUGGUUUGUCAUUCUGUGAUCACCGUGUGCUUGGUAAGCAUCGUAAAUCAUCGUUUUCCACUAGUGUUUAUAAAGCUAAAGACAUACUUGAAUAUGUACAUUCUGAUCUGUGGGGUCCUGCUAGUAGUCCGACAUCGGGUAGGAAUAGGUAUUUUCUGUCUAUUAUCGAUGACUAUAUUAGAAAAGUAUAGGUCUAUCUAUUAAAAGAUAAAUCUAAAACUUUUCACAACUUUAAUAACUGGAAGAGACAAAUGGAAAAUCAAAUUAGCAAAAUGAUCAAAUUUUUAAGGACAGAUAAAGGCAUACAAUACUAAAUUUUAUAGUAUGUGUAAAGAAAAUGGAAUAAUAAGAUAGAAGACGGUUCCUUACACUUCCCAGCAAAACGGGGUGGCAGAAAGGAUGAAUAGGACCAUACUUGAUAAAGUAUGUUGCAUGAUGUUAAGUUCUGGUAUCCCUAAAUCGUUUUUGGGUGAAGCUAUUAUGACUGCUUGUUAUUUGAUUAAUUUAACUUCAUCUGCUGCAUUAAAUGUUGAUAGUCUGCAUGAAAGGUGGUCUGGUAAAUUGAGUGAUUACUCUGUGCUUAAAACUUUUGGUUGUGCUGUAUUUUCUCAUCAAACUAAAGGAAAGCUUGAACCUAGAACUAGAAGUGUGUCUUUCUCGGAUACCCAAGGUGUUACGGGUUUUAGGUUAUGGAAUAGAAGCUAAAAAGGGUUUAAGAUAAUCGUGAGUAGAGAUGUCACAUUUAACGAGGGUGAGAUGCCUUGCCUUAAAGGUGAAAUCGAAUCUAUGAGUGAAACUGAACCAGGCAAAAAGAAAGAUCGGUUUAAGGUGGAGUUAGAAAAACUUAGCACAUUUGCCCCUACUACUCCAAAUGAGGUGGAGAUUCAGGUUCAGGAAUCUGAGGUGGAGAAAAAUAACGAAGUAGUGAUAGAAGAGCAUCCCAAGGAAGAAAAUCUUUAACUAAUUACAACUUAGUUUGGGAUAAAGAAAGGAGACAAACGAGAGAACCUAGGACGUUUGGUUAUGAAUCUGAGAUAGCUUUCACCCAUGGUAGUUACGAAGAACUAGUUGAUAUAUAGCCAAAAACUUUUGAAGAGGUGAUGGGUAGUGAUCAAUUUAAGGAGUGGCUUAAGGUGAUAAGAAAAGAUGAGUUCUCUAGAAAAGAAUCAAAGUUGGGAGCUAGACCUAAGAGUAAAUCGAUCAUUGAUUGCAAAUGGGUCUUUAAGGUUAGGAAAGGUACUAGUAGCUCGGAACCCUUAAGGUUUAAGGUUAGGUUAGUGGCUAAGGGUUACACACAGAAUGAGCACCGAUUAUAAUGAGAUUUUUUUCACUAGUUGAAAGUACACGACUAUUAGGGUUAUGCUUGCAUUGGUUGUACAUUUUGGCUGAAAAUUUGAACAACUUGAUGUAAAAACUAUUUUUUUAUAUGGUGAACUUGACGAACAAAUAUUUAUGAAUCAACCGAAAGGUUUUAAGGACAAGUCAAAACCUGAUUAUGUGUAUUUUUUAAAAAGAUCCAUGUAUCAAUUAUCUAGACAGUGGUACAAGAAGUUUGAUUUCUUUGUACUCACUAUAGGGUUUCAAAGAAGUAAAUUUGAUCAUUGUUUGUAUUUUCAACACAAUGAGACUAAUAAUAAUUAUUUGUUUUUGCUGCUCUAUGUGGAUGAAAUGUUUUUGAUUGGUUCAUCAUCUACGUGGAUAAAAAAUAUAAAAGUUAAGUUAAGUGGUGAAUUUGACAUAAAAGACUUAGGUAAGGUUAAGAGAAUUCUAGGCAUGAAAAUAGAACGAGAUAGGUCAAAUUCUGUCUUGUUUUUGCAUCAAUCUCCAUAUAUAUUUUAAGGUGUUGAAGAAAUUUAAUAUGUGUGAUUGCAAACCUAUCACGUUACUUCUUGCUAAUCACUUUGUUUAAUCUAAAGAACAAUAUCCUUGUAAUGAACGUGAAGUAGAAUACAUGAGUAGAAUUCCGUAUUCGAAUAUGAUUGGUUCCAUAAUGUAUUUGAUGGUUUGCACUAGACCAAAUUUAUGUUUUGCUGUUAGUACUCUCAGUAGGUAUGGCUAAUCCGGGUCCUAAACAUUGGGAAUCAUUAAAGUGACUAUUAAAAUACUUGAAGGAUAUGGGUGACGCAGGUCUAAAGUUUAGUACUAAUAAGGAAUGUGUGAAAUUGAAGGACUUUGUAGAUGCUAACUAUGAGAGAGAUAGGGAUGGUAGGAAAUCAACUUCUUCUUACGUGUUUACCUUAUCUAAUUCUUGCGUUAGUUGGAAAUCACAAUUACAAUACAUUGUUGCACUAUCCACUACAGAGUUAGAAUACAUUGCUACCACUAAAGCAAUUAAAGUGGCUCUGUGGCUUAAAUGUUUACUUCAUGAACUAUGUGUCUUCAAUGAUUAUGUGGUAGUGUAUUCCGAUAGUCAGUCGUCUUUAUAUUUAUGUAAGAACCCUGCUUUUCACGAAUGCACUAAACAUAUUGACGUUAGACUACACUUUAUUAGAGAUAUAGUAUCUCAAGAGGUGGUAAGACUUGAGAAUGUCCACACACAAGACAACAUUUUAGAUAUGGGCAUUAAAGUGCUAUCACUGGUCAAGUUUAGAAGUUGCAAGGAUCUUCAAAACAUUAGUACAAAUAAAUGAUUUUCAAUUUUAUUGAUUUUCUGUUAGAGGUAUUACUAAUGAGAGAUGUUUUCUUUUAGCAAUUCCUUUGAUACCAAGGUGGAGGUUGUUAGGCAAUUUGUUGCCAAACAACCUCUUCCAGGCUAUGAUGUUAUUCGAUUUUAAUUUUCAGUCGACUUAGCCAAAUGACUGAAUAGAAAUAUAACACCACAAUCGAGACGAUAAGAUCCAAAGGUUAAUUGGGUCGCUCGAAGCAACUUAAAUAUUGAAAGAGUUCAUAAAUCAGGUGUUAACUAUACCUAAUUCAAAAUUUAGGUUACAAGUUUCUUUAGUGCAAAAAUAAGUUUUAGCUAAUUAAUUAAAAAUAUUUAUUAAAUAAUGAUAAUAAAGCUACAGUUAUACUAUUUAUGGUCACAUAUUCACAAUUAUAGGUCACAGAUUUUAUUUAUCAGUCACAUAUCAUCAAAUUAAUUGGUCAUAAAUUUUUUCGAGGUCACAAAUCACAAUUUUGAUAAGUCAUAGAUUAUGUCGAGGUCACAAAUCAAAAAAUUAUAGGUCACAAACAGUCAAAACUCCAAAAAAUUAUAGUCAUAUGUCACAUAUUUUCAAAUUUAAUUGUCACAUAUUACUUUUUUUAUUCAUAGAUGAAAAAAUUUUUAAGUCACAAGUCAAAUAGUCGGUCACCACCAACUCCAUUGCCACCAUCGUCACUUGCAACCACCCUCACCCCAUCGCCAUUGCUACCGUCACCGCCAAUACCAACACUAACACUAACACCAACACCAAUAUCAACAAAAUCGAUGCAACUAGAUCUACCGCCACCACCAUACACACCAAAAAAACCACCAUUGCCAUCUAAACCACACCAUCACUGCUGCCAGAUCUACCACCAACACCGUCGCCACAAAAAAUAUGGACAUCACCACACUGCACCACACCACAACACCUAUAAAAUCGGCUUCCACAAACAUAGAACUCACAUCACACGCCACCAACACAAAUCGGCUCCCACUCACAUCGCACCAACAAACUGGCUUCUACACACUUCUACGCAUCGAGACACUGCUGCAUCGCCGUCGACUAGCUGGUCGCAUAGCACAGCCACGAUGAUGCUACUGUAAGCCUUGACUCUACGGCGCUCAAAUUGACUAGGUGACGACUUUGAUCGAACAGAUUGCUCACAACGUCGGCUGCGAGGGCGCUACACCACAGCAACUAUGCCGCCGCUCGACUCUCACGUUUCCAAUGAUGGUGAUGGAGGUUCGAGGGAGGGAGAGGGUAGAGAGAGAGGGAGAGGGGGAGACAGUGGAGAGAGAGAGAGAGAGAGAGAGAGAGAUAGAGGGAGGCGAGAUAUGAAAAAUCUGAGAAUAUGAAAAAAUGAUUAGGGUUUGUUUGGAUUAGGUAGUGUAGGUAUAAAUAAUACCUUAUUUCUGAUUAAAAAACCUUUGCACCUGAUUUUUGCACUCACAUCUUUAGAUACCGAGAAUCUUGUAAUUUCCUCCUUAAAUAUUUUGGUGUUGCUCGGGCUCAAUCCGUUUUCUUAGAUGACCAUAAUUGAGAGAGAUUUCUUGUGAGCCCAUUUAUUUAUUGGGCCUCUACUUUGACCAAUUUAUUAACCUAGCUGCACUAACCAUACUUGGGCCUUAUUACUUGAUAAAAUGGGCCUCCUUUUCUCUUUGUGAGAGACGUCUUCUGUCUCUCUCGUGUUCGGCCAUUUUUUGCAAGUUUUUUUCUACUCUCCUGCCUUCUUUUGAGCUACCUAUAGUGGUGAUAAUAUAUGAGAUAUAGUGCACCUUUUGGUCUCCUAAGUGAACUAUCUCAUUGGCAACUAAAAGUGGAAGCUUGGUUAUUGUCUUGGAUCGUUGUUGUCGGGUUGCGAUGUUAAUAGUUGGAAGAAACUGAGCCUGGGCAAGCUUUGAUGCUCAAAAUACGUUCAACAAAUAUCCAUUAUAAGAUUGUAACACAGUCUGGUUACAUACAAAAUCUUCCAUUUAGUUACAGAAUUUACGUACAAAUAUCUGAUUUACUCUUUUUUCUUUUUCUUUCUUCUACCCCCACUAUGGUGUGGUGGUUGGGCGGGUGAUUCGAAAGAUUAUUUUUGUAAAUGUUAUGCCCUAAAUCCAAUCAAUUUAGGUUGUAAACACUUUUAAUAUGUUUAGUACAUUUAUUUUGGCAAGAUCUAUUAUUUAUUUAAACUAAUAUUUCGAUGAAUAAUAUUAAAUAAUAGAGUCUGAAGAUUCAAGUUUAAGUAAUUUGUUUAUCACAAGGAGUUGUGAUUGUGAGAUGCAAAUUACAUAUGAUUAAAUCUUAAAUAAUCCAUGGUCGUAAGUAAUAACAAGAUACAGAUAUCGUUAUUAUGUAUAUAUCAUCACGUGUGACAUUUUUUACUUGUGAAGUAAGUAGCUGAUCUCACAAAUUAAAGUGUGGUGAUACUAAAAUGAUCGCAUAGAUGCUUUGUUGUAGAACGAAACAUUGGAAACCUGCUAAGAGAUUUCACAUAGAUAACUAUCUGAGUGUCAGUGGUUAAUCUUUAACGUUCGGUAGUAAAAUUGAUCCUUUGACUUGAGGUCAUCAUAGGACUUAAUAGUAGAAUGAAAGAUUUGAUUGAUAUCGAGAUUAAUAUACUUUCAUAUCUCGUAAUUGAUUGGAUCAUAUUUACGAAAGGAUUAUAGUUUCAUGGUAAACGAACAAGUUUGGUUUUGUCAUACCACAUGACAUUUUUCGUCGCAUGUAUUGUCAUGAUACAUUGCUAGAUGUCAAUUUGGGAUGACGAGUGCGAAUUGGUGAUAAAUUAAAAUGGUGCUUUAAUUUAUCAAUUUUAAUUAGAUCAAAAUAAUAUUUCACGUCGCUAGGCAUUGUAAUCGAGAAUCUGAUGGGUCGCUCACAAAAGAGAAUUGGAAGAUUGAAAUUUGUCAAUAAAUUAAUUUAACAAUCGUUUGAUAAAUUAAUUAAUUGGGUUGGUUAUUUAUAUGUUCGAAUUAAUUAAUUAAUUCACGGAUCGGAUUUAAUUAAAUGUAUUAAUUAUUGGAUCGGAUUAGGUCAAGCCCGUUUGAACUUGUAUAAAUACAUGGCUAUGAUAUUCGUAGAGAUUUUCUCAUAAUUCUUGCUAUCACAAAAAGAGAAAACCCUAGUGGCUGCAAUUUGUUCUCUGUGUGGAAUUUAUUGGAGACUGGACAAUUGGACAUCUGUGAGAGGCAGAUCGAAAUUGCUAGAACAAAGAUAAAGCAAAUGAGUUUGCAGAUCCAAGAAAAUGUAUAACUUUUAUUUAUCACAAUUCCUAUCUAAAUACAAAGAUGAAUCCUGAUGGGAAUUGAAUUGUUUUUAUUUCCGCUGCGCAUGUUUAAUUAAAUUCCAAACACUUUUGACAUAAUAAUAUGUCUCGAUUUUUCCUCUUCCAUAGAUUAUAGAGUUCAAAUUCUAAAUAAUUUUGCAUUUAUUUAUAUAAAAUUAUCAAUCGGUAGUCUAAGUGUUAAUUAAAUGAUUGGACAUUUUAAAUGCAAGAAAUGAAAUUUAUAUCUUUUAAUUUAAAAGGUUCAAUCACUUGAUAUUAUUUAAUUGAUACUUAGAUUGUCAAGCAAUCAAGGUUGACGGUAAUAUUCUACUUAUUUUCAUGUGAAUAUUUUUCGCUAUACGUUCUUACAUCUCUUUCCAGUUUUCCUUUAAAGAGUUCCUACUAAGCUAAAGGGUUUUUCUUUUCACUUCAUCUUUUAGUCUGGAUAACGUUAACACUAAUGAUAAAACUUUCUAGACACUCAACGAGGCUUGAUCCCACCAUGCUAGUGCCCUUUUACUGUUAUUGACAAGGGUUUGUUAUAUUUUUGUUGUUUUAAUGCUUGAAAAUGGCUCAGCAACCAGGCUAGAUCAAAAGAGAAAAGGAGCUGAUUCUGCAUGCUUAGGAUGCACUAUGAACAGUAGAAAUCAAAGAUAUUUUAAGUGGUUAAAGUGAAAUUUCAUUAGGUCGGUGACACGAGUUGAAAUCUUGUUAAGAAACAGGAAGAGUGAUUAAACAUUUUUUUUUAAUAAAAUAAAACUAUGAACUCAUAAAUUGAAAUAAUCGACAAGUCAAUUAUUACAUCGCAGAAGUGAUUUGGUUUGGGGACAAUCUCUUCAUGGUCAUGUGCUUUAUGGUAUUCAUAUCCACUAAUCAUUGCUUAGACGGUUCCUAUGUAAAAAAAUUUCUAUUUUCGAGUGAUCAUUUCCAUUUCAAUCAUGCUACAAUGCCAUAAUCCUUAAUAUAAUGCCACAUAUCUUUCUAUGAUUGUAUUGUUUUGAACAGGUCAACUUUUUUUUAUCAAAUCAUCGACUAACACUUCGGAUUAUAUCACUGCAUCUAUUACAAUUAUUCUGAAAAGGUGGUAAAAUCCUGUCCAAUUGGGCAUGCACUGUUUUGAGUGGCUGGGAAUGCUCGCAUCCAAGCUGAGCCAUCAAUCGGCCUUGCUAGCCAAGCUCGAUAUGUAUUGACUUACAUCAUUUUUCAGUCAACUUUUUUUAUUUGAUAAAAUGGAAAUUUUUAUUUACCCCUAUUUCAUAUGGAUUAAAAUUAGGGCAUGUUUGAUAGAGAAACUUUUCCAUGAAAAAUGAAAAGUUUCUUUCAUUUUCCAUCUUUUUUUUUUUAAUGUUUGAUUGCACAAAUUUUCUAGGCAAAUCAUUUUCCACCGCCAGUCCCCCGCCCCCACGUGAUUGGUUUUUUCAUGAUUUUGUGGAAUUCAAUCUCUCAUGGUUUUGAUGAGAAUUCACUUUUUCACUUUUUUUUUUAUUUUUUUUAUUUUUGGCAGUGGAAACAAAUUUUAUCCACGAUUGUAAUAAAUUAUAUUUCUUUAAUUGAUAUAUUCCAUGAAAAACAAAAUCAAACGAACACCAAAAGAUACAAAAUUUCAAUAUUUUUCAAGUAGAAAAUUAUACCAAUCAAACACAUUUAAUUAGAUAAUUUUCAGUAAAAUAAAUUCUAGACAAUUCAAUUCCUUAAAAUUUAUUUUCUUUCCAUCCAAAUUUCAUCAUUGCAAUCAAAUGGACCCUCAAAUUUUUAGUAGUUUCUAAUAGAAAUUGAUAAAAUGUAUGUUUGAAAAAUUGUGAAUAUCAUGAAACGUAUGAUCAGAAUUAAUUAUUAAUUUUAAUUUGAAUUACCAACCAUAAUAUAUAAAUGGAGCAAAGUAGCUUGCAACAAUUUUAUUUGAAAAAAAUUAAAAAAUUGAAAUCUUUAUUUAAUAUAAAGGAAGCAGUUCGGUAGCUGCUUGACUUGGCCUACUACUUGGUCAAGAAGUUGCCGUGAGCUCUACUCGCGUAUGAUCUCUCCCACUCAGUGGCAGAUCUAGCACCCGACGACCGCACGUGUUGGAUCUGUCUAUAACAAUUUAUUUAUUUAUUAUUAUUUUUUUUUUUGACAAUAGUAGAUAAAAAUUUUACUAUAUAUCUAUUGACUUGUAGCUUAGUUAGUUAAAGCGUCCACUUAUAAACUGGAGGUCUAGGAUCGAAUUUCUACCCAACCAAUUUUAUUGCACAUUUUUUCUAGUUAUUCAAUUUAACGCUAUAGGAUUCAAUCCUGUGGUCUCUCAUUAAGGUUAUUGAAAGUUUUACCAUAACAACACUUGAAAUUUUUUGACACUAAACAUUACAAAAUAAUAUAUAUUUUGUUUUACAUGAUUCAAUGCAAUUGAGAGGACUCAAACCCAGUUCCUUCCUUUGAAUUAUACAAAACCUUACCACUGUGUCAUUUAGUGAACGUUGCUAAAAAGUAUAACAAAAUUAUAUAUGUUCAAAUUUUAGCAAAAUAAUUAUUAUAAUAAUUUUUAAUAUUUUAUUAUAAUCGAUGGUCAAUAGUUAACGUCCGUCUGUGCUCAAUCUAUAUUCUGGACCUCCCACUUUCUUUGAACAAAAACAAAUCAAAUCGAAACACAUAUGAUACCACCUAUUACCCACCACUUUCUUCUCUACAUUUGAUGUUGUCAAAAUCAAAUACACAGAUACAUACUCACUCACAUAUACAUAAUCCACAGAGAGCAAGAAUUGUCAAAAUGGAUGCAUUUGAUGAGGGCUAGCAGGAACUAAUAAUGGCGAGGAUAUCCAACGAAAUGUACGUCCCUUUAACAAAGAUUCCUACAUGGGCUACAUGACAUGACUUGUCCCUAAUCAUCCUAGUGGACCAAAAUGUAACGUUCGUCGAUAAUUGAUGCUGAUUAGAUGUCAGAUCCAUCACCAAUGCUGAAUAUGAGUUACUAUAAAACAUGUGCCAAAAUCAAAUGCUUGUGAAAAAUAUAAUGUGAUGUGUCCAAAAUAAUUAUCUCAUGUUGAAUCCAAAUGACUCAUAUCAUUCAAUAUGUCGUGUAGCUCUAACUCUAAAAUUAUCAAGCUCCUCACGCUAUCAAAAACCAAUUGCUACCUGUAGGAAAAAUUAGAAGAAAAUAUAUGAGUUGAUAGCUCAUUGAAUGGAUAAGUUCGAAAAUAAUAUAAUAUCAACAUCAAUAAUCAAUAAUCAACUGAGUAGAGUCGAGUGGCCCAUCCUCCUGUGAUCAUCAGAAGUACAUCCCCUAACAGUCCCAUGAUCACACAAGAAGUAUCACACUCAAGAUGACAAUAAUUACAAUAUCACAGUUAAGUGGACCAUUAUCUUGUGAUCAUUAGAGGUACAUCACCUGAUAGCCCCCAUGAUUAGCCAGGAAGUAUACCACCCGAGAUACUAAAAAUCACCAUAUCACAAUGGCACAAGCAAGUGGUCAAUCCUCCCAUGAUCACAUCCCAUAACCACCCUUGCGAUCACUUGAGAAGUCUCACUUGUGGCCAACACAAUUGCAUGCCUCGCAUGCCACGGUGCCCUAGUAGCGGUCAAUAAAACAUGUCUCAUAUUCUAAUUCACAAGUAACCCACAUAUACUUUUUGUAAUUCCACAUAUAUCAUACUGAGAGAACAUUUAUUAAUAAUCAUGUAGCAGAAAUAAUUCACAUAAUCCCACAUAACGUAAUAGUAUAAUCAAUUUAUUAGUAAUUGAAAAUAUUUAAAUUUUUUCACUCACGGAUCUAGGGAUAGCAAUCUGGUUAUAUUGAUGAGCAUUUCCAAACUUUGACGUUACUGCCUCAAAUAAUAGUAUAAUAACCUAAAUUAAAACCGGACAAGUAAACUAAUGUAAAUCCACCACAUAAUUCCUCAACUUCUAUAUUUAUUUUCGGGUAUCUAUUUCUCAAACUUUUCCUCUCUUUUAUUGUUUAAUAACAGAUCACCAUAAAUGAUCAAAUUCAUUAAAUCACUAUAUUUUCUUAAAAUCACUACUUUAUACAUAUACAACCCCUAUACAUGAUUUAAUUCAAUACCUGAACUUCAAUAUAUAUCAUCCAGUUUCAUUGAAGCUUGUAAAAUCUGAGAAAAUCAAAAGUUUGAUAAAAAUAGCACUAAGAUUCCAGAGUAUUGAAAUUUGGCACCAAUUUCCAUAUAUGGAAGACUGUCUCCAAAACCUUCGACAAAAAUGGCACAUUCUGGCCAAAAUUUUUAAAGUAGCAAUAGGGUUAUAAUUGUACGAAAAUUGAAGAAAAUGAGUUAAGAAAUACCAAAAUCAAACCUAAAAUCCUUGUGCCACUGUAAUACCUCAUAAAUCAAGUGUUUUAUAUUAUAUAAACGCAAUAAAUUAAAGAUUGAAACUGUAAUUUACAAACCCAUUUCAACCUUCCUUCCUUUCAACACUAAUCUUCCAAUAUAUAUAUACUUAAACCCAAAAAAAUAAUUCAACAUACUUACACAUACAUCUCUAAAUCAGUGGAGAAAUUGAAGAAAUGGAGAACCCAAGCGUGAAAACCCACUUCUUCUUCUUCUUUUUCUUUUCUUCUCCUUCUCUCGAAUCUUCCUUGCUAAUUUUUCUUUAUUCUCCAAAUGGAAAAGGGUUUCGAUAAGAGUUAAGUGGAUCACUAUCACAAAUUUGCAAAAGAAGUCCUUACCUUCUUUAUUAUGUAAAUUUUAGUCCCUAUCAUUAUGAUAUUAGAAACCGAAUCCUUGAAUUUCUAUUUUAUUUUAUUGCCCUAGAGUAACUUUAAUUGUAAAGUAAGUCCCAUGAAAAUCAAUUAUUCAAUUUAAGUCCUUAUUUGACUUUGACUAAAAAAUUUCUUGACUUUGACUAUAUUAUUAAUGGCGUGUAACACUACAACCCCUCUCAACACUAUGAUUUUGGCAACACUGGCCACGACGGAGCUCAACUGCUCCCACUUCCAUCUCUACCUUCACCUUCAUCUCCAUCACAUGCAGCCCCAAUGGAUAAAUUUUUUGGGGAUCCCAUGAUGAGCGCUAACAAUAGCAUGCAGUCGUCGAAGGGAUAUGAGUUCGAUGGUUCCCUAAAUGCCAGGUACUCUCCCUCAGCUUUCAAUGACAAUGGCAUUCAUGGGAAUGAGAAUGGAAAGCCGUAUGAUACUCCAGCUGACACCGAAGGGCUUUUCACGAAUCCCUCUCUUGAUGGUCAAUUGCUUCUAGACCCUAGUGAGAUGCGCAAGAAAGGCGAGGCUUUUCAUGAAUAGCGUCUAUAAGUAUUUAGAUAGUGAGAAUAGUGGUAAUUGGCCUUUUGACUUGGCUAAUUAUCUCACUUACUGGAAUUUUAAGCUCUUUGUUAUUUAGCAAGUUAAAGUCUUGACUUUACUAAAGCGAUUGGUGCCAGCAUGGAACCGUUAAGCUUUAAUUCGGAUUGAAAAUUGAUUGACUUAUUGAAAUAGUAUUAGCACUUAGUGUAGAUUGGAAACUGUGAACCUCCUAGUAUUUUGCUGUAUGUUGAUUUUCUAACUCUUCAAGGCUUCGGUGGUUAUAUUGAUAUUUUUAAGGAACUUUUCAUUUUAUUUACUUGUACGAGAAACAUCUUUCCUUGAAAAUAAGUGAUCGUUGGCCCGCCCCCGGAAUGUACAAGAACUUAAAUUUCCAUAGCUGACAACUUAAAUUUGCAUAUUCUUUCCUGGUUAUAUUGGAAUUUAACAAGUUUUAGAGGCCUUGUCAAAAAAAUAUUUUUUAAUGUUGUUAUUUUUCUUGUUCUAUUCUACCUCUGUAGUUUGUUUCAUCCUUUACUUAAAAACUGAACAUCUAAUAAUCUCGUGCAAUUUGUAGGAUGGAGUACAUAUACACCAUCUAUGAUCGAUGUGAUACAAAGGUUAACACGUUCUAAUGUAUAGAAUGUAGAGAAAGUAUAUAAAGCAUUAAAUGAUGUCCAUAAGUAGAUGUUCUUGAAGUCGUGUUUCGGUAAAUUGUACAACAUCAGGAACAUGAAAAUAUCUACUUAAAUAAUUCACAACUUGUCAUUAUGAUGGGUUGUAUUUGUCGAUGAGGAUGAAUUAUAGUUUUGUUUAGGCUUGAAUAAAGUUGCUUAUUUCUCCUUAUACGAGUUUAUGCUCGUCAUGGUAUUAAGCCUUGCUAGUGAGGAGUAGUAUCAGAGCUAGAUAAAUUAAGAUGCUUAGGAUCGAAAUAUUGAAUGGCGAUAAAGCAUAUCUUUUAGUAUGAACUCAUCAGAUCUUGUUUCAAUAGAUUAAAACGAUUGCGACUUCCAGAGUAAUGAAGACUAUCACAUGUCUACUCCAGUAUCAUUGUUUACGUUUGAUGGUUUGGAGAAAUAUCAAGCAAUCAUGCACUGCUAAUUCCAUCAUUGAUGUCAAGUAUUAGGUAGGCUAUGAAACUACUAAAUUAGAUAUAUGACUGGAAUAUCCCAACAGGCAUCAAGGUGGUGCCUACAUCUGUACAUGUCUUUAUAUUAUAUUAGAAUUACAGUGGGAUUGUUGCAAAUAUUUAAGAACCAUGAGCCAUCAGAGGGGUAAAUACAUUGAGCGGAAAUAUCAUCCCUUUAGAGAGAUAGUUGGUAGAGAAAAUGUAGUUAUCAAUAAGAUUAUUAAUGGGAUAAUCUUGUAAACUCAUUUAUUGAGAGCUUAUCGGCUAAGUUUUUUAGGGACGUCGACAAGAUAUGAGUUUACAAGACAUGACACAUAUACUUUAAGACAAGUGGGAGAUUUGUUGGAUUGUGUGCCCAUAUAGUCUAUUUUGCUAUGAUAAAAUAAUAAUUUAUAAUAAAUAAAUUGUAAUUUUAUUUAUUUAUUGCAUUCAUUAAUAUUGAACAUACUAAUUAAACCAUCUAUGAUUACUUGUGAUAAUAUAAAUUGCGUAUUUACAUUGCAAAGUACAGUGUGACAUAAUUUAUAUUUUUAUAUAAAUAAUUUUUUCACAACCAAUAAGGGUUGACAGAUGUAAUGGAAGGUUUUAGUGUUAACUAAUUUACUAUUCAGGUUUGUGAUUUGUCCUUAUCACAGAAAUAGUUAAAGGUGACAAUAGUACACUUGAUGUGUAUUGAAAUAUCAUGUGUCGAAUCUAAUUUUAUAGCAUGGCCGUGUGGAGAAUUAAAUUCCACUUGAUCGUUAUGUAUUUCAUUUAAAUCACUUAACAAUAUUAUGUAUGUCUUUUCAUGAUUUUAAUGGUUCUUUUGAUUCAUCAAUGGGUGAGAUCAAUUUGAUUAGUCAAAUAUUUCGAUGAGUUGAGAACUUGAGAAUGAGUGGGUAGAGAAAAUGAAUUUGUGUUGGGAACCGUUACCCUAAAAAUAGGUAGAGUGAUUACGGAAGUUUUUUUUAUUGAAAUGUUAAAAUCUAAACUCAGUGUUUAGUAACGGUUAAAUUUCGACAUUUGUGAUUAGUUUACAGGACUAUGAAGAAAAUGACACUAAGUUAGCGAGAAUAAUUCGAGAGGCAAAAUGAUCAUUUAUGCUCGUAUCUAAUUAUCGAUCUUUGGACAGGGAUAAAUACAUAUACAACAUGUUAGUAGAAAGCAUUGCAGAUUUAUUAGUUUUAUUUAUCUUAUAUAUUCAAGAAUUCAGUCUUUUAGAAAAGCAAAUAUGAAUAAUUAGAUUGGAUGAUUCUAAGGUUGACUAGACAGGUCUAAUUAUUGAAGCUUGAAUAACAUAUGUUCGAUUAGGUUCAUAUGGUAACUUUAUAAAGUAUUGAAAUUUAAUUUUAAAAAUUAUAAGGGCUUAACUGUAAUUACAAUAAAGCUUUGUACUUAAUUGUAAUUACUAUGAAAAUUGUAAAUUUAAUUAUAAUUGUAAUUAAAGUUCUAAGACUAUACAUAUAAUUAAAUAUAAACUAAUUGAAUCUGGAUUUUAAUUAAAACUCCUACUCAAAUUUUAAUUAAAACUCUUAUUUUUUAAUGUGGAAUAUUAUUGUACGAGGAUUGUAACUAUUCUAUCUUUAUAAAUAGAGAUUAGAUGAAAACUAGACAUCCUAUAAAAUUUUAUAAUAAUCUUAAUACAUAAUUCCAUAGUGUUCAAAUUUGGAGAGAGAAAAAAAAAUUUAUUUUUCUUUCUUUAAUCAAUUGUCUAAUUCAAGAACUAGUUUCUUGAUAUAAUUAAAAAGAAAAUCCCAUCUACCAAUAUAGUCUUGACUUUGGAUAAUGUCAUAGAAGACUUAGAGGUUUGAAACAUCAAAUUUUUGAAAUUAUAAAACCGAAAGUUUGUGAUUCAAAAGACUGGAAGCUCUUGAUUCAAAAUUUAUUCAAAAAUUGACCAUUGAAUUUUUUGUAAAAAUUUGAAUUAUUUUAUUUUUGAUAUAACAUACACAUGAACAUCUAUAUGAUUUUGUUUAUUGAAUUAAACAAAUUUUUAAUUUUUGAAUAAUUCUGCUUCCGCAUUCCAAUAAUAGGAAUAUGCAAAAGUGGCCAGAUCAAGACUAGUAUGUACACCAAUAUUGUGGAAAAGAAUUUAUUAUAAUUACACGAUCAAACUAUUACAAAAAUAAUACACCAAAUCGAACAAAUAUAUUGGGAAUAAUACGAAAAUCUUAUUAAAAACAAGUGAACAACAUCACAACCAUAACUGUUUGGUCCAAAACAAAAGAACCUAAUAAAACCUAACCUAUCCAACAUUACAUAAAUAACAUCCACACUUGAAAAAUCGCACUCUCUCCCUUUGGAGAGGGCUACACAACGACAUUACAUAACAUUUAAUUCAAUAAUUAACUCUCACAUCCACUUACUGACUCACACACCAUAGAAAGCAGGACAAAGGGUUCCGAACUAAUAAAAAGAAACAUCAUUUUUUUUUUUUUUUUUUUGGGGUGAAAAUGAAUCGACAAAUAUUUCAUCGUAUCUUUAGGUUGUCCGGGUAUUCGAUCGACUAUCAUGGGUUUAGUAGAAGUUGAGGCGGGAAGUAUAAGUGGCUUUUGGAGACCAAUUUCUGGGAAUAAUAUCCCUUGCAGAUAGGCUUCUUCCCGUUGAUAGUGUCGUUAACUUUACAGAAAAUGGUCCUCUCAAGGGUCCCCCAAUAAUGCACCAAUUUGCACCCCAUAAAUGUGUCAUCUCGAGCCAUUCGUUCGAAUUUGUCUGCACGAUUAUAAUUUUGUUACGUGAUUAUUGCAAUCUGAAUUAUUAUAAGUUGAGGCAGACAAAAAGUUAAGCACAAAUAAAGUUUAGAUACUUCAUAGUGUACACUAUAAGCACUUGAAGUAGAAAUCCCAUUACAAUUAUGGGAGGUGUUUUGGUGCACAUUGCUCACUAGAGAAAUUAAAAUGCGUGGACAUGUUUGAUAUACUCGAUUAGACAAAAUUAAUAAAAACUACGUAUUAAUAAAAAAUGUUCAAUCGGGGAUCUAUAUUAAAGUAAGUAAUUGAGUUUUUUUUAGACAAAGUUCUAUGACCGUAGGGCACUUGAAGCUUCUUUGACUAUGAAUCUCGUCAAAAAAAUAUUUUUUGUUUUAAGUCUUGUGAUUUAUUCGUGAAAAUUAUGGAGAGAUGUAUUUAGUUACCUGUCUUAUUUGCAUCGACCCAACAUCGCCAUCUCCAUCUUCGAAUUCGACUAAAAGUGAGAGCCAAUAGUCAGUUGAUCCUUCAUUGACAUGAAAGGCAAUGUUUUUCCCACGAUACUUACAUGGUGUCCUGCAAAUUUACAUAUAAAUUUUGUAAAUAAAUUAAUUAUUAUUUUUAAUUUUAGAAUUGAAAAAAUAAAAAUCAUUUACAUCUAGACAUUUUUCUCCUAAUACAUAGCCACAGAAUUUUUAAUAUCUGAGCCAGCUAUGCUACAGGAAAAUUUUGACAGAAUUUUUUUACAAAUACUUGGCAACUUUUCAUUAGUUUUGAACUCAAAUAUGAGAGAAAAUGCACUAUACAAGAGCUGCCAACGCAACACAAGUGUUUGGAUUCUGAAAAUUAAUUCUAGAAUUUUAUUACUUUGCCUCUCUCACAUGCCUUAGGUCUUAUAUGAAUAAAAAAGUUCAAAAAAUUGGAACCCCGCCAUUGUGAGAGUCGAUCAUCCUCUAUGUAAAUAAAAAAAAAAAAAAAAAAUUCGAGCACUGUAACUGGAUUGUUAGUUCUAUCUGAGCUCACUUGUCAGUUGAGAUGUCACAAGAUUUUGACCAAAUUAAUCUCAAAUUGACUAAAAAGAAUUAGACAGUUGCACCAAUAAAGAACAGAUCUGGACAUUGUAGUUUAGUCUAGUACGACUUACUGUCGGUAGAUGACGGAAAUUUCGCCACGGUUGCGCAACCCGCCACCAUCACCGGAGAUAGCCAUCCGGCCAAAGGCGGCACCACUAAGGUCAAAGUGGGUAUGGCCAUUCGAGCAGUAACCUCCAGGGCACUCGUCCGUAAUUAUGACUGUCACGGCCCUUCGAGAGCAUAUCGACUUGUCCAAGCACCUCACUUUAUAGCACGCCCCGCACCCUUCCCCAUUUUUAAAUAAUACCGGGCUCACCGCCCCGACUCGAGCUCGUAAUGGCUUCACAUCCACCAGUGACCCGUAUCCACACGCCCCACCUUCAACAAAAUAAGAUUAGAUAGUACAAUAAACAUAAUUAUAAACGGAGAAUGGUGGGGGCAUAUAUACCGUCACUGCCGUCGCCUUCGGGGCUACCGUACCAAGUAGCGGUGGCGGGAUACCAAUGUGGCUCAAACACUUGCCGGAGAGGGCUGGCGCCGGCCACCAAGCAAUGAAACAACAAUAGUAUGACAGACACCAAGAAAUGGACUAUAUGGCGGCGACCCUCCAUAAUUUAUGUAGAAUGUAGAUCAGUGGCACCGCCCAAACACCACUUUUCACGGCGGCGGAUGAACCGAGACGGAGAAGUAGAACUGGAGCUCUGCCGACAGUUUAAUUAGGUCUUUAUGUACUGAAACUCUACUGUUGAUUUUGUAGUUGCUGUGUGGAAAUAGAAGGUUGCAAAAAGUUGGCAUGCGCAUUAGGGACCGAUUUGUCUUUUUGGCAAAUGUUCGUCUUUUUAUGUCCAUUGCAAUUUAAUUUAAUCACGAUGGUGCCACCACUUUUAAGUAGGGCCCACCGACAUUUAAGGCGCUGAAUCCGCGUUACCGCAUCCCCGUGCCUGAUUAUGGUCAAAGAAGAAGGGUAUAUUUGUUGUUAUAACGAAUUAGGGUCCGUUUGAUUAUAAAGAUGGAAUUGAAUUCGGUGAAAAAUGAAGUCCAAGGAUUUGAAUUAUUUAGAAUUGUUUUCUUGAGAAUUGUAAAUUAUUGUGUUUGAUUGGUAUAAUUGUUCAUAUGAAAAAUAUUGAAAUAAAAGUAUUUUUUGAUAUUCAUUUGACUUUAUUUUACAUGAAAUUUGUCAAUUAAAAGGAUAGAAUUUACUGGUAUUGGGAUGACAUUAAUUUCCAUUGCCAAAAAGCAAUAAAUAAAUAAAAAAUAAUUCAAGAAAAUCAUCUAUUUUUUAGUGUUCGUUUGGAUUUGUUUUACAUGAAAAUUAUCAAUGAAAGAUAAAUAUUUUUUUACAAUAAUUCUUAGAAUUGAUUUCCAUUGCCUUUAAUAAAAAAAACGAAAAAAAAAUCGCUACAGUAGCCGGGAAUUCCAAUUCUCACCAUAGUCAAAAUUGAAAUUCCACUAAAUCAAGGAAUAACACAACUUCCAAUAAAAGUUAGAAACAAAUUUCAUGGAAAAUCUUGUGAAUCAAACACUACAUUUUGGGUGGAAAAAUCCACCCAUUUCCUUGGAAUUGGGUGAAUCAAACACUACCUUAGAUGAUUCUAAAUUUUGUUUGUUUGUUUGUAUUUCGAGACUCACAAAAUAAUUUCAUGUGUGUGUGUUUUUAUUGUUUUUUUUUUAUUUUUUUAGAAAUGUAAGUUGUAAUUUAUAUAAAUAUUUUUCGAAAACUAAGCACUUUCGAUUGAGAUUUUAGGUAAUGUUCUUAAGAUUGGUCCGAGUAUUGACCUUAAAAAGGUAAAUUGUGAAGAGCUAAAAGAUUUCUUUCCUAAUGAUUAAUUUGAUGAGGCCUUAUUAUAAUCAACCUCAAGCAUAAAUAAGCAAGCAAAUGUUUUUUUUAACUGAUUUCACCAGAUAUUUUAUAUUAGCAAAAACCGUUAUCAAAGCACACGCGAAUAAGAAUGUAAAGCAUGACUUCAUAGCCAAUAAAUGAAGAACCCGUGGACUGAUGAAUAAAGCAUGAGAAGAUAACACAUUUAAGUUCUGUUUGGGCCCCAUUAAUUUCAUGAAUAACGGGAAAGAAUAGAAAAAAAAUGGGUUCAAAAAGGGCCUUUGUUAAAAGUUAACUAAUCAGUGAAUGCCUCGUAUCACAAGCAAAAAUCACUAAAGUACCUUCUCAGUGCCUCUGAUAGACCCCUAUUAAAGUCACCUAUGUGAGAAGGAAGAAAUGAGGGAAUGCAGAUAGCAACAACUCAAGUGAGGCAUAAGGAUAAAAGCAAUCAUUCCAAGGCAGUUAGUUAGUUCAAAGGGCUAAAUUACGAAAUUGAGUCUGGGAAAAUUCCAAUAAAUGUCAUGGGGGGAGGGCUAUAGAAUGCAUUCGCGUUCUCUGUCAAGUCUAGUGGGAAGAGGCUAGGCCUCUAGAAUGUCUUGGAUCUCUUCCUUCUUUCAGUAUUUCAUUUCAAGGAAUAACAAUUCAUUUCUUUGCUGAAUUAAUUCUUACUUCUCAGUUCCUUAAGUAAACCAGCCUGUAGUGCAAAUUCAUCCUACAAAAUAGUGUAUAAAUUUUCCCCUAUUGUUGAACAGGUUCUCUCAGCCAGAGCCAUAGCCAUUAGAAGCCAUAAUUUCAAUUUUCCGUAAUGCGUACGUACUAAAUUCGGUAUCAGAACAUCGAUCUAGGGAUGAUGACAAUCACAAAUCGAGUGAGUGCAUUGGAAACACGAACGAAUGGAAUCUAGGGAAAGUUACAAGAUGAAAUACUAAUCAUGAGAGCAUAAAUUCAAAAAGAUCUAUAAGCAGUGGUGGAGAAGUUUGAAUUCAUAAGGCAGAAAUGGGAAGCAAAAAAGGGAUAGCAUCUAGUUCAGUUGAACCCACUCUCAUUUCUGAGAUGCCGACCAAGUUUGCUGAAAUCGGAGUUAAGUCAGAAGGCAGGAAAUGCAGGAAAAACCUGUAGAUAAUUAAGAAACGAAAUCGUAAAUGGGGAAUGCAGAUUUUCAAUGGGGAAGAUUCUAAUGGAUGGAUAUGAUGAAAAUUUGUUGUUCAAAAUAAUAAACAUGCGUGGAAUGAAGUGGACGAGAUUGGAACAAAAAUGUUAACGGGUAGCAACCAAUUAAGCCCAUUCGACCGCAUGGCCCAUGGCCUAUUACCGAAACUGCAAGCCCUUUGUUGGCAUGAACCAUGCGGUCGCAUGGUAGUUAAAUCCGACCGUUAGAUCAUUGUCGAAGUGGUUUCGUUCUCCAUUGCCAAAAUUAUCACACCGGGGUUUGGAGAAGAAAUCGAGAAAUGGAAAUUCAAGAAGAUGGAAUAAACGUGAAGAACAAUCCGAAUAUGAAAGGCUCAAACACGACAUUAUAUCGAUGUCCUCAAACGAUAUUUGCCCCCUCUCGAUAACAAUUUUGGUGCUUAAAGGGUCUCGCGGCAAACGGUUUGAAGGAUUGAUCAAACCUUGAUGUAGAGAAACACAAAAGCACAAGCAUUUCUCCAUGCGGUCGCAUGGGCUUAUUACCGAAACUGCAGGCCCUUUGCUGGCAUGAACCAUGCGACCGCAUGGUAUUAAACCAUGCAGUCGCAUGGUAGUUAAAUUUGACCAUUAGAUCAUUGUCGAAGUGGUUUCGUUCUCCAUUGCCAAAAAUCGUUUAAGAUUGCUGGGAAAAAUUAUCACACCAGGGUUUGGAGAAGAAAUCAAGAAAUAGAAAUUUAAGAAAAUGAAAUAAACGUGAAGAACAAUCUGAAUAUGAAAGGCUCAAAUACAACAUUAUAUCGUUGUCCUCAAACGAUAUUUACCCCCCUCUCGGUAACAAUUUUGGUGCUUAAAGGGUCUUGCGGCAAGCGGUUUGAAGAAAUGAUCAAGUUGAUGGGUAGAGAUUUUGUUCGUGUGGACCGUUUGAUGGCACUAAAUGGUUCGAUAUGUAGAAAGAUAUGAAUCCAGAUUUUCAUAUUCAAAUUUGGUAAAUUCAAUUCACUAUCUCCAAAUUUGGAAAGUCGAAAUUGCUUUUCAAUUUCACGCAUUCAUACGAUAUGUGAAUAUUUUAUGUAUGCAAUCUGAGAUUCUAUAGCAAAUUUGAAAGGAAAAUUUGAAUCGGUGCAUGCACAAAAACCCAAUAUAAUGUGUUCAAAAUGCAAUUCCCCAUGAAUUCAGUUUCUAAUAUGACCAAGUGAGAUGGAGAAAACUGCUUAUGAUAUUGGCACGUGUAUGCAUAAUCUCGGCUUGGAAUUAGGUUGUCACUGCAUGAGAUUGAAUUUCUUAAAAUAAGAUUGCAAAAUUCAAUUUUCCUUUUCGGUUUAUGUACCGUUCGUGAUUCUAUAUAACAUAUUCUCAUUUUAAACCCGCACACGAUAGAGAUUAUUUUGAUACUACACUACCUUUAUGGGAAAAUUGUCAAAAUAAGUCAUGAGAAUUUGAUUAUGCAUAAAUAGAGGCAUGUGUGAAUUAUGGGAAAAAGGCAGAAACAAUUUAAACGAGCAAGUUUUAAUGUUAGGAGCCCUUUUUCAUUUACAGUCAUUUUAUUCUAAAUCCACAUGCAUACUUUGCUGAUAUAUGAAACGGUGGAUUUAUUGACUAUAUUGAAUUUACUACUUUAUCUUCAUGUCCUUUUGGUGGUCUAAAAUAAAAGGGCACAAAUUCUUGUCUUCAUGUCAUUUGGUGUAAAACAUACUCUAUGUUUUAUAAAAUGACAUGUAUGCCUUUUGGUAUGUGCAUCUAUUUGAUCAAUUAAUUAAGAAAAAUGUUUUAGUGGCACAGAACCUUGAUUCUCUUCUUUGCAUAUGGUUAGAUAUGUAACGAUAAAAGAAUUCCGUCAAUAUUUGGUAAACAUAAUAUGUUUGACAUUAUGGCUUUUGGGAAAGCCCAAUUUUUUGUAAAUGAAAUUAGAUGUAUUUUCAACUUACUGAUCUGAAAAGUUUAUGCGAGUUGUUCUCUUUUCAAAUCUAUUGUUAAAUUUUAAUAUGUCUAAAUUGAGAAACAUGUUCUGUGGAUAAGAAUAUUGUUGGUUUUUUGCCAUGAUUGUUCAUACCUGUUGGAAAUGGGAAUUAAAAGUAAAUGAAUGUUUCUCUUUAUUAAUCCACAUAUUUUACAUGGACGCACUUAAAAAAAAACGUGGUAUUGGGAGGAAUAGUCGGUGUUCCUUAAGAUUGUUUAUCCAUGUUGGAUUUGAUGUCUAAUUCGAUGAUGGAAAUUAUUUGCCAUGAAAAUAGUUUCUGUUGGAAAGCCAUGAAAAUAGUUUUUGUUGGAAAGCCUUAAUUAUCUAUUUUGCAUCUCUAUUGGUUGUAAGUUGUAUUACUUUAUGAAAGAAAUUAUGUGAACUUUCAUGACCAUUUCUUCUACUAGAAAAUGGAAAAUUGCAUAUGAAUUACUUCAUCUUGAUGAACAAAUUACAUGUAAAAUUAAAACAAAUUGGUUAUUCUUACUUUGUUGUGACAAUUGGAAUGGUUCACAUGCAUGAAUAUUAAAGAAUGCAAUUCAAACCAAUUUGGGCUGUCACAUUUGCUUGGAUGAUACACAAACCCACUUGGGUAGCCCACAUGUUUCUAUAAGGCGUCAUUUAUUGCACGGUGCAUAAAGGAUGUGAAUAAAUGUGGAAGGAUACCUACUUUUUGUUGAAAGUACAAGAAAUUUCAUGACUACUUCUUCUAUUGGAAUAUGAGAAUUAUAUGAUAAAUUUGCUGGUUGAUUUCAUGUCCUAUUGGAAUGUUGAUAGCCACAAUUAAGUGAGAUAAUCUAAUGCAAAAUUGUGUUUGCAUAUAAAUGAGACAAAAUGUGAUUUUGUUCAAAAGUAAAUAAGGUGAAUAUAUGCCUUAUUAUUCGAGAUAAUAUAAUGUUAGUCUUAUUCAUUAAUUGAAUUUGACUUCAAUCGAGGAACCAAUUGAGUUGGCUUAUGCUUGAAAAGCAUUAAUGGUCUUUCGAGAUGACCUUGAUCAAAUCAAAGAUAGUGGAUUGAAGCACGUUAUGACUUAACAAUCAUUAUCUAAAAACUUUCAUGGGUAUUAUCAAAGUGAUAAAAGAAUUGAAUUGUGAAAGAGUUGAUGAACUCUACGUUCAAUUACAAUCCUAGAUGUGGGGGUUGACAUAUUGAGGAACUCUAAGUCCGAGUAUGACCUGAAAUAUGGGGGUUAAAUUUAAUGAUUGAGAACUUAUAUGAGAAGUUAUUACCAAAUUACAUAUGAAUUCAUAGUUAAAGAAUUGUGGGGGUAACUUAAUUAAAAGUUACUAAUGCCUUUUGAUCAUAGAAAAUUAUCUAUGAAGGAGAAAGGGUAGAAAAGCCCUUAUACGUAUAAUUAUAAAAAUGAGAUACACUAAGUCAAUAGAGAGUUGGAGUUUCUUUCUUAAAAGUUUGUUGAAAAGGAUAAGCGCAAGGCCAUAUGAGCACUAAGUGAGAUUGUGGAACUUGAGAACACGUAAUGCUCGUGUGUGUGUCCUUACUUUGUUUGAUUCCGACUUUACAUUGUCUGGAUUACACUAUGGUUAGAUUCAAAUCGAAAGAUAUCUAAUCCUGAAGCAUGAGUAUUGUAUAUUUUGAAUAUUUAUUGAAUUUUGAACAAGUGGGGGAUUGAUGAAAAUUUGUUGAUCAAAACAAUAAAUAUGCGUGGAAUGGAAUGGAUGAGAUUGGAACAAAAAUGUGGACCGAUGGCAACCAAUUAAGCUCAUGCGACCGCAUAGGCCCUUUGGCCAUACGGUCGCAUGGCCUAUUACCGAAAUUGUAGGCCCUUUGCUGGUACGAACCAUGUGAUUGCAUGGUGUUAAACCAUGCGGUCGCAUGGUAGUUAAAUCCGACCGUUAGAUCAUUUUUUCAACGGUUUUUCGGUUGGUUUAUUGGUGACUUUUCAUUUGUUUUGGCACCACUUCAUAUGACCUCGUUCCAUGACUAGAUAUAGGUGGUUUUUGAUCAUAAGAAUUUAAUGAAAAAAAAAGACUUGAUUAUAUUAUGAUCAUGCCGUUAAUUCCACAAUAGAAGGAUAAAUGCUUCUUCUUCCAUAUUCAAUUCUCCUUGUGUUCUUCAAGUCCGAGUGGAUAAAUGCUUGUGCUUUUGUGUUUCUCUACAUCAAGGCUUGAUCAAUCCUUCAAAUCGUUUGCCGUGAGACCCUUUAAGCACCAAAAUUGUUAUCGAGAGGGGAACAAAUAUCGUUUGAGGAUAACGAUAUAAUGUCGUGUUUGAAUCUUUCAUAUUCGGAUUGUUCUUCACGUUUAUUUCAUGUUCUUGAAUUUCCAUUUCUUGAUUUCUUCUUCAAAUACUGGUGUGAUAAUUUUUCCCAACAGGAUAUUUACUAGGAAUCGACUAUCUGAUUAGGAGAAAAUAGAGGCGGUGGUAAUUUGCUUUGAAAGAAAAUCCACGUAUCUAAUGAUUCAUACUGAUUCACUUUACAAAGAACUUUUUCCUCGUAUAAGGCAAAGAGUCUCAAUACAGAAGCGUACCCAUAAUGGGCCUAAAUCGAAUUUGGACCCAACAUCUUGAGAUCUUAAAGUAAAAAACCAUGUAUUACACCAAGCUAAAAGAUAUCUCUAUGCAAUCUAGCCAGCCUCUCUCAUUCAAUGCAAUCCGUUGCACAAUAAUUUAUUGAUUAGUGAAGGUUUAUAUAUAUAUAAUUGCUUUAAGCACACGUCUCUCUAAAGUGAAAAAAUUAAGAAACUGAAGAGAGUUCAUAUGAAUAAAAAUAGAACAAGAACUUGCAACUGAAAUGAUCAACUUCCCAUACAUCACCCUAUGUCCAUUAAAGCCCUCUUAAAUCCAAAGAUCAAGCAACAAUGUCCAUGAGAAAAUACUGGAUGAAGAUCUCAUAGCAAUUGCAUUGUCUCAGGACCAUCGUGAAGAGGAAGUCAAAUAAAAUAUGGAUGAUACCCCCCCUUUGUCUAACAAAGAUAAAUUAUUAGUGUCCUUUUUCAUGUAUUACCCUUUUUGAUAUUUCAAAUUCACUCAUGUUGUACCUCAUAAGCUACUUCAAAGUAUACAAUUCAAGGACUACCAAAAAAAUCAUGCUACUUAGAUAAAUAGUUCUUUAAGAAAGGUAAUUCUGCUAAUUAAAUUUUUUUAUUCUUUUAGUAUUGAAUUAUUUGUUUAAAAAAAGAACAAAAUUCUUGAAUUAAAAUCUAAAUUUUAAUCUUUAUACCUUCCAUUAAAAAUAUAAUUAUUAAUCUGCAACUAAAGUACAUUUAGUCCAGUGAUGUUUCGAUCGAUGAAGGUCGGGGCAUUCCAACGUGGUACCAGAGCCAAGUUUAGUCGAUUCUAUAGACUUAGUGUAUUUUAUAUAUUUAUUUAUUUAUUUAUUUAUGAAAUGAGAAAAAUAAAACAUUUAAGGCACUCCAUGCCAUCUUACCUCCAUCAGUUGAUUUCAUCGAAUAAACCCAAGGCAUGGAAUAAAAUAUUAUGUUUCACUUUUAUUUUUCGAGCAUGAUUUAUAAAUCAUUUAAACUUGAAUCAAUGAAAAUGCUUUUGAUGUUUAGAAUGAAUUAUGUUAUGUAAAUUAUAUUUUGUUUAAAUAUACAUGAAGAAAUGAUGAUUGACCAUUAUAUUAAAACCUCAAGAGCAUAAUGUACAAGUUGGCAUCAAUAACAGAUAUAAAAUAAAAUUGGACACUUAUGUGAUAGACAUGGCUAGAACUAAUCAAACCGUUAGAAAGGCCACAGCUUGUAGAGCAGCGUUGAACCGUAGGUUCAUCACUCAGUCCUAUGAGAACUAUGUGACUGACUCGUCUCGUCCACUUGUUGAACACGUACAUGACAUCUACAAAAGAUGUAUGGCAGCUGUAGAUGCGGGCUUGGAGAUCACGCAUAUCAAGACUAUGAAUAACCUCGUACAUUCACUUCCACCUUAAUGGAAAGACAUGAGAGUUAUGGUUAGGAAUGAGAUGCUAGAAGGUAGCCUUCCAAAGCACAUAAAUACGAUUGAAUUUGGCAUAUAUUGUCAGAUCCUUCUAGAUAAGUGGAGUCAGACUUAGAAUCUCAACUGGAGAUAGUAAUUGAGCUCAAUGAUGAGCUCGAGCCCGAACCUCAGUUUGAAUCAGACCCAAAGGAAAAUCCGAAAUGGGAACAUGAGGAUGACUUUGGGUUGGAAUUAGAGAAUGAUCAUGAGCAUGAACCUAAACCAUAAGUUGAGAUGGAUAUAAAGUCAGGGCAUGAGGUAAAAGACUCCUCCGAAGAUGAAUCUCCACCAAAGAAGACUCACUAGAUUCAUAGGGAUUAGAAAUUUAGAUUCCAUUUCCUUGUAAUAUCUUUUCUUCUAUGUUAUUGAACGUAAAAAUUUGUCGAACUAAUAUAUAUAUCCUGAUUUCAAGGAGUACUAUUAAUAAAGGGGAAAAAUUAAUUAUGAUCAAGUUGAGGAUUAAUACCUUAUUUAUUUUAAGUAUUUUGGUAUUGGUAAAUGAAUUUAAUGUGAGAUAUUGUAUCUUAUCUGUAGGGAAAUGUCUCAAACAAGCCAGAACAAUUUGAUAAAGGAUCUCCUACAAGCGGUUCAAGAUCUAGGUAGGCUGAAUCAGAAUCCAGCUCCACCUACACCACUAGCUCUUAUUACUCUUCCGACUUAUGUCUCGGUAGUUGAGUUAUUUCGAAGGCAUAAACCACCUACCUUCAAUGGAGCAUCUGGUCCACUAACAGUUGAGGAAUGUCUUCGGAAACUAGAACAAAUUUUUUGUUUAUAGACUACACUGAUGCCCAAAGGGGCCAAGGUGCGGAAUUUUUGUUUACAGAUGAUGCAAGUCACUAGAGGGAUUUGAUGUCUCGAACUAGGACUCCGGAACACUAAUUGGCAUUAACUUAGGAAUAAUUCAAGAAGGAAGUGAUGGAAAAGUAUCUUCCUCGGCCUUUAAGGGAUUUCGAAGAGAGCGAAUUCCUUCAACUUAAGCAGGGUAAUAUGUCGCUAACUGAUUAUGAGCGAAAAUUCGACCAACUCUCAAGGUAUGCUCCACACCUGGUGGACACGAAAAUUAAGAAGACUCGAAGGUUUGAGCAAGGGUUAAACCCAGACCUAAGCAUGAUUCUUAUGUCACACCGUUUCACAUCAUACUAAGCUCACACUAUUUGGUAUCAGAAUGCAAAUGCAGAGCAACACCAUCAAUUGUACAACCAGCAGUACCAGCAGGACAAAUGGCAAGUUGGAAAGAGAAAAUGGAAUGGUCAAGACAAACGAAAAAGCAAGAGGCAAAAUAAGAAGACUAAUAUCAGAUUUAGUGCCAAUAAGGCCAUAGUUGCUGUAGUAGCGCCAUGUCCUAAUUGUGAUAAGCCUCAUCGUGACGAAUGCUUGUAUGGGAAGAAUGUCUAUUUUCGGUAGGUAAGUCAGGACAUAUUGCUUAAGGAUUGUCCCAUAUUUACGCAAAAGAAGGAUAAUAAUAGUGAACAGAAUAAAAAGGGGAAAGCAUGAGUUUUUACAAUGACUCAGAAGGAUUCAGAGGAGAACUCAAAUGUGAUAGCAGGUAUAUUACUGAUAUUUGAUACAACUGCUUAUGUACUAUUUGAUUCAGGAGCUAUUCACUCUUUUGUAUCAUCUUUCAUUGCUAAAUCUAGCAUUAAUUGUGGUAAGUCAGAGAGAAUACUAGAAGUUAGUAUCCCCUUAGCCAGAAUAUUGAACACAAAUCAGUUCGCUAGGUCGGUGAAUCUUAAAAUUGAAAGAAAAACAUUUGAAGCUAACUUGUAUGUAAUAGAGAUGAAAGGCUUUGAUGUGAUUUUUGGCAUGAAUUGGUUAUUAUAUAAUUAUGCAACCAUUCGUUGUAGAGAAAGGAAAGCAUCCUUUCAGAAACUAGGAAAAUAACAAUUUUCUUUCCCUGGAAUAGAGACCAAACUCCAUCUCCAACUAGUAUCGGCCUUACAAGCCGAGAAAAUGUUGAGAAAAAAAACAUUUCAAGGGUUUCUAGUUAAUAUCUUAGGAGAAAAAUCGGCAACGAUAAAGAUUGAGGAUGUCCCAGUAGUACAAGAAUUUAUAGAUGUGUUUACAGAAGAUCUACCUGGUAUUCCACCAAAUAGACAAGUGGAAUUCACAAUAGAAUAAGUUUCUAGAGCGGCACCAGUAUCUAAAGCUCCAUACAGAAUAGCUCCAAACGAACUUUCGGAGUUAAAAAUUUAACUACAAGAAUUGUCAGACUGUGACUUUAUUCGACCAAGUGUAUCCCCAUGGGGCGCACCAGUGUUGUUCGUAAAAAAAAAAAAAAAAAAUUGAAGUAUGAGAAUGUGUAUCGACUAUUGGGAGUUGAACCAUUUGGCCAUCAAGAAUAGGUAUCCUCUCCCGAGAAUCGAGGAUUUGUUUGAUCAAUUGAAAGGGGCUAAGGUAUUUUCUAAGAUCGAUUUAUGAUCUGGAUAUCAUCAAUUGAAGGCUAAGGUGAGUGAUAUACCUAAAACAGCUUUCAGAGCUCGUUAUGGAUAUUACGAGUUUACAGUUAUGCCGUUUCGAUUGACAAAUGCUCUGACAGUGUUUAUUGAUCUAACGAAUCAUGUAUAUCAUCAGUAUUUAGAUCAAUUUUUCAUAGUCUUCAUUGACAACAUUUUGAUAUAUUCUAACAGUAAAGAUCAACAUGAGGAACAUCUUAGAAUAGUUCUCAAAAUAUUGCGCAAGCAAAAGUUAUGCGUCAAACUUAAAAAGUGUAAUUUUGGCUUGAGCAAGUUGGAUUCCUCGAUCAUGUAGUUACUGCCUGAGAAAUUGAAGUAGAUCCAGUAAAGGUGGAAACAGUAACUAAUUGAAAGAUACCAACUAAUGCUAGUGAAGUUCAAAGUUUUCUAGGAUUAGCUGUGUACUAACGAAGAUUUAUAGAAAGAUUCUCCAAAAUAGAUGGGUCAAUGACGCAAUUGACAAGGAAAAGAGUAAAGUUUUAAUGUAUAGAUAAGUGUGAGCAAAGUUUUCAGGAGCUAAAGCAACGAUUAGUUACAUCACCCGUGUUAACCAUACAUGAAGGCUCGAAAGGGUUUGUUAUAUAUAGUGAUGAAUCUAAGCAAGGUUUGGGGAUGUGUAUUGAUGCAAUGUGGAAAAGUGAUUACCUAUGCAUCAAGACAAUCAAAACAACAUGAGCAGAACUACCCAACGCAUGAUCUAGAACUUGCGGCGGUAGUUCAUGCAUUAAAAAUAUGGCCCCAUUACCUAUAUGGAGGAAAGUGCGAUAUUUACACGGAUCAUAAGAGUCUCAAAUAUUUCUUUACACAGAAGGAAUUGACUAUGAGAUAGAGACGAUGGUUGGAGCUAGUAAAUGAUUAUGAUUGCACUAUACAUUACCAUCCUGGUAAGGCUAAUGUUGUUAUCGAUGCUCUAAAUAGGAAGUCGAUGGGACAGCCGGCAUCAUUACCUACUACUCAGAUGGAGUUAAUCAAAGACUUGAAAAAUUUGCGAAUCGAAGGGAUUACCACACAAGAACAAGUCACCACUCGUUUAACAACUUUGGUGGUUCAACAUACUCUUAGAGAUCGGAUCAUAGAUACCAGGGUAAAGACCCAUUCUUGCAAAAGAUCAAGAACGAGAUUGGUACAAAUAAGAGAAAGGAUUUUGAAAUAGCUUCUUAUCAGUACUAAUGUUUAAAGGAAGAAUUUGUGUACCUAAGGAUGAAGUUUUGAGGGAAGAGAUAUUGGAGAAGGCUCAUUCCACCCUGUACACCGCACAUCCUAGUGGUACAAAAAUGUAUCGAGACCUCGAGAUAUAUUUUGGUGGAGGGAUGUGAAAGGAAGUAUAGAAUCAUUUAUGGCAAAAUGCAUAGUAUGCCAACAAGUUAAAGCAGAACAUCAAAGUUCGACAAGGUUAUUAAAUCCAUUAGACAUACCUGAAUGAAACUGUGAGAAUAUCGCCAUGGACUUUGUGGUAGGAUUUUCAAAGUCAGCAAGAGGACACAAUGCUAUAUGGGUAAUAAUGGAUCAUUUAACAAAGAUCGCUCAUUUUCUUCCAGUAAAAAUGACAUUUAGUAAAGAUCAGCUAGCGCGGUUGUAAAUUAGAGAGAUUGUAAGAUUGCAUGGUGUUCCCGUUUCCAUUGUGUCUGAUAAGGAUCCGAGAUUUACGUCAAAGUUUUGGAAAAGCUUACAAGGAGCUAUGGGAACGAAAUUGAAUUUCAGUACGGCGUAUCACCCUUAAUCAGAUUGUCAAUCUGAAAUGACCAUUCAAAUUUUGGAAGAUAUGUCAAGGGCCUGUGUUCUAGAUCUAAGAGGUAGUUGGUAAUCGUAUCCACCUUUAGUGGAAUUUGCAUAUAAUAACAGUUUCUAAGCAAUUAUUGAAAUGACAUCGUAUGAAGCUCUCUAUUGUAGAAGAUACAGAUCACCUGUUCAUGAGGAUGAAUUUGGAGAAAAAGAGUUUUGGGACCAGAGAUCAUUGAAAGAACAGUUGAAGUCAUUGAUAAGAUCCGUACCAGGAUAAAGAUCGUGCAAGAUAAACAAAAAGGCUAUGCAGAUACUAAGAGAAAAGAUUUGGAAUUUGAAGUUGGAGCGAGUUUUUCUAAAGGUGGCACCAAUAAAGGGUAUACUUAGAUUCUGCAAGAAAGGCAAACUACAACCUUGUUAUAUCAGAUCUAAUAAGUGAUGGAAAAGUCGGGAAAGUGGCUUAUCGACUGGCUUUGCCGCUUGAAAUAUCAGCUGUUGACAAUGUGUUUCAUAUAUUAAUGAUACGAAUGCAUAUGCUCCUGAUCACGUGGUCAAUUAUCAAUCAUUGGAAGUACAAAAAGACUUAUCUUAUGAGGAAUUAUCGAUUAAGAUACUGGAUCGAAAGGUACAUAAAGUAAGGGACAAGGAGAUUCAAUUGGUUAAAGUGCAAUGGAAUAAUCAUGGAGUAGAAGAAACUACUUCAGAAAGAGAAGAAGAAGUCAAAGACAAAUAUCCGACACUCUCUGCCAAUCCAUAACGUAAAUUUCGAGGACGAAAUUUUGUAUAAGGUGUGAGGAAUGUAGAAGCCCGAGAAAUAAAAUGAAAUUAGGCUAUUAUUUUGUGACGAUCUUGCACCAUGAGCCUAGCCCAUUUAAGAAACGAGUUAUGAAAGUUCAACCCAUUUAAAAUUAUGAAAGCCCAAGCCAUAAGUUAAUUAAAAAUCAAACAAUUUAAGAGAUUAAUUUUAAGUAAAUUUGAUUACAAAGACUUAAUGAAUAAUUGGGUUGUUUCAAUAGUCAUCUACAUGGUAUUUCAUAGAGGCAACCAAGUUCGAAUCACCAUGUAGAUUUUUUAUAAAACCUUUUAUAUGAAUUAUUUUUUUACGGCUUAGAAACUCUUUAAAUUCUUAGUUAAAGACCAAAUUUAACAAAUUUAAUGAAUAUACAAUCCCCCAUUUAAUUUUUCAUUAAAAAGAAAGGUUGCAAGAAGAGGAAUCACUUUUUCAUUACACCUCUCAUCAAAUCCGAAUUUGCUCUUAUUUUCUCUCAAAUAUACUUCAUGUCAAGUUAAGCCUAAGGAUUAGUAAGGGUGUGAAGAAGAAAUAUUCUUUAUACAUUUGGUUAUUUUAUAUCCAAGAAAAUUCAAGAUGAGUAGAGGUGCAAGUGUUUAUUUCAUUUUCAAAUUAUGAUUUUUCGAUAAAUGCCUGAAAGAAAUUGUACCUCCGGGUACGGUACUUUGGCACUACGACAGUUUGAAUGAUCAUUUUCUGGCUCUACGUGUUAUGAUAAUGCUAUAGUAAUUGGAUUUUAUCGAAAAUCCAUCUACGUGCGACGAUAUGAAUUUAAAGUUCGAAAUUUCUAAUUUUAUAGCGAAAUGCACCGAUGAUUUCUAAUGAGUUUCAAACUCAUGGGUUAACUCCCUUCCUACAGGUUGAAUGGAUUUUCCUUGAAGUGUGGAUGAUAGUAAAUGAUGAUGCGACAUGCCAUGGAGAAAGCCAAUAACUUGAAAAUUUUAAUUAAAUCAUGAAAUGUUUAUGUUUAUUAUUAUUAUUAUUUUUUUUGAAUUUCUAUGGACGUCAUAUGGAACUCUUCUAAGAAUAUUUCUUUAUGAAUAAAUUAUGUUUGAAAGUAGAUAUGUGUCAUAGAAAUAAAUUUACAAAUCACCGUUUACAAAAAAUGUUAGUGAUUUAAAGUUUUGCCGUCUCUUCAAAAAUUUCAAUUUUGGCUUCGUUUUAAAAAAUUUAAAACUCUUUCGUUACUUGGCAUAUUUAUACAAAGCUAGUAGUGUUGAAUAGCCUCAUAAGUUAAUUACUGAAUAAACUUGGAAUCAUGUUAAUCCAAUGUCGAUGAGAUUUUAUGUCACUUAAGGUAAACUGCACUAGCUAGUGUUGUUGCUUUCCAGUUUCUAAAGGACUUCAAAAUUCAUAACUCGAUCGUUACUUAGAAUUUCUGGACGAACCCAAUUGGAUUUAAUAGUAUCUUGGAUUAGCUAUUGAAUAAAUUUGAAAUCAUGUGAUUUUGAUGUUUGUGAAAUUUUAUAUGUAAUUUUAAAUGAAUUGCACCAAUUUACCUUUCAAUCGAGUCGCUGCUAGGUUUUGAAAAAUAUUUUAAUAUAUGAUGCCGAUAGAAACUAAUUUUUUUGAUAAUGUUAUAUUAUAAGGAAUUUUCUACUUUACAUUAAAAUUUGGUGAAGUUUCGAGGCCGAUACCAAAAAUUUCACGUCAAUAAUCGUUACAUAAUACAUGCAUGGAACCCAUUCUAAAAUAUUUUUGAAAUUGUUUUCUUUUAGUAUUGAAUUAUUUAUAAUAAUAAUUAAAAAAAAAAGAACAACAUUCUUGAAUUAAAUUCUAAAAUUUAAUUUUUAUACCUUCCAAUAAAAAUAUAGUUAAUUAAUUUACAGCUAAAGUACAGUUAAUUUAGUGACGUUUCGAUCCAUAUGGGUCGGGACAUUACAGAGAGUAUCAAGGAAACAGAUGGAUUUUGUAUCACCAAAAGUAAUAAAAUGAUACCCUUUUCAAGAAAUAUCCUCUGCUAACAAUCGGAUCGAAGGAUGUAACCCAAAAAAUGUCCUCCAUAUGUAGUAGUGUAAGCACUAAAGGCCUAUUACUAAUUGACAGAUACAUUCCAUAUAAACAUACAGCCAAUCCAAUAUGAUUAUUCAUAGAAAACAUAAUGGAGCAUUGAUGCAUAUCAGAGCAUGCUGUUCAAUGAAUACAGACGAAAGGGACUUACUUAAGGAUGCAUGACAUCACACACCGAAUCCAAUGAUCAUAAUCCUCUGAGUUGACCCUGCAGCAAUGCUUGUUUUGAUCUGCUCAAGUCCAAAAGCUUGUAUCCAUUGUCACUGGAUUUUGCUAACCAGUGCAAUUUCGCCAUGCUGCUCAAAUAACUUUGAAAUUUCAUUUUGCUAAUCCAUAUCAAAAUCCAAGUACAUUCUAUAGGCAUUCCGAUCUGAAGAGUAGUAACCGUCUAUCAGACUAUCCACCUGAAAGCCAAGUUUCUUGUAAAGACUCAUAGCUGGGCUUCUAGAGGGAUCUACAUGAAGUGAUAUGCGGUGAACAUUUCUAGUCCUGCAUUUCUGUAUAGCUGCGUUAAGCAAUGCUUCGCCAUGGCCUCUUCUUCUAUGGUUCUCUUUGACUGAAUUAAGACAAGUAAUGCCAUCAGGUAAAAAGUCAAGUUCUACAUUGCAAUUUCAGAACAUUCAACCACAUCUGAUGAUUAGCAGGUUCUUCUGACCAACCUAAGAAUGACAAGGAAAAUUACAGGAAAUAUACCACUCAUCAAACUAUACCGCAUUUCAUAGUGUGUGACUAAGUUGGACAAUUAGGAGCAUUGCCACUGGAGAUUGAUCGAAUACCCAAAUGAGCUAAAGCUCGAGCCAGAGAACUAGUAAAGUUUUAUUAGGUCUAGAGUGCAUGUUCAUCAAAUAGAGGCUAACCACUUGUAUUUAUAGUCAUAGAACUUACUCAGAAGCAGAAUUUUAUUUGCAAUCGGUCUAGAGUCCUUCGAAAACUAAGUUGUGUAAAGCUUAUAAAAUAAAGGUGCACACUGGCUUCUCCUUUAUUAGAUAACCUUCUGCUUACAAGUUAGACAGAUAUUCUGGAAACAAGAACUACAAUAUAUGUUGGUGAUGUCAGGUUGGCACUGUUGAGUUAAGCACUUGGUGUGCUAUAAUAGGUUUCGUCCACUGCCUCUAGGAUAGGUUUCACUUCAGGUCAGAUUUCUAGACCCAUCCUUAUAAGCAACCGACGAAAACCUGAUUAUUCUAUCAGACCAGUAGUAAUGGUCAUUGGUCUCCCACCAUCUGACAACACUAUCAUGCUCGAUGGUUUGGUUAUUCAAUUGUGCAGGUUGUUCUUUAAGGACUCGUCGUAUUCUUGUUUGAAUGCUACCAAGCAUUCAAAGUGUCUUGCAAGCCUCAACACCAAUAAAUUGCACCAGGAUAUUGAUAGACCCUCGAUCAUCUUUUCAUAUGCAAGAAGAAAUAAGAGGGACAAUGGGCUUAACAAAGAGGCAGUCCGGGCAGAUGAGUGACCAUGGGGCUGCAGCAAUCUGUCGCUAUUUUUCAGGGAAAAGGGUAGGGACAUGGCAAUAAAUAUAGGCAUUUUAUCGCUGGGUAUGCAAAAAUUGCUUGGCCGCUGACAGAAUUACUUAAAAAGAAUGGGUUUAGUUGGAGUGAAGCGGCUGGGACAGCUUUCGGUAAUCUAAAAAGGGCCGGGACGGAGGUUCCAAUACUUGCUUUGCCUGAUUUCUUGCACGAGUUUGUGGUUGAGACCGAUGCCUCAGGACAUGGUUUGGGAGCGGUACUGAUGCAGCAGAGGCAUCUGAUUGCUUCAACCAAAUAUUGCCAAUAAGUGCACGGUGCAAGUCAAUUAUGAGCGAGAAUUCAUGGCUACCGUGUUCAACAUACCAUUACUUAUUGGAGAGGCACUUUAUUGUGCGCACAGAUCAGCGAAGCCCAAAGUUCCUUCUUGAACAUCUUGUUAUGUUAGCGACGAACAUUUGAAAUGGUUGACCGAACUCUUAGGAAGUUUGAAAUUCAAUACCACCUCGGCCUUGAGAACAAGGCUGCAGAUGCUCAGUCAAGAAUGGUUCCAAUGGUUAGUUUCUUCGCUGUCUCUCUUCCUAGUGUGCUGCAAACAGAGGACAUAACGCAGGCAGUGGCUGCAGACAUUGACAUGCAGGAGAUAAUUGCAGGGUUACAAACAGGACAGGGGGCCAAGUUUGGUUAAUCGUUGUUGGAAGGGAUGUUUUAUUAUAAGGGCAGAUUGGUGUUAAGAAUUUCACAACACUGGAGUCCGCCAUUCGGGUUUUUUUAAGACGUACAAAAGGGUAGCAUAGUAGGUGUAUUGGAAUGGCGUGAAGAAGGAAGUUAGAGAUUUGUUGCCUGCUGCAGAGUGUGCCAGCAAAAUAAAUACAUGGCGUUAUCACCCCAAGGUCUCCUAAAACCAUUGCCUACACCGGACCAUGUUUGAACUGACAUAUCGUUAGACUUCAUUAAGGGGCUGCCAAAGUCAGAGGGGUGGAACACUAUCCUGGUAGUAGUUGAUAGGCCAAGUGUGGUCACUUCAUCAGGUUGAAACAUCCUUUUAAUUCGCUUCAGGUGGCCAAUGUUUUUAAUCAAGAGGUUGUCCACCUGCACAGCAUAAGCCAGUCAAUGUGUCUGACACGGACCUGAUCUUCAUGAGUAAAUUUUGGGAAGAACUUUUCAAGACACAGGGAACUACCCUUAAAAGGAGCAUUGCAUACCACUGAUGGAGUAUUAUAAGGGAUUUUAUUUAUUUAGUUUCUAAUUUUAAAUUGUUUUUUAGGAAAUAUUAUUAUGGUUUGAUUUAUUAGCUUUUAUAAUACUUUCUUACUUUGAAUAAUGUCCUUUGAAACCCUAUAUAAAGGGAGUUAUGUGAUGUAAUCAAGACAACCUUGAAUGGAUAAAAAGUGAUAUAUUUCUUCUCCAAUUCUUCUCUAUUCUCUUCUCUUCUUCCUCUUCUAGUUUUCCCUCCUUUCUCUUCUUUUCCUCCCUUUCCCCUUCUACAGUUCUCCCAUAGCAACCAAUAUCAACCAUCCACAAACGGAUGGCUAAAUGGAGGUGGUCAAUCGAUGCUUAUAGACAUACUUAAGAUGCUUCGCCACAAGCAAACUACGGACAUGGAGUCAAUGGUUACCAUGGGCUGAGUUUUGGUACAUCACUUCAUUUCACACCGCCACAAAAAAUGCUCCUUUCCACACUGUUUAUGUAACGCCACAAAUUUUACUACUAGUUAAGAUUUAAAUUUAGGACUUAAGUGCGCUAUUAUUAAAAUUUAACGAUUUUAUUGAUUAUUGGUAUAGUCUAAUGACCUUAUUAGUUAUUGAUCAAUAGUUUGAGGGCCCAAGUAGAAAGUUAUUUUUCGAAGUUAGAUGAAAUCAUGCAUAAAACAUAUGUAAAUAUGCCAACUGAUCUCAAUUAAAGAUGAUUUAUUGACCACAUGUAUUAUUCACAUCACAUUUUAAGCCAAUGUAAUUAUUUGACCACGUAAAUAAAAAAAAUUGGUUUAACCAUGUGCAUUAUUUACGCCAAGCUUUAACCUAACUGAAUUGAUUUGACCACAUGACUAAAGGUAUUGAUUUGACAUUUUCAUGACAAUACACCAUUUAUGCAUUGAUCAUGCCAAACAUCUAGUAACUUCCUUUCACUUUUUUACACAUGAUCAAGAAUUUUUACUAUAAAUAGGAGAAAAGACCCAACACUAAACUAUCCCUCAAAAACUAUUUACACACUCUCCCUCUCUACCUCUAUAACUUUGUGUCUCCACUUUCUCUCGCUUGUCAUUUUCAUAUUAAAUUUAGUCGUACACUUAUACAAUCACACGUAAAUAAUCAACCCUAAAACGGCUCAAGGAUCUCUUUCCAACAAUAAAUCAUUUUAUCAUUUUGAAUUGUCCAAUGAAAAGGUAAGUUCUACUUUAUGUUUAAGGUGGCUAAUGUAUAUGCAUAUAAUAUUUCUACGGCUAUAUUAUGUUUGGUCCAUGUUACGUAUAUUUUAUUAAGAAUGGACUGGAAUUUAGUAGCGCUAUGCACGAGAAUUUAGUAUCAUAUAAGUUCAGUCUAUUUUUCGUACCUCCAUAUGCAAGUUAUGAAUUUUUCGUAGAAAUACAAAUAUGAAUUCAUUAUCCACGCAUGCUUAUUGAGAAUUAUUCUCACGCAAUUAUGUCUCUACUUUUCAAAUAAUUGACAAUUCGAGACGCUCAACAAAGAGAUGGCUUAUGGUGGCAAAAUUUCAAUAAUAAAAUUAUUAUGUUGUCAAACUAUUAUUAUUUCAUUUAAUUUUAAAUAUUUUAAGAUAUUUCUCAUCUUAUGUUAAUUUAUUAAACUUAUUACAUUAUUUGAAUUUUGGUAAGUACUUUAAUAAUUUAUAUGAUUGUGUUUAAUAUUCUUUAAAUUAGUUUUAGUUUAUGAUUUAGUGACACUCGAAUCAUAAAGAAAAGCUUGAGAUUUAAGGGGUUCACUUGUGACCCCCUCCUCCCCUUGAAGGCUUUUAGUUGAGCGUUACUCAAAUCUUUUAACAAAUCCUCAAGAAUAUGAUUGUCAUGGAAAAAAGGAAUUACAUCCUUGAUUUGAUCCCAAAAUUGAUUAGUUGUGUAUAGACUAAUUCCUUUCCUAAUUUAAUUGCUUAAAUUCCGGCCAUUAGGGCCUGCUAUCACGGGGGAAAGAUUAUUGCCCAUUUCUAUGUAUAGAAUUAGUUUCCUAAAUUAGUGAUCAUUGUAAUCUAUAAAUUAUACAUUUUUAUUAGAGAAAUACAGUUAGAAAUCAUAUUCUUAUUCAUCUAUAUGGUAUCUGUAACGCUUCGAAAAUUUUAGAAUAAAAAUGUAUUUGUUUUAUAUGUUACAUUUUUAUAUUUUGAAAAAAAAAAACGAGGACUAAACACUUUUUUUUUUAUUUGGGUCAAAAAUUAAAAAGUGAUAAGAGUAAUGAUAAGUAUAUUAAUAUUAUACCCGUUGGAUUGCUUGUAAUUAAUCAUAUAUUUUAGGCUCGAGAAAAAUCGAUUUGAGUAAUUCAGCACCAAGAUAUUACAUCUUGAAAUAGAGAUACACUGUCACACGUAAUUGGAGUGUCCCAUUUUGAUUUUUGAAAUUAUAGGUUAGAUAGUAGAUAAGGUAGGUUCCUUUUUUAAAUGAUUUAGUUGCCUUGAUUUUUGGAAUUUGGUAAGCGUGGACUACCAUGCGUUGUUUAUAUAUAGAAAAGAAAUAAAUGUUGAUUGUAUGGAAUACUGGGAUUUAGACCGAACAAAUACGACAUAUGUGCAAAUUUUUGGCCUAUUAAAAAUUCAUUUCUUUCCCAUUCACACUUUAAAUGCCAUACAUAGCAUUAUUCGUUUCUAUACAAUUCUUUUGACUCUGCCACGCGUAUUUCGAAAUUGAAUAAAACACGUUAUUAUGUUAGAUAGAAAAAAGUAGAAAAAUUUGAUAACCACCUUUUUUGGGAGUCUGUCCCAUACAUAAACGUAAAUCACAUUUAAUUGAGGUAAACGUAAAUGGUAAACUUUAUUUAAUUGGCAUCAUCAUUUCAAUUAUACUAAAUUUUGAAAUUUUGAUAUGGACCCUAUAAAUACCCCCAUUACGUCCAAAUAAUUCUCAUCCAAGAAAAAAAUAUACAUAUACUUCAGCACAGUAAUAGGCGGAAGUAAAAAUCUGAAACGCGAAUUUAGUAUUGCCUUUUAUAUUCAUUCGAGCUAACAACGUAGGAUACUACGUGCAAAUUGAUCCAUCCUUUCAAUAUUGUAAUUUUUUUGACGUGAUUUAUCCCAUGAAAUGCUAAAUGACUUCCGGGUCCCAAUGAAAUGAAAUGAAAUGAAAUGUUAGAUCGCCUUCGGGUUUUCUCAAAUGUGUUAGAGCUUUCGAUUGAUUAGCGAUUGCUCUUGAUGAAAUGAUGGUAUGAAAUGUUAUGAAUUUAUGUUUAAAAGUUAUCGUAUUGUUUGGACGCACGUAUCCUACUGAGUAUAAUCACUCACUCCUUCAAAUUUUAAUAUUUCAGGUCAGUACGAUCGACAUGGAUGGUAGUGAGCGGUGUGCCGGCUGCCAAAUAAAAUCUUUAAGGAAAUGUUUACGAAUAAAUUUGUCAAGAGUACUUGGUGUGUUUUCUUUGUUUCUAUUAAUGUUCUAAAGGUUAUGACACUGUCUAUUUUAUUUAGUAUUUAAGAGUUCAAAUAAAUGUAAGGGUUUUAAAUUUCCAAUUAAAUAUUUCCGCAUCAAAUAUGUUUAUGGAACGAUAUCGGUAACACCCCAAAAUUUAAGUCAAUAAAAUUUGGGGCGUUACAGUAUCAGAGCUUAGGAAUUUUUCCUAAGAUAGUCCUGUAGUUUUUUCCUCUUCUAUGACUUCUAUGUAGUCAAUGGUUUGCCUUAGGCUGAGUAUUGGUACAACACUUCAUUUCACACAGCAAAUAAAUACACUACUUUUCAGAUUGUUUACGAGCGUGCUCCACCCCCAGUGUUGAAAUUCGAGAAAGGUACUUCAAUCAUGUCAUCAUCGGAACAAUCAUUAUUAGCCAGAGAUGAGGUACUACUAGAGCUGAAAUUGCAGCUUACACGGGCUUAGCAUAGAAUGAGACAGCGGGCUGAUUGGCAUCGCCGUGACAUUCAGCUCAAAGUAGGAGAAUUUGUGUAUCUCAAGCUCUGUCCCUACCGACAGAAAUCUGUAGUACAUCUCCGGUUGCCAAGUUGUCCUCACGGUAUUUUGGACCGUUUGAAGUUGAGGCAUGGGUUGGACAGGUUGCAUAUAAGUUUAAGCUACCAUCUGAGGCUGCGAUACACCCUGUGUUCAUGUGUCGCAACUCCUUAGGGCAGUCGGGCUGUUCAGAUGCUUCUCAACUUCCACCAAAACUCACUAUAGAGGGACAAUUACAUGUGGAACCAGAGGCAGUGUUACAGGACACACCCAACUCUUCUAGCACAAAACGGGAAGUACUGAUAAGGACCUUCCGACAUUUGAAGCCACAUGGGAACCCUUUGAGAUGAUCCGACAGCAAUUUCUGGAUUUCCACCUUGGGGGGUUGGGGAGGGGGGAGGUAAUGAUAGGCCCCCGAUAAAGUUCACCUACGUGAGACGAAAGAAAGGGCAGUGCACUGGGAGCAUGGAGGCAAACAAGGCAGCAACUAGUUCAGUUCUAGUUAGUAGAGUACAAGUGCUUUGAGAAAGAGUCCUUUGUAAGAGAGGGGAAUAAAUGUAUUGGAGAAAAUUCGGAGGAGUCAUUCAUGUUCUUUUGGUUGAGUCAAUUGGAGAGUCCAAGCCUCUCAAACGCCUUGGAGUUGUUCCAAUUCUAUUAUGGAUAUUCAAUAAAAUUUCAAUUCAUCUUUGGUCCCAUAUCGUUGUCUUACAAACACAUUGAUUAAUUCCAAUUACAUAAACUCUGUUAGCAGCUUAUAAUCUCCAUUUUUGUGUUGGUCAAGGUUGGAUUCCGUCGAGAGCUCUGCAGAGCCGGCUAGAGCAAUGAAGCUUAGUUCAGGUACUUAUCAGCAUACCAUCAAAAUGUGAAGCGCUUUAAUAUUUUAUAUAAUUGUGUUGAAUAUUCUUUAAAUUAGUUUUAGUAUAUGAUUUAGUGACAUUCGAAUUGUUAAGGAUUCAAGUCGCCACAGUUUACGGUAGGGAACCACCACAAGUUCUUUCCUUUGAGAAGGGCAUUACAGUCAUCUCUUCAGUGCAGCAAUCGUUAGUGAAUCGGGAUGAAAUCCUUCAGUACUUGAAAGUGCAGCUAAACCACGCACAGCAAUGGAUGAAGCGUAUAGCAAACAAGCAUCGCUCUGAUAUUCAGUUGGGGUUGGUGAAUUGGUCUAUCUUAAAUUACGUCUUUACCAUCAAAAGUUGGUGGUUUAUAAAGCAUUAGUAAAACUCUAUUCCAUAUACUACAGACCCUUCAAAGUUGAAGCUAAAGUUGGGCGGGAGGCUCGUAAAUUAAAACUCUCGGCUAAGGUGUCCAUACACCCAUUGUUUCACGUAUCGCAACACCGUAAAGCUAUAGGUGCGGUCCAAACUACCUGUGAAUUUCCACCACAACUGUCGCAGAUAAUCAGUUAAAUGUGGAGCUAGAGGCGUUGUUACAGUUUAGGCCUAACAUUGCGAGCUCAACGGGCCGGAAGUGCUGAUAAAAUGGAAGGAUUGUCUAGCUUUUGAAGCCAUUUGGGAACCGGUUGACAGAAUCCGCCAGUAGUUUCCAGAUUUCCACCUUGAGGACAAGGUGGAACUCGGUGGGGAAGUAAUGAUAGACCCCCGAUCAUGUCCGCGUAUGCGAGAAGAAAUAAUAGGGAAAAUGGGCUUAAAAAAGAGGCAAUCAAGGCAGAUGAGUGACCAUGGGCAGUUGCAAUCCGUUAUUAUUUUUCAAUUUGAAGUCUGUUAUCUUUUUUUUUUUUUUUUGGGGGGGGUGUCAUUAGAUGUCAAUAAAUAUGAAGGGGAGGGGAAUUAGUUUUUCAUUCAAGCAAGUAGUGAGAAUAGUGAGGAGAGCCAGGCCCUCUCGAAUGCCUUGGAUUAUCUCAUUUCUGUUUUCCAUUUCAAUUGAAUAAAUCAUCCAGUUCUCUAUCAUAUUCUGCCACUUCUACUACACUGCUUCAUCAUAUUACAUCUUCCUCUGAUAGCAGCUACUCCUAUACUAAAUUCACAUCUGUAAUUGAGCAGGAUCUCAAUUACCAGUAGCAACCAGUGGAAAGGGUAGCAAUUCACAGCCACAGUUCAGGGUCCUAUCAUAUAUAUGCAUCAGCUCAUUCCAACAAGUGAUUGAUCUUGUCCUCCAUUUCUUCUACCUCCUCUUUGGCAUUCUCAUCAUCUGAUGAGUAUUAUUGAGGUCUUGCACAUAAUCACAUCUAAUACUUCUGUCAUGGCUUAUCUAGUUGGGCUUGUAUUGCUAGUGGGCUUUCCCAAAGCCCUUUACUUUUAGGUUUGUUUUAUUCUAUAUACGUUUGUAUCUCUUCAUUGGGAAAGAGAGAUGAAUGUUGAAUUGGACAGUGGCUUGCUACCGUCCAUUUCUCGUCUUCCUCUUCUCUGAUUUUCUUCUUCUUCUACUUCUCUGUCUACUGCUGCUGUGUUUCUUCUUCUCGGUUCUUCCUCUCUUCUUCUUGCUCUUAAUCUGUUCUCCAUGUCUAUUUCCUUUUACUCUGCUGGUCUAUCUCUUUCUCUUUAUAAUUAUCUUUUACUUGUAAUUUCCUACACUGUAAUAGAAUUGUCUAUUAAUGAGAUGAAAAGCAGUUGGUAUUGUAAGUUAUUUUAGAUUUUGUUCUUAAAUUUAGGUAAUUACAAUUUAUAUUCUGUAUCUUAAGUUUAUAGUUGCUGGUUAUUGGUUGAGUUGGUUGAAAACUGAGCUCCAACCAUAACAACUUCAUGCGACUCCAUCCAGGUGCAAAAUGUGCGUUGCAGGUCCUAUGGUCUCCCUUCCUGUGUUUAUGACUAGGUCUUGAGAUCUUAAGCCAUUCGGGCUGUAGUAGGUCAUCCCACACCAUCUUCACAAAGAGAGGUGCCAAUUUGGCUAUUAGAUCAUUCCUAUGUUCUAAUAGUGUAGCUUCUCCUACUACAAGAGCAAGCUCGUCCUGGUUGUUAGGUUGAUGAAGGCGAGCUUUUGAAGGCUUCUCUAUCCACCGCCCACGGCUACUUACCCCUUCAUUACCCAAAGAAACGCCCAAAAAACUGCAGUUAUGUAAACAAAUUAAAAGUCCUCCCCCGCACAUGCACACACCCCGGUACUGUUCUGCAUAUUGCUUUCCCCAUUAAAAUAUUACACAAGAAAAUAAACCAAAUAUAAAAAUUAUGCCUAAAGAGGUUAAAAAAAUGUAAGAAUGAGAGUAAAAGCAUUUAAAAUUGAACCUGCUAGUUUUGUAAUUGAAGCAAAGAGUGAGGAGGGCCAAGAAUACAUGACAUAUCCCGCAAUUUCACCUCCAAUUUCAGAGUAAAGCAAGCCACAGUUCUUCUUUCUGAGCUCUUCUUCGAAUGUUUUUGCAAGCGAUUCAUGUUUUGGGAAGAUCUUUUUCUCUAUUCUUACUAUUUCCCCCAACAUUUUUGGCCAAUUGGCCGAAUUCCUGUGCAAUUCCACUAUUUCCCAAUUUGCCAUGCGACGGCUCCAGACUGCUACAGAGCAAAUGAAAUUCUACAAAACCAGGAAUGUGAAAGAAAUUGAAAGCCCCAAUCGUACUUCUGGCCCUAUCUCCCCACGAUUAAGGUAAUUACAUCUGCAGUAACUUAACUUUCUGAAAAAUCUUAAUUGGGUCAUUAAACUUUAAUUUAUCUUAAUUUAAUUACAGCAUUUCAAUUUAAUUUCAAAUUGGGUCACUGUCCCAGCUAAAAUUUUGAUGGAUUUUAAAAAAUCAUAAAUCUUAUGAAUUUUGUAAGUUUGAAUAGAUAUCCACAAAAUUCAUAAAGAAUUUCAUUAAAAAUAGUGAAAUUUUUUUUAAAAAAAAAUUGUUAUAUGUGUUUUUAAAUUUGAAAUUCAUUCAAAUUUUUUUAGUAAUUUUUCAGGAUAACUAAAUUUUGGAAAAUUUCAUUAAAAUUCAUUAAAAUUUCAAUUACGAUACUUAAAUUUUAAUGAAUUUCGUUAAAUCUAUUAAAUUUUAAAUUGGGAAUUUCUAAAUUUAUAAAGGACUUUUAAAAUCCAUCAAAAUUUUAGUUGAUGAUAACCCGUUAAUUUUGCCCUCGUUUGGCCCCCAUUUUUGUCAAAUUUUAAUGGUUGGAAUGGUAUUUUUUUUUUAAAAUGUGAUUGAAAAAGAAUGAAAAGUGUUUGAUUUACUUGUAAUAUUAUUUUAUGGAAAAUUGUGUGGUCGAAAAUAAGAGAGAGAAAAAGAAUGAGAAUGAGAAUGGUGGUCAAACGGGACUUAAUGCCGAUUAGUAGAAUAUCAAUUAAUAUGACUGUUAACCAACUAGUAAUUUUUUCAGUGAAAGUAAAUUAAAGUUUAUUGAUCCAAUUAAGGAAAACUAACAUUAGUAACCCAAUUGAAAUAUAGGUAAGAGUUUACUGCAAAUGAAAUUUACCCCAAUCAUGCUAAUUCUACAACUAGUCAAAUCAAUGGCCAGAUCUUUACGAUAAAUACUUCAACCGUAAAGAAUUACUACGAUAGGACGGUCAUAUCUCCACGUGAUGCAACCGUCCAAUGUCGAGACACCACCUCGGUAGAUGGCCUACAUAUCUUGGUGUGUGGUGGGCCACCCUUUCAAGGUGGCCCUUCCUUACAGGACGGUCGCACCAUGUACUACCAAAGUAUUUCUCAAUUUUUAUCCCUCACACAUUGUCAAACUAAUAGUACAAAUUCAUUAUACACCUAACUUAAUUUCAAUUAUGGUGUUCUCUAUUUAAGCUGUUCUCUAUUUAAGCUUCAGUUGUAUUAAAUUUCUAUUGUGGUUUUGAAUUGAUUUUCCGAUUCCUGAUUAUUUCAAGGAUUAUUUGUAAAUUGUGAAGAGAGUGUACAAUAGGAAUCAUGAAUUGGAGGUAGAGAUACUCUCAUGGUUCGUGAAAUCUCCAUAUGAAUUUAUUGCUCGAUUAACGCGUUUGAAUGUGUAGUAAUUUACAUUGAGGUAUAUUUAGUUAUUAUAUUCAAGUAUAUUUGAUUUAUUUGAGAGAAACUACAAAACAUCUUGGAUAAAUUAGGUAUCAAAAUGAGAGGCGAAGAUAAAACAAAAAGACUACGACAAAGUUAAAUCAACAAUUUAAUUCAGUAUGCACGAGAUUCAUGGGGUGGUUUUUACUUCUUAUUGUAUUGCUUUUCGGGAUAUGUACACUUACGUUUUUCAUGAACAAUGUUCCACCUAAGUUUCCUUUGAAUGAUGUACGUGUGACAUGCAGAGUUAACUCAGAGUUAGAGGACAAAAUUUAACCAUGCAAAAUUAUUUCGCACGUGAAAUAUAAUAAUAUCAAUUUUCUAUAGUUUAUUAAAUUGUUAUUAACGAGUUAUACUUAUAAAAACACCAUAUAAUAACUUUAUUUUCAAUUUAAUCAAAUGCAUUAUUUUAAUAUAAACAAUGUCGUAUAAUGACCUCAAAUAACGGUAAAACAUAAUAAUACCAUCUUCUUCUUUUUUUAAUAAUUUUAGUUCUCAGCGAGGGCCUCACCUUCGUCGACUUCGGCCUUCAACCAAGUUUGCGAAUGUCGUGCAUCCUUCAUCAUGCAACAUAACAUAGUCCAGCAACUACACCACAAACUUAAAAGCCCGUACAUUAAAUGAAUAACUAUAUAUGGGAUUCGAGCACUAUUGAACUAUACUAUUUUUCUUCAUGAAAACAUAAGCAACUUUAAUCGAAUAAAUAACACCUCACUCUAACAGCUAUUGUCGUCACCUUAUCCAGCCAAGUAGGUCAAGUUUGUAUCUUUGGUAUGUGAUUUAUGUAACAAUUCUCUACCGUCGUUGCCUUAUCAUGUCAAUUAGGUCAAGCCUAAACCCUUUGUCAGAUUUGUGGACAACAAAAUGGUAUUAGCAUACAAUGGUUAUGAUUGAUUGACACCUUCAACAAGUGGCCAUCCACACAGAAGAGGCUACAUACAAUUUCCUCCAUCCUACUGCCAACAAUCAUCCUAAAACUCACACAAUGUGCUAUUUCAAAGAUAAUACAAGUUAAGAAUCACAAACUACAACUUUGAUAUUAUUAUCACGGAAUCCCCCAAAAUUGACCCCCUUUUACACUGGAGACUUGCAUCUAAAGCCCCUUCUAAACUCUUCUACUUAUUACUCCAACUUGACUGUCGGUGUGCACUCGACCUACUCCACCAACAUCGGAUUGCUAAUAGUUUGUACAAGUGUGCAAGAAUCAAGUUCGUGUGGACGUGAAAGACAUUGGAAUCUAUUGACCAUGUCAGAGAUACAAAAUUCGAAGUCAAUAAUAAAUAUCACUUUUUGGAGAUGAGGUACCAAUCUUUAGAUGUAACAAUGUUGCAUAAAAGCGCAAGCAAUUUGGAAUCUAAAAUAAAAAAGAGGAACAAAGAAAUCGCAUCAUCUCAAGAAAAAACAAUGGUAGGAUUCUAUAAUGGUUGCGUUGGUAGGAAUUUCAAAUGAAUACACGAUGUCAAUUGCACGUCCAAACAGACUACCAAGGCAUGACUCCGACCAUAAAUGUGUGAAAUAUUGACAAUCAAACGAACCCUAAGUUUUACUCAAAUAUAUUAUUCUACCGUAAUAUUGUUUUUACUGUUCAGGAGAAAUCAAAUUGAAGCUCGACAGCGCCUUCCUUAAUUAUUGUGAAUUCGCUAUGUUCUUCUUCCUGUGAUUUUAACAAUAAAAUCUAUAAAGAACUCAACAAAAAAAGACACAUAAGAUUGAACUACACUAUUUUGUAAGAGCUAAAAUUAAUGUAUCAUUAGUUAAAUUAAUAUAGCUUUAUAAAUAUUAAAAAAUUGAAUUAUAGUAUGAAACACAAGAAACGAUCAGAAUUGAAUGGAACCGAAUCCGUAAGGUUCCAUAAUUAAAUUUGAACUCAACUGUUCUACUUACUAAAUACCCGAAAAUUUUGGAUUAGAACCGAAUCAGACUAUGCCCAUCCCUAGAACAGACACUCUUAAGACAAGAAGCAAUGCCAUCUGCAUUUCAGGAAGCCUUAAUAAAUAAAUAAAUAAAUAAAUUGUAAUAAUGUAGCUGUUCUUCAAGAGACAUACAGAGUCCAUUUGGUGUGCCCAAAAUAUCUUAAGCACACUUAAAUAUAGGCUAAGAUCUAACCAUAUGGCAGUCGUGUACUCCGCCAAACGGUAUACGGGCAAAAGGAGGUUGGGGAUAAAAAUCUGAUUUGUAACAUAUGCCCCCAACCAGAUAAACAUACUUGAAAAGAGUGAACUCUUCAGAUACAAAUAUGCAUUCUAGCAUAACAGUGCAAUCCAUCUGUGAUAAGCUAUUCAGUAAAAAGCAAUAAUGGAUCAAGAAACAGUUGAUCUAUUUGUACAUAACACUAACGUAUUCCCCAGUCAGAUAAACUUGCUUGAAAAGAGUUUAAACUCUUUGGCAAAAAAAGUUGCAUUCUAGCAUAUAACGGUGCAAUCCAUCUCAAAUAAACUUGUAUCUAUCUGCAAUAAGCUAUUCAAUAUAAACCAGCAAUAGAUCAACAACAAUUCAAUUUUAUUUGUGCCAAACACUAGCAUAUGCAUGGGUCAGGGAAUAUACAGAAAAUUCAUCGACAAAGGUCAACUGUUUCUACACAUAUACAACUCAAUGAAGUACCUCAUUGUUUUCAGAAUCACAGCAUUUACACCACAAUACAUGCAAGGUUAUGAGUUCUACAUGUCAAUGUCGUUAGUUAACUGAAGCCUUCAAAAUCUCAGCAACCAGGAGCCUGAAUUUAGUCAUUGGCACGAUAGAAGCGUAGCAAUUUGAGUGAAACUACAUUCUCCUGGAAAAAAAGCAAGCGAAUGAAAAUUAGUAACAUCCAUGAAGGUUUUUCACCCUCGUAAAACAUCAGAUGUAUUCAUUUCCCAAAAACAGAAUAGAGAAAAAAAUUUCAAUCAUCGUAACUAUCUUCUUCAGGAUAAAGUUGAUCUAAAACUAGGUCAGCUUUACCUGACACAUAUCCUCAUAUUGAGGAGGGAAAUGUAAGCCCAUUGAGCAAUUCUGCAACACCUCGGGAUACUUCAUCCAUGCUUUAUGGGCAUCAUUUAGUUUGAUCUUAUACUUAAACAUCUGAAAUGAAAGAGGAGUCUUUAGCAUAAAAUGACACCUAAUCCCUUAGAACUAAGAAGACUAACUUCUUUCUGCUAGGUGCACCGCUCCAAACCUUCUUUCCUCAACGUUUCAGGAAACAAAGAUAAAAUUACAAUAUGUAAAGAGAAAAGACUAAUAUUGACAAAAGGGAACAUCCAUUCAAACUAACUGCAAUGAAGCGAAGGUUUGGGAUAAGAAAAUCAAACACCAGCCAAAAUUACAAACCUCAGAAAGUGGUACAGUUGGUUUCUCCCGCUCCUCCCCAUUGAUGUAUAAACCAGUGCCCUGGCAUUCUGGGCAGAAAACAGAGUAUAUUUGCUUGCUUGUUGCUUUUGCCUCAUCUUUCUUCCCCAUUUCACCAUCCUUGGCUCUAACCCUUCUCCGGGAUUUUCCUUUCGCUUUAGGAGCAACUGACUGAUUUACAUAAAUUUCAUUCUCACACAGAAGUAUCCAGUGAAUGAGGCAGGAUAUAUGGAAAACGUGAAAAGCCUACAGAAACACAAUUAUAAGAGCUUAUAAACACAAUUUUAAAAGCUUGUAUAUAUAAUAGCAACGAAGAAAGAUAUUUGGAAUAUUCAUACUGAAAAAGAUAUUUGGAAUAUUCAAACUGAAACACUAUCUGCAGUAAGUUCUAGGAGUUAUACCCCAGUCAAAUUUCUACUACUACAGACAAGUCUUCCAGUUUUCCUGUUCAAAAGCGCAGCCACAUCUUUACUUGGCAGCAUCUUCUGUUGGCAGAUAUCGCAUAACCUCUCAGAAGCAAUGGUAUGCUGUCUUCUCAAUGCUUUCCUAAUGGAUUUGCUCACAAUAAUUGUUGAUUGCACCAGCUGAUCAUCAUUCCCAGCUAACAGUAAUUUUGAGUUUGGAUUAUCUAAAGAUUGAGACUCUUCCCCAUAAUAGUCAUUUUGGUUACUUAAAGCCUCACUGAUGUCCUCUGGAUCAGAAAAUGACUUCCUCUUCUUGCUCCUAGAACUGCCACUGUACUCACCCUCUGAAUUAAGACGAGAGGGAAGCAAAUAUCUAAUGUCACCAAGUAAAGCCUUUCGACCUAAAUUGUAAUUAUAAGCAAAGGCAACAACAGCAAAGUCAUGCUCUGGAACCAAGUAAGUAUCCUCUUUGGCAGAAUCCUUGUUCACCAGCCAUUCACACCAUAUUCUACGAAUUUCAUUAGAAACCACAUCCUUCUCACAAAUCCUAGCAGCAAUUCGUCCAACACCCAUCUGCCUCACAACCAAGUCAGAUACCUCUUCUUUCUGCAGCACACCUGGAAUAACCAGAUCAGAACCAUUUCCAUUCAGAUGCUGAUCAUGGGAGCUGUCAUCACAACCCAUAACAUCCUCAACAACUUGUGAAAUAUCAUUAGGUCCCAAGUGAUCACAACAACUAACAAGGUUAUUCUCAUCUACAUGGUGGGUGUCUAACAACUUAAAUCUCUCGGAAGUCGAAACAGGUAAACUCUUAUCUUGAUCUGAUGAAUCAUCGUGGAAGAAAAACACGCCAUCAUUGAAUGGCCAAGGAUUUGGUUUUAAUAAUGUAGCUUUUGCAGCAGCAAGCCUUUCAGAAUGUAGGUUACCUUUCAAGUGAUUGAACAAUAUUGAAUCACUAUAGCAUGGGGCAAGACACAAAGUACAGAAGAAUAUCAACUUCUUUCCAUCUUCCCUGAGCUCAACAUAGACGUGCCCUUUUGAUCUCACAUUCCUCAGAGUCGUCCUCACCAACUGUUCUUUCAAACUACCAGCAUUCAUCUUCGGAAACCCUAAUUCCCUCCCUCCCACCAUUCAAAUCAAUAACAAUUUCUCUUACUCAGGAAGUUAUGAUAGUCAAAUGANNNNNNNNNNNNNNNNNNNNNNNNNNNNNNNNNNNNNNNNNNNNNNNNNNNNNNNNNNNNNNNNNNNNNNNNNNNNNNNNNNNNNNNNNNNNNNNNNNNNNNNNNNNNNNNNNNNNNNNNNNNNNNNNNNNNNNNNNNNNNNNNNNNNNNNNNNNNNNNNNNNNNNNNNNNNNNNNNNNNNNNNNNNNNNNNNNNNNNNNNNNNNNNNNNNNNNNNNNNNNNNNNNNNNNNNNNNNNNNNNNNNNNNNNNNNNNNNNNNNNNNNNNNNNNNNNNNNNNNNNNNNNNNNNNNNNNNNNNNNNNNNNNNNNNNNNNNNNNNNNNNNNNNNNNNNNNNNNNNNNNNNNNNNNNNNNNNNNNNNNNNNNNNNNNNNNNNNNNNNNNNNNNNNNNNNNNNNNNNNNNNNNNNNNNNNNNNNNNNNNNNNNNNNNNNNNNNNNNNNNNNNNNNNNNNNNNNNNNNNNNNNNNNNNNNNNNNNNNNNNNNNNNNNNNNNNNNNNNNNNNNNNNNNNNNNNNNNNNNNNNNNNNNNNNNNNNNNNNNNNNNNNNNNNNNNNNNNNNNNNNNNNNNNNNNNNNNNNNNNNNNNNNNNNNNNNNNNNNNNNNNNNNNNNNNNNNNNNNNNNNNNNNNNNNNNNNNNNNNNNNNNNNNNNNNNNNNNNNNNNNNNNNNNNNNNNNNNNNNNNNNNNNNNNNNNNNNNNNNNNNNNNNNNNNNNNNNNNNNNNNNNNNNNNNNNNNNNNNNNNNNNNNNNNNNNNNNNNNNNNNNNNNNNNNNNNNNNNNNNNNNNNNNNNNNNNNNNNNNNNNNNNNNNNNNNNNNNNNNNNNNNNNNNNNNNNNNNNNNNNNNNNNNNNNNNNNNNNNNNNNNNNNNNNNNNNNNNNNNNNNNNNNNNNNNNNNNNNNNNNNNNNNNNNNNNNNNNNNNNNNNNNNNNNNNNNNNNNNNNNNNNNNNNNNNNNNNNNNNNNNNNNNNNNNNNNNNNNNNNNNNNNNNNNNNNNNNNNNNNNNNNNNNNNNNNNNNNNNNNNNNNNNNNNNNNNNNNNNNNNNNNNNNNNNNNNNNNNNNNNNNNNNNNNNNNNNNNNNNNNNNNNNNNNNNNNNNNNNNNNNNNNNNNNNNNNNNNNNNNNNNNNNNNNNNNNNNNNNNNNNNNNNNNNNNNNNNNNNNNNNNNNNNNNNNNNNNNNNNNNNNNNNNNNNNNNNNNNNNNNNNNNNNNNNNNNNNNNNNNNNNNNNNNNNNNNNNNNNNNNNNNNNNNNNNNNNNNNNNNNNNNNNNNNNNNNNNNNNNNNNNNNNNNNNNNNNNNNNNNNNNNNNNNNNNNNNNNNNNNNNNNNNNNNNNNNNNNNNNNNNNNNNNNNNNNNNNNNNNNNNNNNNNNNNNNNNNNNNNNNNNNNNNNNNNNNNNNNNNNNNNNNNNNNNNNNNNNNNNNNNNNNNNNNNNNNNNNNNNNNNNNNNNNNNNNNNNNNNNNNNNNNNNNNNNNNNNNNNNNNNNNNNNNNNNNNNNNNNNNNNNNNNNNNNNNNNNNNNNNNNNNNNNNNNNNNNNNNNNNNNNNNNNNNNNNNNNNNNNNNNNNNNNNNNNNNNNNNNNNNNNNNNNNNNNNNNNNNNNNNNNNNNNNNNNNNNNNNNNNNNNNNNNNNNNNNNNNNNNNNNNNNNNNNNNNNNNNNNNNNNNNNNNNNNNNNNNNNNNNNNNNNNNNNNNNNNNNNNNNNNNNNNNNNNNNNNNNNNNNNNNNNNNNNNNNNNNNNNNNNNNNNNNNNNNNNNNNNNNNNNNNNNNNNNNNNNNNNNNNNNNNNNNNNNNNNNNNNNNNNNNNNNNNNNNNNNNNNNNNNNNNNNNNNNNNNNNNNNNNNNNNNNNNNNNNNNNNNNNNNNNNNNNNNNNNNNNNNNNNNNNNNNNNNNNNNNNNNNNNNNNNNNNNNNNNNNNNNNNNNNNNNNNNNNNNNNNNNNNNNNNNNNNNNNNNNNNNNNNNNNNNNNNNNNNNNNNNNNNNNNNNNNNNNNNNNNNNNNNNNNNNNNNNNNNNNNNNNNNNNNNNNNNNNNNNNNNNNNNNNNNNNNNNNNNNNNNNNNNNNNNNNNNNNNNNNNNNNNNNNNNNNNNNNNNNNNNNNNNNNNNNNNNNNNNNNNNNNNNNNNNNNNNNNNNNNNNNNNNNNNNNNNNNNNNNNNNNNNNNNNNNNNNNNNNNNNNNNNNNNNNNNNNNNNNNNNNNNNNNNNNNNNNNNNNNNNNNNNNNNNNNNNNNNNNNNNNNNNNNNNNNNNNNNNNNNNNNNNNNNNNNNNNNNNNNNNNNNNNNNNNNNNNNNNNNNNNNNNNNNNNNNNNNNNNNNNNNNNNNNNNNNNNNNNNNNNNNNNNNNNNNNNNNNNNNNNNNNNNNNNNNNNNNNNNNNNNNNNNNNNNNNNNNNNNNNNNNNNNNNNNNNNNNNNNNNNNNNNNNNNNNNNNNNNNNNNNNNNNNNNNNNNNNNNNNNNNNNNNNNNNNNNNNNNNNNNNNNNNNNNNNNNNNNNNNNNNNNNNNNNNNNNNNNNNNNNNNNNNNNNNNNNNNNNNNNNNNNNNNNNNNNNNNNNNNNNNNNNNNNNNNNNNNNNNNNNNNNNNNNNNNNNNNNNNNNNNNNNNNNNNNNNNNNNNNNNNNNNNNNNNNNNNNNNNNNNNNNNNNNNNNNNNNNNNNNNNNNNNNNNNNNNNNNNNNNNNNNNNNNNNNNNNNNNNNNNNNNNNNNNNNNNNNNNNNNNNNNNNNNNNNNNNNNNNNNNNNNNNNNNNNNNNNNNNNNNNNNNNNNNNNNNNNNNNNNNNNNNNNNNNNNNNNNNNNNNNNNNNNNNNNNNNNNNNNNNNNNNNNNNNNNNNNNNNNNNNNNNNNNNNNNNNNNNNNNNNNNNNNNNNNNNNNNNNNNNNNNNNNNNNNNNNNNNNNNNNNNNNNNNNNNNNNNNNNNNNNNNNNNNNNNNNNNNNNNNNNNNNNNNNNNNNNNNNNNNNNNNNNNNNNNNNNNNNNNNNNNNNNNNNNNNNNNNNNNNNNNNNNNNNNNNNNNNNNNNNNNNNNNNNNNNNNNNNNNNNNNNNNNNNNNNNNNNNNNNNNNNNNNNNNNNNNNNNNNNNNNNNNNNNNNNNNNNNNNNNNNNNNNNNNNNNNNNNNNNNNNNNNNNNNNNNNNNNNNNNNNNNNNNNNNNNNNNNNNNNNNNNNNNNNNNNNNNNNNNNNNNNNNNNNNNNNNNNNNNNNNNNNNNNNNNNNNNNNNNNNNNNNNNNNNNNNNNNNNNNNNNNNNNNNNNNNNNNNNNNNNNNNNNNNNNNNNNNNNNNNNNNNNNNNNNNNNNNNNNNNNNNNNNNNNNNNNNNNNNNNNNNNNNNNNNNNNNNNNNNNNNNNNNNNNNNNNNNNNNNNNNNNNNNNNNNNNNNNNNNNNNNNNNNNNNNNNNNNNNNNNNNNNNNNNNNNNNNNNNNNNNNNNNNNNNNNNNNNNNNNNNNNNNNNNNNNNNNNNNNNNNNNNNNNNNNNNNNNNNNNNNNNNNNNNNNNNNNNNNNNNNNNNNNNNNNNNNNNNNNNNNNNNNNNNNNNNNNNNNNNNNNNNNNNNNNNNNNNNNNNNNNNNNNNNNNNNNNNNNNNNNNNNNNNNNNNNNNNNNNNNNNNNNNNNNNNNNNNNNNNNNNNNNNNNNNNNNNNNNNNNNNNNNNNNNNNNNNNNNNNNNNNNNNNNNNNNNNNNNNNNNNNNNNNNNNNNNNNNNNNNNNNNNNNNNNNNNNNNNNNNNNNNNNNNNNNNNNNNNNNNNNNNNNNNNNNNNNNNNNNNNNNNNNNNNNNNNNNNNNNNNNNNNNNNNNNNNNNNNNNNNNNNNNNNNNNNNNNNNNNNNNNNNNNNNNNNNNNNNNNNNNNNNNNNNNNNNNNNNNNNNNNNNNNNNNNNNNNNNNNNNNNNNNNNNNNNNNNNNNNNNNNNNNNNNNNNNNNNNNNNNNNNNNNNNNNNNNNNNNNNNNNNNNNNNNNNNNNNNNNNNNNNNNNNNNNNNNNNNNNNNNNNNNNNNNNNNNNNNNNNNNNNNNNNNNNNNNNNNNNNNNNNNNNNNNNNNNNNNNNNNNNNNNNNNNNNNNNNNNNNNNNNNNNNNNNNNNNNNNNNNNNNNNNNNNNNNNNNNNNNNNNNNNNNNNNNNNNNNNNNNNNNNNNNNNNNNNNNNNNNNNNNNNNNNNNNNNNNNNNNNNNNNNNNNNNNNNNNNNNNNNNNNNNNNNNNNNNNNNNNNNNNNNNNNNNNNNNNNNNNNNNNNNNNNNNNNNNNNNNNNNNNNNNNNNNNNNNNNNNNNNNNNNNNNNNNNNNNNNNNNNNNNNNNNNNNNNNNNNNNNNNNNNNNNNNNNNNNNNNNNNNNNNNNNNNNNNNNNNNNNNNNNNNNNNNNNNNNNNNNNNNNNNNNNNNNNNNNNNNNNNNNNNNNNNNNNNNNNNNNNNNNNNNNNNNNNNNNNNNNNNNNNNNNNNNNNNNNNNNNNNNNNNNNNNNNNNNNNNNNNNNNNNNNNNNNNNNNNNNNNNNNNNNNNNNNNNNNNNNNNNNNNNNNNNNNNNNNNNNNNNNNNNNNNNNNNNNNNNNNNNNNNNNNNNNNNNNNNNNNNNNNNNNNNNNNNNNNNNNNNNNNNNNNNNNNNNNNNNNNNNNNNNNNNNNNNNNNNNNNNNNNNNNNNNNNNNNNNNNNNNNNNNNNNNNNNNNNNNNNNNNNNNNNNNNNNNNNNNNNNNNNNNNNNNNNNNNNNNNNNNNNNNNNNNNNNNNNNNNNNNNNNNNNNNNNNNNNNNNNNNNNNNNNNNNNNNNNNNNNNNNNNNNNNNNNNNNNNNNNNNNNNUGAAUACUUUAUUACUGAAAUAAACUUGAUUGUUCACAACCAAAAUUAUUUGUCAAAAAGAUAACAUCUAAAAUUACAAACUCCUACUAAACUAGCAUAUUAUCAAAAUAUACAACACACAUAUGAGCAAUGUGCUCAUAAAAGACCUUGGAUGGUAGACUUUAGUGAACGGAUCUGCUAUCGUGGUGUUUGUCCACAUAUGUUCUAUAGCAACCUAACAACUCUAAACUCUUUCUUUACUAAAUAGGAAUUUGAUUUCAACAAACUUGGAACUUGUCGAACUCCUAUUAUUGUUUGAGUACAAGGCUGCUAACUUAAGUGGUCUUACAGUUCUAUUAAAAAUUCACAGCAUAGUGACAAAAUUUUGCAGUCAUAUUCCUUGAUAGGAUACCUCAUAACAUGCUAAAAACUCCAUUGCCAUUGCUAAAUAAGUUAUGACUGUCUGCUUAGCACUCGUCUAGGCUAUAACUUCUCCAGUCAACAGGAAGACAUAGCCCGAUAUCCUACUGUUUUGGCAUCUAGGAAAAUCAUAAUUAAAAUAACUAAUGAUCUCCAAUUGUACUUAUUUCUUGUAUAUGAGCAUUUAAUAUUUUGUUCUCCGUAAAUACUGCAUAACCCUCUUGGCUGUCCUCCAAAGAUCCAUCCUAUGUAACGCCUCAAAAUUCUAAUAACCUAACGCAUUACCAAGUACGAGUUCUCUAACGUUAAUCUCCAAAAUACUAGAUGAAAGGAAGUUUGUAAAAUAAGAUUUAUUUAAUCAAACUAUGUAAUCAUAACAUUUUUUUUUCUAUUUCUCCUUUUUUUUAAAUACAUAUAAAUUUAAGAAAAAUUACGGAACGAAAAAACUUGGAUGAGUUUUUAUUAAGAAAAAGAAAAAAGAAGCUGAAAUGGCUUUCAACCAUUGCGUAGUGUGUUUGAAAAACUAUUUGACCUAGCAAAACUUGAAGAAAACUUAUGAAAUUUUACAGGAAAGUACAAAACUCAUAUAAGUACAACAUAUAAAAAUUUGGGAUCUCGACAACUAGGUUUGAAGCUCGAAAUUUAUUCUUGUACAAGCUGGUCUGUGCUUCCCGAAUUUAACUGUCAUAGUUUGCUAAAAUUGUUAUAGUAAGUUCUACGGGACUCCGAUUGACCUACUUUGAGUUGCAUAUGAUAGCUAACUCACAAGGGAUCAUUUGAAAAACAUGCUAAAAUUCUAAAUAUGUCAACCAUAAUACAAUUUUAAAAUAAUGGCAAAAUUCUGGAAAUUUACCCAAAAUAAAAUAAAAUAAUAAUAAUAUAUAUAUACCUUUUCAAAGAUUAAGAUUUUUCAUCUCAAAACAGGAAUUUAAGCUACAACUUAGGACUCCCCAAUGAUUAUUGAACAUUAAGUGAUCUAAAACAUAAGAAAUAAAUUUCUCUAAAAAUAAGACAUGCCAUUCAUGUCGAACCACUACUUGGUCUCCGAUUACUCUGAAAAUGCUAAAUAGGAGUAAGUAUCUCAAAAAAAUACUUAGUAAGUUACACAUAAUAUAUGAACCUAAUAAUCAUGUAUUUAAUCAUGCAUCCUUACAUAUUGCCUUCAUAAGUAAGUAAAUAGAUGAUUAAAUGAUCUACUUAAGGUUCUGAUGAGUCUCUGCGACCAUCAGUUUAAUAUAUAUACUUAAAGUUCUGAUGAGCCUCUAUGACCAUCAGUUUAAACAUAUAUAAAUCUUUUUUUCAUCAAAAUUUAAGAGAAACUCUAAAAUCACUUGAUAUACUUCAUGAGCAAAUAUAACGAAUAACAUGCUUAAAUAAAAAAUAAAUUCAUAUAACGACAACUUCGUGUUGGGAUCCUACCUUAACUCGCAAUAAUACGUAGUAAAUACAUCAAUCGAUAUUCCUUUAGAAUCUUAAACGUGAAAAUAUUUUCCGCUUUUCUAUAUUUUUUUUGUGUGGCUGUCGCAUGCAUAUAAUAUGUAUUCAACGUGUGCUGUGUAUAUUAUGUAUCUAGAAUAACUUGCUAUCUAUCAUCAAUUGGAGUUAAUUAGUAAUUAUGAGUCUUCAGCCAUGCAACUCUCAAGGAUGAGAUAAAAACUGAUUUUAAACAAACAAAUGGUUUCCUAUUCAAUCUUGAAAUCUACACGUGAAUUGCUAAUGAAUUAUUUCAACGAAAAUCAAUUAAAAAAAAAAAUCCUAAAAGCUUUCAUUCUAAUCCAAAAUCAAAAGGUCAAAUUUCAAAUUAUCCAAUACAUGUGGCUGCCAAAAAUAUCAAUUAAAUCCUUAAUUGACUUUAAUUGGGCACGUGGUUUCUUUGAACAUCAAUACCAUGGGCCUAACUUAUCCGAAAUAACUUUUUUCUCAAGUACGAAAUUCGCCAUUUAAUGAGAUUCGAAACAAGUCUAAUAUCGAUAUGAAAUUUCUCGUUAGAUGAAUACUUGAUUAUUUGAUCGAAAGCUAAAAUUUCGGCACAAUAUUUAUUUUUAAAUUAGUCUCUUGGUAUCUCAAAUUAACAAAACAUGUCAAGAUGAAAUAGAUGAAAAUUUAUUUUCGGUUGCUACAUCCCAGGGUUUUUUGAAUAUAUGCCUAGCAUUCCAAUAUCGAGACAUGUGCAUACUUGAGUAUAAAUCAAACUCAUAACUGCUGAAGUAUAGGAAACUUUCUGGAUCUCCUUUUCUUCAAGGUCAUUCUUAGGGUAUUGAUGGAGACUAAAUUUGUCUCCCUUAACAACAAAUAUAUCUUUUGGUUUCAUUCCAUAUCUCUUAAGUACCUUAUUGAUAUAGCUCUUUUGUGAUAAACCAAGAAUACUCCGAGAACGAUUCCAGUGUAUUUGUAUUCCUAAUACAAAAAAAGCAAUACCAAGAUCUUUCAUUUCAAAAUUCUUUAAUAGAAAUCUCUUAUUUUCAUGCAAUAAGCUCAUAUCAUUGCAGGUUAGUAUUAUUUCACCAACAUACAAUCCCAUGAAAAUAUACUUGCUCUAACUGAACUUAUGAUAAACACAAUCAUCAACUGGGAGUUUGAUGAAAUUUGUAAUAUCAUUGAUGGGAAGUUUGCUUAAGCUCAUAAAAGGAUUUUUUUAAUUUGCAAACCAUUUUCUUUGGGUCAUCUGUACAAAAAUUUCCGAUUGCACCAUAUAUAUUGUCUCAACAAUGUCACAUUGAGAAACUCCAUCUUUACAUCCAUCUAAUGUAGCUCAAGAUCACCACAAUGCCACUAUAAUACGGAAAGGUAUACUUUGAAACUGGAGAGAAAAUCUCUUUAUAAUCGAUGCCUUCCCUUUGAGUAAAGCUUUAUACAACAAGAUGAGCCUUAUAUCUUUCCAUAUUACCCUUCAAAUUCCUUUUGAUUUUAAAUAUCCAUUCCCAACCAAUGGGUUUCGUACCUUUGGGCAAUGGCACAAGUCCCCAAAUGUCAUUGUUUUUCGUGGACUUUACUUCCUCAUUUAUGAUAUCAAUCCACUUUUGAGAAUUAUCACUUUGCAUUGCUUCAUGUUCUUAGAGAAAUACUAUAAAGUCAUCCAGAAUUGAUUUUUGUGACCUUGAUUUAUAUUUUUGUUUGGAAAUAAUUCAAUUGCUAUUUAACCCUCUUUUUAUCAUGGUUUUUUUUUUUUUUAAUAAGAAGUGGGCUGUUCUUGUAAAACUAGUAGGGAAUCUUUAUUAAAUUUUGAAGUUUUGAUCAUAAUUUUCUUUUUGAAGUGGGGGGUUGUUUGUUUGUAGAGAUUUAAGUGUGAGGUAAUAUAGAGGUCUUAUUGUUGAUCUCGUUUUCUAUUAUGCUGACGCGGACAAUAGAUAUCGGGCCCACUUGUGUACACAUAAGCAAAUUCCAACAUGUAUAACAGGUUGCUAGUCCACAAUACUCUGGAUUUCAACGUGAUAACAUGAGACAAAUAUGUUCAAGUUUCGAUAAUAUAUUUUGGAAACGAUUGUGUAAUAACUAAUCGCAAAUAACUCAAAAAGCAAAAAAAUCUAAACUCUAGCAAAGCAAAUAUAAAUUCAGAAGAGAGAAAACAAAGAAUGGCUUUAAGUGUAUUGAGUUGUAUUAGCCUUCAAAUGAUACAAGUUGGAGUAUUUAUAGUGUUACAUAUGAAAUGACGUCUAUUGGAUGAAGAUAUGCGUGGCUUCAUCUCCUUAACUGAAGCAUCCAAUUUUAGGCAUUAAUGCUCUUACAAAGAGCAGCCACCUUACAACAUAAAUUGACAAGACUUUAACAUUCAACUCAUUACAAGGAUUCCAUCAAUCAUUCCAAAAAAAGAUCUCAAACAUAAAUUCAGGAUUUUCACGUUUGGGUCAUCACUUGCUGUAGUUGAGCUUCGAUUUUGACUUUUGUUGAGCUUUUUUCAGUUUGGUUGGUAGAUGCACUUGAGUCUUGGAUAUAGCUUCGGGGUUUCAUCGUUAGCAUGGGACUACUUCAUAAGUUCAUCUAGGAAACUUCAGCUAGAUGCAAGCAUUAAUCUGGAAUCGUAACAUUUACAAAAAGAUCAUAUAAAGACCCAUCACUUACUAGGUGACCAAUAUGAGCCCUAGCAUUCCCACCUUCAUGAAAUAUCUCUUUCAAUGAACAUAUAAAUGAUCGUAGAAUAUAUAUUUUUGGUUGUUGAUAAUAUUUAAAGACCAAAAUCUAUUGGUCAUUCCUUGGUUGGCAAAGAGGUAUCGACGAAUGUAUUUAACGACUAAAAGUAUGUUUAGUCAUUGAAUGUAUUAUUUCAACAACUAAAUAAUUGGUCGUACAACCAAUUCUUUUUUCAACAACCACUUGUUUGGUUAUUAUAUCAACUAUUUUUUGUCAUUAAAAUACAAUGAAAGAAACAAAAUUUUAGUUGUCUUACAUUUCAACAAACGAAAGAAUUGUAAAAUAUUAAAAUUGACAACCAAUUUUAUUUUAACUACUUGAUUUGUGGCCGUACUAUUUUUUUUUUAUAUUUUAUUUUAUAAAAUAUCAUUCAAACGAACAAAAGUUACUUGCAUUUCUUUCAACAACAAAAGAUCUGGUUGUAAAAUGGUUAUAUUAAUAAUCGAAAUAUUAAAAUAAAGAGAAAUAUAACCGUCAACGGUAAUAUUAAUGGAUUCAUAACUUUUACACAUUCUUAUCAUACUACAAGCAAUUCUUUUCCACAAUCAUAAAUAAUUAUAAAAAAGUGAAGAAAGCCAAUUAUAAAUAAUAUUAACAAGAACUAAAGUUUAUCUAGCAUUAAAUAAAUUAAAUUACUCCAACAUCAAGUACAAAUGUAUGUCACUUGUAUGAAAUAUCAUGACUUAAACAAAAGAAUACAUCUAGUUUGACCAAUUAUGUUCUAAAUAUAAAAAAACAUGUAGAUGUAGAGUUAUAAAUUAUUGCCCCAAUAGAAAAUAAUAAAUUAGUAUUAUUAGUCACCCAAAUUAAAGUCAAAAAAAUCAAUUAUCACCAUUUAAACCAUUGGAUAGAGAUGCACCAGGUUGAGUAGGUCGAAGAACAAACUCUUCUGGAAUGCAAUUUAAGAAUGUCUGGACGGAUUUCAAUUGAGAACAAAGAUCUUGAACCUCAUUUCAUAAAGUAACAUUCUUUACACAAGUACCACAAUUUUCCAACAUUGUCUUUGAGUUUUUCUGUUGAACAAUAUAGCUAAAUCUCUUGCCCAAAACUUGCUCACAUAUUUCAGAUUCUUUCAAAAGCAUAGGUUGUUCAUUCGGGGUCUAGUUGAGAAUUUUCUUCUUGUAAAAGAUCGAGCAUUUGAUUCCAUCGACAUUUAAAUUAUAAAUAAAGAUUAUAAUUUUGAAAUAUGUAUAAUAUAUUAUAUCUUAUGGCAAUUAAAACUACAUACAUAACGAGACUCUGCUUCUUUAUUUGUCCACCCACAUUCAUUGCUACAGUAAAUCACAUAGAAAAAUUUGAUGUGACCCGAUAGCUCUUUUGUAUGUGGAUCCCUUUGUUUAAAAAAAAAAAAAAAAUAGAAUUGAUGCAUGAAAUUUAUGAAAUAAAAUAUUGUAUCAUUACUCUAGAAGGUACGGAAAAAGAGGGUGAGUAUGAAAAUACUCAUUCAGAUACAAAUAUUAGUACAAUCCCAAGUAACAUUUAUCAAUUCAUAUAUCAAAAUCAUCGUACUGGCAUAUCGUAUCUUUAGAAUUCGAUAAGGGCUCAUAACAUGUCACAUCAUUUGUACUGGAUGGCUAUAUAUAUAUAUAUUACACUUCACUAUUAUAAUAUUUAUCAAUAUGAAAUAAAAAAUAUUAAAUGGGACAAAAUCAAUUAUACCUUGUUGUCCUACUCUAUGACUGUAAUGUGUUUCGACUAGAGCAAAAAUGUUGUAAUAACAUAUAUAUUAUCAAUUUGUUACUGGACAAUUCUUCUUGUUUUGAUACUACCAAAAAAUGAAAAGAAAUGGGUAAUAUAGGACAAACCAUGAGUGAUGGAAGAUAAUUGAGGGAAUUGAGGAAAUCUUUCUUAUUAGCCGGGCAACUAAGGGAAUGGAAUGACAAGUGGGUGUGUGGACAUUUUUUUUUUUUUUUUUUUUUUUUGAGGUAGUUAAAUUUGAGUGGAAGAGAGAUCAAUUGAAAAUUAGAAACAUGUGAUAGCAUGUAUAAAAUUUAUAUACUUACACCAUAUAUAUAUGCACGAUUCCUAACUUACAUUACAUAAUUAUAUAUACAAAGAAGUCAAAUCUGUGCUUGGGAAAAAUUCAUAUUUCAAGUAAACUUGGACAAUAAAAUAGUGUGGUUAUCUUGACUAGAUAUGCCGCUCUUUCAUAAUACAAAAUGAAGUUUUGUACCUCCAAUGUUUGAGAAAAAUCACUAUGUGAUUAGGAUCAUGAAUAUAUUUCUGAGCAUAGAAACAUGGAACACAUUAUUCUCUGCUACGAGAUUAGGUGGUAAUGCAAAUCAAUAACCCACAAUACCAAUCCUUUCAAGAAUUUUGAUAGGUCCAGUGAACCGUGUUCUCAAUUUUUACUUCUUACAAAAUCUCAACAUACUCUUCAUCGGUGCUACUUUCCGGAAAACUUUAUUAUGUCUCGAAAUGUUAAGUCCUUCCUUCUACACUGGCAUAACUUUUCUGGCUAUCUUAUGUUAUCUUUAUUCUUGCUCUAAUCUUGUCAAUUGUCUCACUCAGGAUCCAAAAUUAGUCUUUUUGACAUCGUACCAAUGGAUAAGAAAUCUAAAAUACAUGCCCCAAACAUAUCUUCUAAGUUUGAAUUAUUUCUUUUUGUCAUAUCCUUAAUAGAAGGUUGAAUGAUUCUUUCCGAAUGUUCAUCUAUUUAUGGAUGAUAAACAAUACUAAAUUUCAAUUUUGUCCCCAUGCCUUCUCCAAAAUUUUGAUGUGAACCUCGAAUCUCUAUAAAAAAAAAAAAAUAAUGUUGAUUGGAACUCCAUGCAAUCUAUCUCCUUGAUUUAUAAUAGUGUGAACUGUCCCAUAUUGAAAUUUAUUUUGAUUGGUAAAAAAUGGAGUGACUUUGUCAAACUAUCAACCACUACCCAAGUAACAUUAUGACCUCUUGUUGAUCACGGAAGACCUACCACGAAAUCUAUUGCAGUGUGUUUCCAUUUUCAUUAAAGAAUAUCUAACAGUUUCAAUAGUCCUAAUGGCUUUUGGUGUUUCGCUUUGAGCUACUGACAAGCCAUACAUUUCUCCACAAAAAGACAUAUUCCUCUUUUCACGAUUGUCAAUCAAAAUGUAUUUCGAAGAUCUUGAUGCCUUUUCGUAUAGUUGGGAUGUACAGUGUGUACGAGUAGAGUAAACCUCUUCCAACAUCUCAUUUCUUAUUCUUUCAUCAGUAGGUACACACAAUCUUCCUUUAAAAUUGGAUGCUUUAUCUAUAGAUAUUUCCAAGCCUAAUCGCUUGUUUGUACCAAUAUCAACGUUAAUCUUUUGCAAAUAUGGAUCCUUAUUCCGUGCUUCAUUGAUAUGAUUCCAAAAUUAGGUCAAAUCAUCAACGCUUCUAUUUCUCGCUGAUCUGUGUGAGUCGAUGAUAUGAUGACUUCUUAUCUCAGUUUCCCCAUGUCCUUAAUCAAUUGUUCUUGAAUCGUGGAUAAAACUGCUAGCUGCGCUGCUCUCUUUCUACUUAACUACAUUAGUCUUAUCUAGAUGGUAAUAAAUCGUACAAUCAUGAUAUUUUAAGAACUCCAACCAUCUUCUCAUCUCAUAUUCAUUUCCUUCCGUGUGAAAACAUAUUUAAAACUCUUGUGAUUUGUAUAGAUAUCACACUUUCCUCCAUAUAGAUAGUGCGCCAUAUUGUAACAUUUCAUUAGCAUAAUAUUUAGCUACAUGAAAUAAUAGAAAUUAAACGAGAAAAAACCACUUGUAUCUGGUUAUUCUAGCUUAUGACUUUCAAAUGCAUUUCAAUUAGAGAAAAAAAUGUAGUAAUAAUAUAUGUACUGUCAAUUUGGUGCUGGAAAAUUCUUCUUGUUUUGAUGCUCCCAAAAUAUGAGAAGAAAUGGGUAAUAUAGAGGAAUUUGUGAGUGAUGAUGUGAGAGAAUUGAGGGAAUUGAGGAAAUCUUUCUUAGUAGUUGGGUAAGUGGGAAAAUGGAAUGACAAGGUGUGUGAAAAUGUUUUUUUUUUUUUUUUUUUUUUUUUGAGAGAUAUUAAAAUUUGGAACGUGUGAUAGUAUUUAUAAAAUUUAUAUUCUUAAAACAUAUUUUUACAUGUAAAAUCCUAACUUACAUUAUAUGAUUAUAUAUAUAAUGAAGUCAAAGUUUAUACAUAGGAGAAAUUCAUAUUUCAAGUAAACUUGGAUAAUAAAAUGAUAUGGGUAGCUACAUCUGUGUAUAUAGGUCGAGCUCACCAAUUUUGGUUCUUGACUAGACGUAACUCUUGCAUAAUACAAAAAGAAUGGGGGUAUUACAUUCGUAGCUUCUGAAACUCACGUCCAAAAAAAAAAAAAAAAAAACACUUGAAUGGCACUAAAGUAAUGCAGUUACAAAUUAAUAUAUACUUGAUAAUCAGAAAUUUAUGUUGUAUAAUCUUCAGUUUAAAUUUGUCUUGCAAUUGUCACUUGUGUAAAAAAUCAAUUCGUCAUCAUGAACUAGGCACAGAUUUUGAAUCAACCACCUUCCUAAGUUGACUUUACAUGGAAUUGACUUGCUGAAACCGGCCACUACGAUAAAUGGCACAAGAAAUUUAUAAAAAUUAAAUGGCACACGUCCUUGCAUAAGUUCCACUAAAAAUUCCAACUUUCCUUGUAUCAACACAAGUGAGAUUUUCAUAUUUUACUUGAAAUAUUUUUAGCAAGAUCGUAAUACAAGCUUUCCAAUGAAUUUUGGAUAAUGAAAAAGGGAUCUUCGUAGCUUUUAAAAAUCGCAUCCAAACAAAAACAUGUGAAUAGUGUUAAAGCACAUGUGUGUGUAACAUGGGAAAUGCAUUAUGACGUGAGACGAAAAUGUUCGAAUACUGAUAAUAUAUUUAGAGAUGAUUGUAUAUUAAUGAUCAAUCACCAACAAUGCAAAUAAAGUAAGAUAAUCUAAACUCAAGCAAACAAGAGUGUGAAAUAAGGAAGAUAGAAGACAAAUAUUAGCUUUAAGUAUAGAGAGUUGCAUUAGCUUCAAUGUGUUAUAACAGUUGGUAUUUAUAGUGUUACAAUCGUAGUCUUGAACAUUGGAUGGAGUAGACGUGGCUUCAUCCGACCUAAUAGGACAUCCUAUCGUAGCUAUUCUAUCAUUCAUUUGCCAUAGGUUGCACUUGAGUGUAUGAAUAAGAAGAACCGCCCCUUUGGAGUGUAUCAAUGUACAUAAUUAAUUAGGCUAAUGAAAUUUGAUUUAAUCGGGCAGCAAAUUAUCACAUCAAUCAUUAGCCAGAUACUAUGAUCUCCUUGGAGCUAUUCCCGAUCCGAAGCCUUUUGGAGGGAGGAAAUUUGAGAUAGAGGGCUUCGAUAUAUUGACUUUGGUCAACGCUUGACUUUCCUUUUGACCUGUGUCUCCAUGUGGUUGCCAUGUAUCUUUGGACUGGAGCCUCGACGGCGAGGCUUACCAAUAAUUCCCAAGUCCAAAUAUGAUUAUUUAUAUAAUGCCUGGACUUUGUUUGAAAAAAUUAUUUGAUUGGGGAUGACCCGUUUCUCUCGAUGGUUGAUUUUUCCUAUUGGGUUUCAUUUACCCAACACAAUAGUCCCCAAAUUUAAGUAUAAGUAUUUAUAUAGUACUUGAAAUUUGCAUAAAAAUGAUUUUUAUUGAAGCUAUUACCUUGAAAUUACUGAAUUUUCUAAGAGCAGCUAAGUUCUUUUUGGCCGAGUCUAUCUACUUUUGAAAACGAUAAAAUUUUGAAGAAUCGGCAGAGGUCCUUUGACCAAAGCUAUCUACCUUGAAGAAAUUUUUGGAGCAGCUGAGGCCAUUUGCCAAAGCUAUCUACUUUAGGUUUGAAGUGAAGUGCUUGUGCUAUUUGUUGAGCCUGUAAUUUGUUGACUCUGAUUUGUAAGUAUUUGAAAUGUUGGAAAAUGAAGCAUUCUUAAUUAUUGUGCCCAAAUGAUUUGCUAUCCUGUACCUUUUCAAGAAAAGACAACUGAAAUGGUUCAACUUUCCAUACACGUUGCCACAUUUAAUGAGUAAUGAUAAAUGCUACAGCUGAGUUCUUGGGAUGGAGAUACAUACGCACGAGUGAAUCCAACAUUCUAAUAUGAAUUAUUAAAUACGAAAUUGUAGACAUUAUGGAUAGCUCAUGACUGCAAAAUGAACGUUAAGAUGCUUUGGAUCAAAAUCCAACGAUUUAGGUUGACAACAUUCGCAUAUAAAAGGUAAAAGCUUGAAUAAACCAUUUCUUAACUUUGCCAAAAAAAAAUCAAGCACCCAAAAGCUCUCGAACUCUCUAUGAUUUUCUCAAACUUGUCGAACUUUUUUGGCCAUCUUUAAAAACUCUGGGGACUUGUAUUUUUUCUUUUGAUUUCUAAGUAUUUCUACACAAAUGUUGUCAUUUUUUCAUUUUGAAUUUCACGGCUUCUUCAUCUUCUGAUGGGGGAUACAGUAGAGAUGGAGGUAAUUAUAACCAACAUGCCGACCUCUUACAUGCCAGUAGGGCUGGUCAGAGUGGUUUACCCAUUAAGGAAGGUCAUCUGGAUUAUGAAGCGGGCUGGGGAUAACCAAAAUUCCUUCAAAGGUCACUUCUAUUGACCUUUCAGAUAUUAGGGAGAAGUACUAUAUCCCUUAUUCUAUAGAGCUCUUAGAAUCCUCCCCUGAUGAGCGAGCCUAUUUUCCUAGGUAAAGAUGUAUAUUAGUUAGCGAAUCUCUUAAAGAGGAGGACUUUAUAUGCCCCUUCAUCCAUUCUUUAGAACUGUUCUUAUAUCAAAUGGAUUGUAUCUACCCUUGUUCUUAACACUAGGCCAAACUAGUUUGGACCUACUUUAUGUGGAAAGAGACCUCCUUGGGUGAGGAUAUGUUCUUCCACAUCUUUUAGUCCGUUUUCCAGCCUAGGGUCUUAGGAAAAGAUGAUUCCAAUGACUAGUAAUUCUCUCUGUCCAUGAGGGGCAUAUUCUCCUUUUAUUAUAAGCCUCCACUCCUCCAUCAAAGGAUAGAAAGAGACUUAGUUUUGGAUAAGGGGACUAUGGUAGAUGUGUGAGGGUGACAAUGUUUCUUAUGUGACAGUUCCAACCUUAUACUCCAAAGUUCAUGAGUAAGUACACAGUUAGUUGUCUGUAUUUUGUAAUUGAAUUGAUUCUAACCUUCUCUAUGUUGCAGGAUCAUUAGAUCACUUCGAACUGACACAAGUAAAAUUGGGUGUAAUAGAGGACAUCUACAUUCGUCCUCUAUCUUCUCGAGAGUUUGAUAGCAGCCCCACGACCUUUGGGGAGUUUGGACUAAUAGCUCAAAGAGGUAAAAUUUAAAAAUGUUUUCUUAUUACUUGUAGUGGAUAAUUCAUUCUGAACCUACAUGUUUUACUUUUGUUUGCGAAAAAUUUUGAGUAAAUUAAAUGCCUAGCAUCUGAUAUGGCUUCCAUCUUAAACGCAACCUUUACAACUGGGAAAAGGGGUUCAAGCCCUCAUCUAUUGCUGCUAAACAGGUGAGGGACAAAGUAGAGAAGACCGGUAAAGAGGUUGUAGAUCUUGAGGAUGAGGGAUGACCUCCCUUGAAGGAUAAGGGAAAAAGUAAUGUGUAGGAGGUUCCCACGAGGAAAUCUACACUUUUUUCUAUCAAGGAGGGUGUCUACUAUUAGCUUGCCACCUCGAUCUGAAGUCCCCGUAGGGAAAAAAAUUAAUGGCAAACUCUGUUUUUGCUAUAAGAAGGGUCUGAAGAGGCCAACUGCCAUAGAGCCUCAAAAGUAAGAACAUUCGAAGAGGGGAAGGGUUUUAAGCAACAUAAUGACUGCUUCUGAUGCAACACCUCCCAGGAGCAAGCUCUACCUAUCCAAGAUGAACGAUGAACUAGCUCUGGAUGCACUGUCCAUGCUACCUUUAGAAGUUCAAACAGAUACCGCCACAUUUUAUAAGUACUUAACGGAUAGGUUAAAGACCUUCAUGAAGUCCAGUGAUUCAGAUGAUGUAUUCGCCACCAUGGUGAGCUAGAUGGUGAAGGAGUUUAGAGUCGCCAUAGAGGCUAAAGUCCUCUUUUAUAAACUUUAGAAAAAAAAUAGGAAUUUUUGAAUAAGGCUUUCUAGACUAAGGAUGAGGCCAAGAAAGCUAAGAUUGAUCCUAAGGCUGUUAAGAAACAAUAGUUUGAAGAGGCUACGAAACUUGAUUAUACUUUCGCAGAUAUUAAGAAUUAGAAAAAAGAAGUUCGUUUGUAUUAGAGUGAAGUGGCUUCUUUUACUAAGUAAAUGGGGACCUUUGAUUCUCAUUAGAAGACAACCACCGAGGAUUUGGAGAUGUUAAAUAAAGAGAAUGCUGCUUUGAAGCAGCAAGUGGGAGAGCUCAACUCUAGAAUUAUUGGCCUCACUGAAGAGGUGCAGUUUGCGAGGGAGGAAGUUCAUUUUGCUUGCAAGGAUGUUAUAAAGUAGUAUAUACCCAUUUUUACUCUCCCCGUGUGUUAUCAGAGCUUCGCUAGACACUAGAGAAGGUUUGCUUACACUGAAGUGGUGGAACAAAUGGAGUUGAACUCAACUUUCAUCACUUUGAAGUUGAGGUUGAAAUUCUAGGAGGAAAGAGAGCCUCAGACUUUAAGAGAUGGUAGCCAUAUGAUAUAACUUGAAGGUGAUUAGGUUGGAGGUGACAAUGCAACUUCUAAAGUAAUUGGCCCUAAUGCCAUCGUUUCUUUUGCUAAUGCCUUUCCCCUUCCCCUACUUGCUUAGGUGCUAGGUUUUUUAUUUCUAUAUUUUCAAUGUAAUUGGACUCGACCCUAAUGUACUUAUGAGUUUUUUAAUGAAUGAAAAUCUUUUCUUCACAUUUGUAUUACCAUUUCGCUAGAUUUUACUUAUAACGUUGCCUUUCGAUGUGUUAUUGCUUCCCACAUACCUCGACCUUCACUAAGACUUCUUUCUAUCAAUAUUUAUACAAAUGUUAGGACUUCGUUUCUUCUUAACUUUAGCUUUCCCAAGCAUAAGAUCGGAUGGUUUAUCUAUGCAAGGUCUUCUCUCAUGCUUUUUUGUCAAUGGAAGGCAUGUGCUAUCCGCUUUUACGAAUAAUGAGGUGGUUUUCUUUGAGAUCCAAUCAUCGAAGCGCCCAUGCUUUUCUAUCGUUCAUCCAUGCGGAAGCUUGUCCCAUGACUUUGUCCAUAGGAGGCGUUUAUUCGAAUAAGAAUUUAAUAACAUUGUUUUCAUUGAAUUUAACAAUUGUACAUAGAUCAAGAGCAUUUACUUACAUCCCUAUUGGUAGAACCUCUUAGGUAUUCUGCAUUCCAAGGAUGAGUUCGUGCCUUUCUAUCCAAACUUUUAACAUUAUUAUUUUAGGCUAAAACUCUUCUUUGAUACUAUAGGGGCCCUCUCAGUUGGGGCCAAAGGUUCCUACUCCUGGAUCGUUAGAGGAAAGGAAUACCCCUUGCAGCAUAAGUUCAUUUACCUGAAAUGACUUCUUCUUGACCUCAGAAUUGUAGUGCUGAGUCAUUUUUCUUUGGUAAAAAACAAUUUUACUUGGGAUCAUUCUUUCUUUCCAUAAGGAAAUCGAGAUCGCAUCUUUUAGCUUGUCAUUGUAUAUUUCAUUGAACUGUAAGUGACGAAAAGAGGAUAGAUCUACUUCGAUCGGACUCAUACCCUUUGCUCCACAAGCUAAACAGAAGGGAGUUUCUUUCGUUGUGGUCCUACUAGGAAUUUUACUAAUUCUGAACCCAAGGGUAAAAGUGCCUUAGGAUAGAGCCUACUAGACAACGUAGAACUAAUAGACCAAAAAACUAGUAUCAACAACUAUGUAGUUUUGAAAUCACAAUUGUGGUGUACUGGGACACAUAAGGCCUAAGUAUCAUAAACUUGUGAAUAAAAUUAUAAAAGUAGGAGUCAGGAUAUUAGUAGCAAGGUUAACUUUCUUACCAAUCAAGUUACCCAUUUCACUGAGAUGAUGAACUUUUAAGAAGGUUUGGGGUUAAAAAAAGUGAUCUCUCUAGUGUGAUGAACAAUUGAGCUGCUAUGUUGCACUUAAAGCUCAAAAUAAUUCUAUACAGUAUCUUGAUAGUACGUGUUCUUGACAUAUGUGUGAAAAUAAAGUCAUGUUUUCAAUUUCUUGAUGAUUGGAAUAGCAGUAUGAUUAUUUUUGGAAGUGGGGCUACUGUACCUAUCCUUGGUAAAUGUAUUGUCAAUAUAUCUGGAUUACUUGCUACCCCAAAUGUGCUUUAUGUGAAUAGUUUAAAAUCUAACUUGUUUAGGCAUUAGUCAAAUAUUUGAUUCUGAUUUUGAGGUUAGUUUUGUCCAGAAAAUGUGUACAAAUUAUGAUCCUACCAAUAAUGUUGUCCUCAAAAGUAUGAGGACUUCUGACAAUUGGUAUAGAGUUUUUUCAUAUUCCAAAUAUGUGUGAAGUAAUGCCAAGAUUUAUAUGACUGAAUUUUGGUAUCAAAGACUUAGUCAUAUAACUAUAAGAGUUUUCCUAAGUUGGCUAAGAAAGAACUUGUUAAUGGCUUACCUAAACUUAAAAAAUUUGAAAACACUAUAUGUGGGCUGUGUCAACAAGGUAAACAACUUGGAGUAAAUCAUAAACAAACUACCAACAUCUCAACAAAUAGGACAUUAGAAUAUUCUAUAUGAACUUCAUGGAACCAUAUAGGACUGAGAGCCUUAGUGGUAAGCGUAAUAUUUAAUUGUGCUAGAUGAUUUCUCUAGGUACACAUGGAUUGCAUUGUUGAGAGAAAAAUUUGAGGUGUUUAGCCUUGUUAAAUUCUUGUACAAAAGACUUAGAAAUGAGAAAAAUUUCACGAUACCUAAAAUCUUAAAUGAUCAUGGGAAAGAGUUUGGAAACUCUAACUUUGAAAACUUCUACAUGGAGGAGAGAACCCAAGCAUGAUUUCUUUUUACCGAUCACUCCAUAACAAAAUGGGGUACUUGAGAAGAAAAAUCGUGUACUUCAAAAAAUGGCUAGGACAAUCCUUCAUGGUAAGGGUAGUCAUGCAUUUUUGGGGUGAAGCUAUUGACAUUGCUUGUCACAUUGUGAAUAGGAUUUACCUUAGACCAAAAACUAAUAAGAUAUCAUAUGGGAUCUGGAAGGGUAAAAAGCCUAUUGUCAAAUACUUUCGUGUGUUUGGUAGCAAGUUCUAUAUUAUAAGAGAUAAAGAGAGUUCGAACAAGUUCGACUCUAAAAGUAAUGAGGGAACCUUUAUAGAAUACUCUAAGAAUAGUAAAGGUCAUCAUGUGUAUAAUUUUCAUACAUGAGUUGUGGUGGAGUCCAUAAAUCUCGUGAUAGAUUGUAGGAGAUUAGGAUAAGUUAGAUCAGUCCAGUGUAGAUCCUGCCAUGGUUACUAAGCCUAAAGAAAAAUCAAUUCUCAAACAUCUACACUCACCUAAAGUUUUAGACACUCCAAACAAGUAGUCAUCACCUAGCACGAGCUCCAGCUUUCCUAGUGAAACAUCUCCAGACAAACUUUUCUCUCUCUACUAAAGCAAUGACCUAGUGAUAAAUCCAGACCUCCUAAGGAACCUUCAUCUGGAGUUAAGUCUAAUCAUUCUAAGAUCGCUAUUAUUGGGGAUUUUGAUGAAGGGAUGAGACUCAUCAAGAGGGUUUUAAGCAACCUAACAUUUAGCUAUGUGUCCCAGAUUAAGACUAAGAGAAUAGAAGAUGUCCUUAGUGAUGAAUGCUUAGUACAUGUAAUGCAUCAGGGGCUAAAUCAAUUUGUGAGAAAUAAUAUGUGGUAUUUGGUACCUACUCCUAAUGAUUGUAACAUUAUAUGUACGAAUUGGAUAUUUAAGAAUAAGACCGACGAUCAAGGUACCAUGACUAGGUAUAAUAUUAGGUUAGUUGCCCAGGGAUAUACUCAGGUGGAAGAUGUUGACUUUGAGGAGACAUUUACUCCAGUUACACGUCUAAAAUCCAUUAGGAUUCUUCUUGUUGUUACUUGUACCUUAGGGUUGCUGUAUUAAAUGGAUGUCAAGGUACAUUCUUGAAUGAAAUAUUUCAAGAAGAAGCUUAUGUAGAACAACCAAAAGGAUAUAUUGAUCCUAAGUUUUCACAUUUUGUCCCCAAACUAAAUAAAGCUAUAUAUGGUCUUAAAUAAGCUCCUAGAACUUGGUAUGAUAGACUCACUGAAUACCUAGUGGAACAUGAUUUUUUUCAAGAGGAGGUGCAAAUAGAACUUUAUUCAUAAGAAAUGUUGAAGAAACCAUUACCAUAGCAUGGAUUUAUGUCGAUGAUAUCAUCUUUCGUUCUUUCAUUAACUUUCUUGUUCAGGAAUUCAUUGAAUGCAUGAAACAAGAAUAUGAAAUGAGCAUGGUUGGAGAAUUAAGUUACUUUCUUAGUUUCCAAGUAAAGCAGACUAAUGAUGGGUUGUUUAUAUCUGAAUCAAAGUACACAAAAGACCUUAUCAAGAAAUUUAGGCUAGAUGGCAAGAAAUACACUAGAACAUCGAUGAGCACAAGUGUUAAGUUAGGUCAUGGUCCUAUAAGUAAGAGUGUUGAUGAGAGACUAUACAAAAUUAUGAGAGGCAGUUUACUUUAUAUUACUAUCAGUAGACCUAGCAUAGCUUUUAGUGUUGGGGGAUGUGCAAGAUUUCAGGCUGAUCCUAAGGAAUCCCACUUGAGCGCAGUAAGGCGCAUCAUUCAAUAUGUAAAUGGAACUAUAGAUCAUGGAAUCUUAUACUCUAGGUCUUGUAUAUUCUCCUUAACAGAUAAAGCUGGCUGAGAAUAACAUAUUUGACUCGAGCAACUAAGUUUGAGGGGUUUUUCAUAACCUGAAGCCCUAUGAUCAACUAACUUGGAGUUGUCGGCCUAAAACUCAUUAUAGUGUCAUCUUAGUUACUUAAUGGAGAUGAGAUUGCACAUAAGAUUAAAAAAUGCUUACCGAUAAAGGAGAAAGGACAUUUGUCCACUGAAAAAUAAUAUGAGCUUUUUUGUUUAAAAUGUUUUAGUUAGUGCUAUAUUUGGCUUUCAUUAAUAGAGGAAAAUACUCAUUUCUACAGUGAUGUUUAGCAUGUUCUCUCUCACAAAUUUAAGGUUUGGAGUCUUGCUUACUAAGAAAUAGUGACACUUUCACACAUGGAUCACUUAUAUAAUUUACUUCAUUUAAGCAUGAUCUGAGUAUGUGGGAAAGUUUUUAUAUGCAUUGAUUAGGCCGUACUUGUGAUUAAUUGCAUUAAAAAAUGUGUUACAUUUCAAUACUUUCAAAAAAUGUUGCUAUUUUUGUCAAAAAGUUUUCGAUCUUGACGCUAAGUCAUCUUUGGAGUGCCAAAGUAGUGGCUCUUUCACUUGACCCUUGCUUGAGUGACAUCUCAAUUUUUUGUUAAUUUUAUGCAGACAAUUGAAACCCUUUUUCUCAUUUCUUCAUCUUCUCUAUCACAUUGUUCUCUCAAAUCAUUGUUACCCAUCUUUGAUUCAUGCCUUUCUUCACCCUUUGGAUGUAUGUAAAUCAACAUUUGAUUACCAUAACCUCAGUUCAUCAUCCAAUUUUGCCCAAUUUUGAAGAUAAAACAUCAAUCCCUUAUUUUCAUUUUUUUUGAUUUUUUUGGGAAUUUUUUUUUAUUUCUUUUUGUUUCUUGCAUCAAUUCAUACAUCUACAAUGCAUAAUUAGGAGAUUGUAGUGUGCUCUCAUUCCAAAUUGCAUCAUUUACUUGAAUUUUUUUUUUUGAGUUUGAAUCUUAAACCCAUGUAUUAGGGUUCUCCAAGCUUUUUUGGGAUUCUUUUUGAUUUUAGAUUCGUUUUAUAGAGUAUGGAAUAUGAUUUAGAUGUUGGAAGGUUGAGUUGUGAAUUGCGUAAGUUGAUGAUGCUGUGGUUGGAUAAGUUGUGGUUUGUACAUUAUGCCUUACACAUGCAGGCCAUUUGUUUAAUAUAGUCUCAUCAACAUUUUUUGUUCAAUUUUUGACACAUAAUUAACCAAAUACUUCGUCCACACUCUCAUAAGCACGUCUAGGUAAGCACAUUGCACUUUUACCUUGGUUUUCAUUGAAUUCGACGUUGAUGCAUUAUCACCCAUGUUUGUCCUUUGCCACCUUGCAUCAAGGCAUCGUCUCAUCCUACCUCUAGGCACUUUAUUACCCUUAUAUCCUGGCAUAAUGACAUUUCCAUCCACGCAUUGCAUGGCCUUCACUCAUGUCUUAUAAGCAUUGGAUGAUUUUAGUAUUAAUUUACGUGCAUUGGACAUUUUUGCAUUUUUUUUCUUGCAUUAGACGGCUUUUGCAGUGUGUUCCAUGCAUUGGAUAGUUUUGCAUUAUUUUACACGCAUUAGACAAUUUUUGCAUCAAUUCGUGUGUUUAUGACAGGUUUUGGUGUUUGAGGACUAUUUUUGUACCAUUUAACUUAUGUAUGAAAUUUGUCUCGAUUCAUGGGCAUUCAUACAUAUCAUUAGUUAGUUAUACAAAGAGGUAUAUAGCAUCUUUAGUUGCAUCUAUUGGUGUAUUUGUAUUGAAAACUUGUCACAAAUGACACGUAAGAGAGCGAGGACUAUUGCACAGACAUCUAGCGUGCCGACUUUCUAUAAUAAGUCUAGUAAAUCUCUUCUAUUGCCCAAGAUGUCUUUGUGACUCAUUUUUCCUUACCCCUAUUCUUAGAGCGCGAGGUAACCCUUUCUGAUCUUUUCCAUGAUCUUAUUGCCAUCUUCACUUCACGUGGAUAGGAGCCCUUACUUGUUGAGUUGUCCCUCACACCUAGUCUCAUUGUCCAAGAGUUCUAUAUGAAUAUUCAUGUUAUUAGUAGGUUGAACUUUAGAAUUUUUCUUUAGGGGCAAGAUACUUAAGAUAAAUUUUGAUGUCAUAUCUAGUAUUAUCUCCAGGUUGUCCACCUUUUAUUUCUAUAUUUGUUGUUGACACCCUCUUUGCAGACUCUCUUGUCCGAUAGAUUAACUGCCCCUUAGGAGGAGUUCCAAUUGUGAUUUGUACUAGAUCCCUAUAGACUAACCGACAAAUUCUGUUGCACAUUGUGUGCACGAAUUAGUGGCUAGUUUUCCACACCUCUUCAUUGUCCAUGGAUAAGGUCAGAUUUUUCAUGCGCUCUUGCAUGGUGACUCUAUAAACCUUCCUACUUUCAUGUACCAUCAAAUUUUACGUAUUUUUCGUGUCUGGUCCUAUGAUUGGUCUUCCUUGUGCCUACAUGAUUCAUCGUCUUGUGACAAAUCUUGGGACUACAAGCAGAUUUCUCUGCCUGUUGGCUAUACUACCAUUUCACAGAGUGACCUCAUGUUCCUUCAUCUUCCACCCCUUCUAAGCCAACUAAGCUAGUUGACUCGAUUUUGCCAGCUAAUCCUAUUGGAGAUCUGCUUUUUCUUGAUCCAUUUAUAUUCCUUUAUCUCGAUUAGAUAUCUAUUCUUCCACCAUUGAAAUUCCAUUGUCUUCUAUCUUUUCUGAACCACCAUUCGCUGAUCUUAUUCUGCCAUCUACUUCUAUUCCCAUAGACCCAUACUGUAGCUCUCAUUGGAUACAUGUCUAUGGUGAUCGAGCAGCAGGCUCGUAUGAUGGCUGAAAUUAUACGUUGAGAGUCAUUACAAAGUGUCACACAGUAGAGUUUGUUACACUUCGUGGUGCGAACGCAUAUGUUUAACGAGGAGUCCAAUGGAUGGAUGGGCAUUAGUAUAAUGAUAAUGAUGAUUUUGAUGAGGUAACUGAUGGAGAUGACGUUGUUGCUACUUAGUUGUUACGUAUCCCCUUGUCAUCUGUGAUAAAAAAGGUGGAGUAGGGAGUAUGUUAUGUUGAUUUGAUUUAAGGAUAUUUUUUGACACUUUUUGAGAUGUAUAUGAUAUUAUUUUCUGCUUAGCUAUGUUGAUUUGAUAUGAGGAUAUCUUUAGACACUCUUUUGUAUAUGAUUUUAUUUUCUGCUUAACUAGAUUAAGGUUUGAUGUUUAGUGAUAUCGAUGCUUGGUUUUGGUGUAUUAGCUUACACUGAUAUUGCAUCUUAAUUUAACUAGCAUGAAUUUGAGUUUAUUGAUAACUAUCUCAACUACUUUUACUUUUGUUACUAUUUCACGUGCUUUUACUCUUGUUAUAUGAGUUGUUAUUUCAGACUUAACAAAGAAAAAGUAAGAUUCAUUUUAGUUAGUUGGUUUUCGAUAGAUUGAUUGGAUUUCUUUGAUUUGUAGUACAUGUUUUGUCAUAGAAUGCCAAUGGGAAAGUUUAUUAGGUUUAUAGUUGUUGGCAAUCUUUAGAAAAAAACAUAGCUGUAAAAGAGUUUUAAAAGUCAAAGAAUCAAGUGGUAGGUUAUAUACAUGAAUUAGGACUCCCUGGGUUGUCUAUGGAACAAAGGAAAAAGUUGUUGGAAUUAUGCUAGCCUACCACUAAGUUGUUGCUCAAGCGCCAAAAUAGUAAUUUUUCGGUAGCCUGUCACUUGCCUAUCGCUUGAGUGGAGCACCUAUCGGUUGUCGAUUGCUGGGCUCUCACUUGAGAGACGGUGUUUCUCGAAACCCCUAAUCCACAUUUUUUAAUAGCUUUAUCUAUCCUAUACCAACUCCAAAACCUAUAUACUUUUUAUACCUACUCCCCACAUUAAAAAGGGGUUGAGUAAAAAUAUUGAGUUAAACAAGAAUCCUACAGAUCAUACAAAUAGUUCAAUCGUCUCAUGAUUUAACAAUAUCAUUGAAAACAUUAAACCUACAUAAUCCAAAAUACCAAAACACACACAUCCACAUAAUCUGUCAGAGUUCUGAAGAUCAAGGAAGGUGGCUGAAGUUUCGGUUGAAGGAGAGUGGGGAGCUUUUAGUGAUUCACAUAAGAUAGACAAAUCCAAAAGGCUAGGAGUUGGUGCAGGAGCACGUAAUCUAGGAGGGCUUGGUGAUUAUAGUCAGGAGGUUAGAAGGUACUAGUGUUAGUCGAGUUUGAUACUACUGUGAGUUGAUUCGUUUAUACUAGAUUCUAACUGGCUUGGGUCUAGAGUUUUAACCUGUGAAGGGUUUUCUCCAUCAUCAAAUUUCUAGUGUUAUACUUUUUAGCGAUUUAUUAAUUACAAUAAUUCGAAUGGGAUAGUUUUGCAUGUGAAUUCAUAUAACUUUGACUUAUUGCUUUUAUUAACUAAUAAAUUUAAAAUCUACAUAAAACACUUAUUCACCCUCUCUAGAUGUUAGUUGGGUCGAACUUCGUUAUUUCAUAGUCUUUGUAGAGUAAUACAUGGUACGCGAAUUGAGAUAUUGAAAAAUUGAAUUCCAAGAAUGUUGUGGAGUAAUACAUAGUACGUUGCUCUAUACUACAACUCUUUGAAUUUAUAUUUUCCAGAGAAUGUAAUAUGAUGAAAUUUUUUGUUUUAAGUUUUACAUUUCUUUUCUGAUAAACUGGACCUAUUGGGAUGUUUAUCCUAUUUGAAUUUGAUUAAAUAAGACAACUUAAUUUUGAUGACAGUUCAACAUUAAUUAGAUGAUUUGCUCAUAUUGAUAUGUCAGCUUAUAUGGUACAUUCAAGAAGGUGAUAGCCCAAGAAUAACUAAUCAAGAGGGGUGAAUUGGUUUUUCAAAUUUUCUUGAAAAAUAAACUUAAAUCAAGCUAGUUAAGAACAUGUUGAUCAAUUAAUAAUCAUAAGCAAACAAAAGUAAAUAGAUCAAGCAAAUAAUAAAUAUAAAUGAAGUAACAAUAAGUAAAUGAUAGAGAGGACGGAAACGAUGUAAUUGUGGAGGGUUGAUCCAAAGCAAUAAUCUACGUACUUCUUUACCAAGCUCUUUGACACGAGCAAGACUUUUCAGUAUAUUGAUUGACUUAUAGUGCAAUUCAACCCUUUGCAACGCUUUUGAUGACUUAUGAAAAAGGAACACCAAUCUUUAUACAAUAUUGAACUUUACAGGACCUCAAUAUAACCUUUACUACUGAGCUUUAUAGAACCUCAAUAUUGACUCACACAGUGAUUUACAACAAGGAGUACCAAUUCUUAUACUAUUAAGCUUUAACAAGACCUCAACGCGACCCACAAAUUUAGAGCAAUGAUUUUAUGAUAAAAUUUCUAUCUUAAUGAAUGAUACAAAUGAGUUAAGUACUCAAAAAGAUUAACACUUCAAUUAAUAGCAAUAAAUGAUAGCUCUUAGAUGAAAAGCUUUGACGAAUAUGAUAAUUAAAAUUUUGAUUCGAUCAAUUAUAGUUUUUCAAUGAGAAGAUGAAGAAGAAAUGAAGCAGUGUAAGUUCAAAAAAUUUCUUAAGAAACAUCUCUCUUCUAAUGACUAAUUGUAAUAAAUUAAGUACCAAGAUAGAGAUGGAAAACUUUGAUGAAUAUGACGAUUUUACGAGUUUGAUUCAACAAAUUAAAGUUUUCAAUAUGAAGAAUUAGAAGAAAUAUAUGCAUUUAAGUUCAAAGAUCUUCUUCAAAAUAUAUCUUUCUUUUAUGAGUAAUAGAAAUAAGUUAAAUACAAAAGGAGAAAUAAAAUUUUUUGAUGAAAAUGAUGAUUAAAGAGUUUAAAUCAAUCAAACUUUUUGAUAUGAAAAGAUAAAUGAAAUGAAUGCGAAUGUAAGCUCAAACAAAUCUCUCAAAAAAAUCUCACUUUGAUGCCCUUAAAAGUCUUUUUUUAAUUUAUUUUUUUUAUUUUUUUGGGAAGAAUGAGAAUAUUUAUAGAGUUCAAAGAGCAAAACUAUCUUAAUGUUUGGAUGGGUGGUUGUCGACCACCUCAUAUCUAGAUGACCAAAAUAAAGCCGUUGAACAAAUUAGAAUAGUCAAAUUUUUGGACCGUUGGACAUUUUCGGUCGAUUUGUUGACCUGAUUUUGAAUGUUUCAACAAAUGUAGACCUUUGAAAGGUGUUUUUAACAAGUUUUCAAAGUAAAUGAAGUUUUAAAAAUAUGGUCUAAGUUCAAAUAUCAUUUUGAAAAUCAAUUUUCCUUUUGAUCAAAAUAUUUUAUGCAAAUGACAAUCAAAAUAGCUUUUCAUCCACAAAAUGAUUUUUGAAAUUUUAUUAUUCAUUGUUAAAUAUAUAGAAGUUAUCAGUACCUUGAUCAAAGAAACCUUAAUGUUUGACGUUUCUUUGAAGUUUGGCCUUUAGACUUUCGUCUUGGUCUUUUUUUUUUUUUUUCCUUAAUAUUGUCUUGAAGGAUCUUGUCUUGGAUGCUUGACUUCAAUCUUGACCUUCAUUGUGAGUCCGAUUUGUAAUGUGAUGGUCUUGAUCUUUUGGCAAUGAUUGAUCAAUUUUAACGUUGAAUGCUUUGAAGACUAUUGUCACUUAAAAUCAAUUAUUAUAAAACAAUAUUAACUUGUUUGUCAUGUUCAAAAUAUUAAGAAUAAAGUCAGCCAUAGGUCAACAGAAGUAUGUUUCCCUAGAUAUGGCUUUUUAAGUUUUUGUUUUUGGUAAUUAAUCUAGCAACUAAUCAGGAUUUAGGGAUGUCCCACGUGGAAACCUCUAGUUGAUAGCUUAGAAGUGUCUGUUGAGAGCUACUAUGAGCUAUUGGAUCUGAUCAAUAGAUGGGAUUGAAUGCCCCUGUAGGAUAUCUGAGUUCUUGGCUUUCUAAUACAAGUAGACGGUUCAUUCUUCCGAGAGCUUUUUAAUUUUCAUCUUUAUGCUUUUUCUGAUGUCAUUCGAUUCGUCCCAUAUCUUCCAUCUUUAGCUUUAAUCUUUUUGAAAAAAAAAAAAAAAAACUAUCAAUUCAAAUCCUUGAAAAACGAACUUGCAACAGUAAAUCAAAGGCCUCAAAAAAUGGAUUUGAUUGGGUUUCUGAUGUACAUAGAUUAGGAUUCAUGAAUAGUUUGAUUUGGGCUUUGUUCUGGAAAGAUUAUGUGGUUCUUGAUCAAAUUCUUGUUCUGAUUUUGGUUUGAUGAACAUUGUACUCUUUAUAGUGAAUGGACUGAUCUAUGUACAUUGCAGACUAGGCUUUUGUUGAACUCGGUGAACAAUUUUUUUCUAUUUCUUAUGUUUAUACUCUACUUUGUCUUUCAGUUUUUCAUCUUCAAACUAGUUCCUCAAGAAAAAUACUUACAAAACUGGUAUUAGAGCCACUUAGGUUUCUAGGUACAUUUUUUUUGGAACUGAAAAUCCUUUCUAAAAGGAGUGGCAUGAAGCUAUAUAGAUCUUGAAAAAAAAAUCAAUCAUAACAUGGAACAUUUUAGAUAAAUACUAUCACAUCCUAACGAAAAUAUAGGGAUAAAGAUACCCUAAACUACAAAAGGCAAUAAAAUUUACUAAAUUACUAAAAGUAAUGAAAGACUAAUCCUAUAUUUUAGAAAGAAAAAAAAUAAAUAAACAAAAGGAAAGAAAAUUGGAUUUCCUCCCUUUAAGCGCUUGUUUAUAGUUAUUGAAUUGAAUUUCGCAAUCUGCAUUAUGGAACUUUGAAGAAAGCUAUUGUUGCCUUGCUCCGUUUGCUUCUUUUAACUUAGCUCCAUUUUUCGUUGAUUCUCCAAAAUUUAUCCUUUCCUCCUUCAAUUUUAUAUGACUUGCUUAUUCUAUUUGAUUCAAAAUAAAUCAUACUGACUUCUAUCUCCUUCUCGAGUUCAAUCACAAAUUCAAUUGUUGGGCAAUCAAUGAAAUCAAAAUAAUGUGUGUUAAUUUCAUCUUUACUACUUGCUACUUCAUCGUUUGGUUCUUUUAUAAUUAAUUUAUCAUUCUCUUUUUAAUUUUUUCAAUAAUUGAUAUCUCUUUGGGUUGAAUGGUAUAUUUACGGUCUAAUUCUAUAGGUAAUGGUAAUUCUUUACUUUCAAGAUUUUCAAGUUGAUUAUAUUCCCACCUUUUGAAUUCUAUCUAGAAUGGGGCAUCUCUCAAUCCUAUUUUGCUUUCAUCCAACAUGAAAUGUUUAUUAUAGUAUUUUGCAAGUGAUUCAUCAUUCAAUAGAGGAAGUCCAACUCCCCUAAGUAUGAUAUCCAGUAUAAUGCAUCCCAUCACAAAGCUCACAAUUUGUGUUUUCUCGAAACAAAUCGUCAUCAUCCAUGCCAUGCUGAAUUUUAUUACAAUUAUCUUGUUGCCCUUGCUGUUGUCAGAAUAAUGCCCGUAUUGUUGAAUAAUCCUUGAAAGAAUACAAAGUACAAGAGAAAUCAGGGCCGAUCACCAAAAAUAACAAAAUAAAAUAAAUAAACAAAUAAAUAAAUUUGAAUUCUAUAUAAAUUAAUAAACUCAAACUAAAUGCUUUAUAUCCCGGCAAAGGCGCCAAAAAUGUGUUCAAUAAAAUCCCAUAAGAGUACGAGAUCGUUGACAAGUAAUAAAUUAAAUGAGUUGCGAGUUAUCGCCCCACAUUGAAUAAAUUUCUAAUCAAGUUUAAUAGUUUAGUAUGGAAUUCGAAUUAUGUAAACAAAAGAGAUGUUUUAACUUGAUUUUAUGCCAAAUUAUCUAAGAAAGUUGUAAAACUAAUUUUUUUUUAUCAAAUUAUGGAUGACUACAUUGGAUUUAGAGUCCUUCUAUUGCUAUCUAUUUCAAUUCUCAAUUAUGUAAUUUAAUCAUAUCCAUGCAUACUUGACAAUCAAUAAAGUUGAUUUAUUUAACAUUCUUUACCAAGAUGAAUUAACUCAAUUCUGAUCAUAACCCGAGUCUAUUCCUAGCCCAAAUUUGAAUAAUUAGAAUCAUUAAAUUUUAUAUUAUCUAUAUUUCUGUAUACGUAAUAAAUGUUAUUCCUAACAACUAUUGUACAUAUUUUAAUUUUGUCAUGUUCUAUAUUGAUUGUGAGUCUCCCAACACUAUAAAAAGUAAUUAUCUAAUUAGUGGUCAAAUAAUUAAAUAAUGCAAUGUGUAUGCAAAAUUAGUCUAGAAAAGAAUAAUUACUAAACUACUAGUAUAAAUUAAAAUAAAUAAAUAAUAGGGUUCAACUUCAUUCAAUACAAAACUCUAGCUAAACAUAUUGCUAAUGAUAAAACAAUAAGAAGAACGUCACCUGAAAUUUAUAAAUACAAGAAAAAGAUGCCACGGUCUAAUGUUUGUUCUUGUUCUUCAAACUCGAGCUUUGAUUCUCCAAGAUCUUUAUGUUUCUUGAUUCAAUCAACGUGUCAGAUUUGUUCUCUGCUCCAACUUAGGAUAAAUUUGCCCCUCGUUCUUGAAUGAUUUUAUGAUAUGGAAGUGAUUUGGUACAUGGGCGAACUCAUAAAUUUUUAGUUGGGAGGCACAAUUAAACUUUGUAUAAAUUGAAUACUUUGUUAUUGAUUUUGAAUGAAUGAUUUAUGCUUGAUCUGAAAAAAUACAGAUUUACAUUUAAAAAACAUGUCUUCAUUAAUAUUUUGCUCAUAAUUUUAAUCUAUUUGAUUUCGAACAAUUAUUUUAUUUUAUUAAUAUUUUCCUCAUCACAAGAAAAUUCAUAUUUAUGCUUAAAAAAUUAUAGUGUAUUUAAUACUUUAAUCAAUUCAAGUGACUGAAAGGAAAAAUAUAUAACUAGUAUUCAAUCAAAUAAAUAAAAUUCGUUAAAUAUAAGUUAAAGUGGAUAUAAUCGAUUUAGACAUAUUCUAUGUACACAAAUAGGAUAGGAGAAAAUGCAAAAUUUAAAUUCUAAUUAAUUGAAAAUUUGAUUAAAAAGUAAAAAUUUGUAGUAGAUAUAAUCAUUUGUAGAAAAUUUAAACAAAUUUAAAAAAAUUAAAAGAGUUAGGAUUUUGGUAAAUGGUAUGAAGGAGAGUAAAAUAGAGUAAGAAAAAAGAAAAAAAUAUUCAAAUUUAUUGUAAAUUUGCCUCAUUUGGUUGGGAUAAAAAUCAAAUUUUUUGUAAAUUUUGGUAAAAGCUAAAAUGUUAAGGAUUUCAUGAAAAUAUGUUAUUAAAAAUAAUUAUUAACUUUUGUUAAAAUUUAGAUUUUAAUCGAUACCAAACACGAUUUAUUCAAAAAAAAAAAUGAUAAUCUCAAAAUUUGGGGGGUCACUUGACCCUACAGGACCUCCCUUAGGUCCACCCCUUAUUUGCUAAGACAGAGAUCUGUAAUAUAUAAGGUGAAAUUAGGUCAAAAAAUAUGACAAGUUGGAUUCCAAAAAGAGUUUCAAUCAAAUAUGGAAAGAUGCUUUGUGUAGUUUUUAGUAUUUUUGUCACAACUCUCUCUCCCAAUAUCUGAUUGAGCUAAUUUAAAGUGCAUUAGAAAGCUAACGCAAAGAGAUACAAUUCUUUUAGUAAUAGAAUUUUUCCAAUUCGAACAUUUACUAUCCAAAAAAUUGGUCUCAAUUUCUAACUCAAAACUUGGAACAUAUUUUUUACGGUUAGAAUUUGAUUUGUGAAUACCCUUUGAUUAUAUUUCACUCUUUUUUACUUUUAAUCACAUCUAGUUCACUCCUAAUAAACUUUACUUAUCAUCUUGUGGUCUGAGUUGACGAUUGAAUAUUUGCAAUAUGAUCCCAAACUUUGAAAUUCUUACGUUUUGUCCAUUUUCGUUCAUUUAUUCCAAUUCCACCAAUUUAUCUUAAGUUUUAUCUAACAAACAAAAUUAACAUCUAAUUACAUCAUAAGUCAUAAAAUUUUAUUACAAUUAAUCUAAUUUAAUUGUCCGGAUAAGUGUUUUAACACACCUAAUCUUAAAAUGAUCCUAAUCCCUUAGGAGAUUCUUGAAGAUGAAGGGCAUUUCUUUAAACCUCACAACAACAGACUGAAUGGCAUUAAAGGUUCCUUAGUUGUAAUGAAAGGAUCUAAAAAGAACAAACUAUAUUAUCUGUUGGGUAAUACUGUCACUACACAAGAUUAUACUCUAUUAACUACAAAUGAAGAUGUAUUCAGUCUUUGGCAUAAAACAAUGGGACACAUUGGAAAUAAAGAUGUAAAAUCUUUAACAAACCAAAAAUUACUUGGGAAAGAUUAGCUGAGCAUUUGAAUUUUUGAGAAACUUGUGUUGAGCAAAUCUCAAAGGGUGAGUAUUGAGACGUACUCACGUAGUACAAAUAACCUUUUAGACUAUGUUCAUGUAGACUUGUUGGGUCCUGAAAAACAUAUUACCAAUGGUGGUAAUAAAUAUUUUCGAUACUUAGUUGAUAAUUAUUCUAGGAAAGUGUGUGUUUACCUUUAAAGGCUAAAUCUAAUUUUUUUAAAAAGUCUGACUUUGGCACAAAAAUGGGUGAAAAUCAGAUAGAUAUAAAUCUGAAAACCCUGAGGACUUAUGGUCUUGAGUUUUAAAUUUGAUAAUUUCUGUUAGAAAAAGAAAAAGAAAUAAAGAGACAUGACUAUUAAACACACAUCCAAAUAAAAUGGGGUUGCAAAAAGAAUGGACAAGACUUUAAUGAAUAAAUUCAAGUGUGUGCUCAUUAGCUCAAGGUUUACUGAUGGAUUCUGUGCAAAACUAAUGUAUACUCCAAUGUAAUUUCCCCUUAGUUCUGUUAAUUUUAGAACUCCUCGAGAACUUUGGACUAGAAAGCUACAAAAUUUAACAUAUAUUAGAUUGUUUAGCUGCACAUCAAGCUAAACAAAAACUGGAACCCAGAGCUACUAAGUAUGUUAGGCACGCUUGAAGGUGUUAAAAGGCAUAUAUUGCGGGUUUUGGGGGUGCAAGGCAAAGAUAAUGCCUAACAGCGAUGUAGUGUUCAACGAAUCUGAAAUGACUUGCCUAAAAUGUGAGAAUGAGUAAAUUGGCUAAGUUAAUCUAUAAUCAUAUUGAUUCUAUACUUAGACAACUAUUCAACCUAGACCAAAGAAGACACUAAUAUACAAGAUUAUUAACUGGUAAAGGAUAGAGAGAGAAGAUAAAACCUAAUCCAAGAUAGGAAUAUCAAAACCUGACUAAGACUGCUUGGUUUCAGGUUAAACCAUUGAACAUUCAAAUCCUUCUUCUUUUGGAAAAGCUAUGACUGGUUAAAAUCUGAAAACCGAAAAAAGACAAUGGAGUAAAAGAUGAAAUCUUUAAUUGAAAAUAAGACUUGGAAACUAGUGAAAAAACCUAGAAUUAAAGAAUAGUGCAAUGUAAAUGGACUGAUAAAUUUAAAGAAGGUAACAAUCCAUGUGCUCAUUUGAGAUACAAAGCCAGUUGGUUUCUAAGGGCUUCAAUCAAAGGGAAGGAAUUGAUUACAAUGAUAUAAUCUCUCGUGUUAUUAAGUAUAGAAUCAUUAUGUUGAUUUUAGCUUUUGUUGUUCAAUUCAAUUGAAAACUAACUAGAUGUUAAAAAUAUCUUUUUAUUUAUUUUUUUAUUUCUUUUCUUUUAGCAAAGACAGCCACACAUUUCUAGUGAGUUUUUAGGCUCCACAAAGAAAGGUCAAUGAGGGUUAACGAUUCCCCAUCCAUAUAUAUCAUAAAAAAGGCCAGUAUAAAAAGAAGAAGACAAAGGAAAGGGCAUAAACCUAACCUCCUAAAUGCAACAUAGCAAUAAAUGGAAAUGAAUAAUUGAGGAAGUACUACUUCCCUUACAGAGAAGGUAAAUACGGAUGAAGACUAUUCUAUAAACUUCACAAGCUGGCAAAUCCAUGUAUGUCAAUCUGUACAGGUGCCUUUAUUUGUCGAGGCUGGCCGAAUAGUCUAUACUCCUAAUAGUGGCACUGAUCUCCAUUCUCUAAAGCAAGUCUCAAAACUAGGUUUCCCUCUUUGUGGAUGUAGGAAACAAUGUCUAUAUUGAAGGAGAUAAGGUCUCUGAUUUGUUUAAGAAUGCUCUGAAUCAUCCAUAAUCCUCCACUCCCUAGUGAUGCAAUGAAUAGUCAUAGUUGAAUCAGCCUUCAACCAAUUAGCUAAACUAGCUAGUCCUCUAGUGUGUAAAACCCCAACUACUAUAACUUUGAGCUCGACCUCCAAAAUUAGACAUGGGCCAUAUGAUGAUGAAAACUCCUUGAUGCAGUGCUCUGUACGGUCCUUUAUGAUGCCUCCACCAUUCGUAAAUCCAUCCUUGAUGUAUCCAUUGGUGUUAAUCAUGUAAGAUCCCAUUGGUAGAGUAUACCACAAAACCAAAACAGAUAGUGAUGGGGAGGGAUAGUCAUAGAAAUACCGAAGAUGGGUGAAAAACUCAAAUUCCUUUGCCAAUGCAAAGCUCUAAAUGAUUCUUCCGUGUGACGAAGAGAGAUCGUACGGUAGACUCUCCAGAUGGUACGUUUGGACACCACGUAGAUCUUCUUUUGUUAUUUGUCAUUCCUCUUAGUCCAUAUAAACCAAAAUAUCGGUAGAAGAAUGAUAAUGCGAAUACAUCACCUCAUGCAUACUGUCCAGAAAACUGUUGUCUUUGGAAUCUAUGUCUGAUGCUCUUUCCUAACUCAUAGGUACCUAAAAAAUGCCUCCAAAACCAUAACUAGCUGAAGAUGUCGCUUUCUGUGAAAAAGAUUUUUGACGAUCUCAGUCUCGGAACAACACUGACAUUGCGAGGCCCAAAGACAUUGUUCGCUAUGAAAGUGCAAACCGUAAUUGCAUGAGUCAUGUUUAAAUAAUAAAGUGGACUUUUGAGUUCAAGUUUUCAAUCACUCGAAAAAUAUUUACUUUAGAUUACACAAUUUUAAUUAAUUUAACUCUAAAAAUAAAAAAGAAGCAUAGAAUAAGACUAUGAUUAUGGAAAUAAGGAAAACAACUAAAGUUCAAUGAAAUAAUAAAAUAAAAACACUUGCAAAUUUAGGAGGAAAAUGUUGUUGUGAUUCAUAAUUAUACGUAAUCUCGCUUAAUUAAUUUCUUCUCAAGCCAAUUAACAAAUUACUCAUUUACAAUGUAAUUUUAGUUAAUUACCUCGUUUGAUUGAAUUAACCCUAAUUAAUUGGUUUAACCAACUAUAUCACUAUAUUUACUAAAACCAAACAACUGUAUUAAAUUUUUGGUCUAAAAUGCUCAAUCUCCACUCGAACAAUGUACAAAUUGCUAACCAUAAUCAUUCAUUAGCUAAAUAAAUGUAAAUGCAAUAAUAACAGUAGUAAAAACAUAUUAACACAGUAAUUUUAUUAUCAAAGAGCAGAUAAAAAAUUAAUUAAAGGUAGAUCUAGCUACUACCAUAAUCUCAAUAGAAAUAACUAGCUCAUUUUAUAUAACAGUGAAAAGGAGAAUAUUUCAUACAAUACAUUGCAAAUAUGAGACAAUAAUGAAGAAAGUAUACGAGCGAAGUUAAAACACUUUUUGGAUUUUGUAUUCUCCUUGUGCAUUUAGUUUUUUUCCCACAAAAAUUACAAGUAAAUAAUAAGGAAAAUAAAAGAAAAUGGAAUGGAGAGAAGAAUAAUAUGGAGAAUGAGAAUGGGGACUCAAGUGGAUGAAAUGGGUCUUUUAAAACCCUAAAAAAAUGUCCCCUAAAAUUAUAAAACUGCUCCAUCCGGAAUGGUGAGUCAAGGCAUCAUAAAAGGACUACUGCGGUAGAACCUAGGCGCUACCCUUUUUUCAGCAAUUUGCAGCUCAAGUAUUCCAAUAUUUGCACACUAGGUCCCUCAACCACGAUUUUGUACAAUUGGAUCCUUAGAUUUUGAUUUUCUUUCGAUUAAGCCCUUCAUAAAUUGCAACAUAAAGUCUUUUAACUUUUGAAACUUGUACACUUUGGUCCCCAACUUCACAAUUUUGUACGACUUUGGCCCAUUUUCACUUCCUUUUGGCAUGAUUUAUUUCCUUGGUUACUUUAUUCCUAUAAAAGUAAUAAAUACACAAUUGUGAAUUAGGAAUAAAGUAAUAAAUACACAAUUGUGAAUUGGAAUUCGCUCAAUUUAGUCAUUAAUUGUCAUAUUCAGCUUUUAAAUAAGUGUACAAAAACACAUUUAUCAACACCUCAAAUUUAAGCUCUUGCUCGUCCCGAACAUGAUUAUCAACUAUCAUAAUCAUGCAUGAUGAGAUAAAGAUCGGCACAUUGGAUUGCUUGUAAAAAAUAUCACUGAGCGUAAAAUUGUAUAAUCAAUUCAUAAGUAUGCCUUCAACUAAACUACCAAAUAUAAUUUGAGCUUAUCCAUUGUUUGAUCGAUCAAUGUGUUCGCAUUGUCACUUUCAAUUAUCAUCUAAAUCAGGGAAAAGAAAUCAAGACAGAAAAUUUUUCAAAUUGACUCCAACCCAACCAUUUGUGUUCAAAUAUUUUAUUUCAUGCUCAUGAAAUUCACACCACAAGAUAAUUAUUUUCUUACUUUUCCUAGGUGUAAAUUUAAAGGUUGUCCUCACGUCACUCUUCUUUCUGCUCUACUUCAGUUGGGUCUAAUUGACAAUAUCAAAAAUCUAUCCAUGUGAUGAUUCUCCACGAAACGAGUGAUUCUACAUUAAGCUUAUACUAAGUAAUUUAAACUCUAUUUAUCGAAGCCCAACCAUCAAAUGCAUAACUAUUUUUUUUUCCAAUUAAAUCUCAUAUUUUACCUCACUUCUUUAAGUUUUUUUUUUUUUUUUUUUUUUUUAACCCUUGUAGCAAGUUUUAGAUCGAUAGUUUCCUGGUUGUUCCGGUCAAGGUGUACCAGGUUUCGAAAUCCCUAAUGGAUUUAAUAACUCAAGUUAAAAAGGAAAUGAAAUGAGUUCUAAGAUUCAACAAAUGCAAUAUCAUUCUUUUAAGCACAACAAAACAAAAUGGGGCUUAGAUUCCUGGCAUGUACAAUCUUGAAUUCCUUUAAUUGCUUCUUGAUUUAUUCUCUUUUGAGUUUUCUUCUUCAGUUGAAGAAUAGAUGUAUAAAAACGGGGAUGGAUGUAUUAUAUAACAAGCUUCUACAAAGCUCGAAAUGGAUAUGUUGAACAAAGCUUCCUCUAUGGCAAUUUUCUCUCAAGAGGUUAUUUGAAACGUAAGAGCCUAAUUCAGCUUGUAUAAUACGUGGAUAUGAAUCCCCAUAAGCCUUCCUUUGUAAAGUACUAAAUUUAUGUUUUUUUAAAUUUGGUUGGAGGGGCCAAUUUAAGAAAUGAGCCCUCAAGUCUCAGCGCUUUCAACGUAAUGAUAGUCUAAGACAUAAGUUAUUUAAAAGUCCUAAGAUUAAAGAUAUUAAGUUUAAAUGUAUUUGGGUACAAAUAUUUAAUGAAUAAUUGUGUUGCCACACUGGUCAUCUGCAUAGUAUUUCAUAUAUGCAACUUAGGUUCGAAUCAUAAUGCAGAUGCUUUUAUAAAAACAUUUUGGAGUUCCUUAUUUUCCACUUUAAGGCACAAUUACGUCAAAUUAAUUGGACGGGAUAAGAUUCUUGUUAAUGGGCAUUAAUGGAGAUAGGUUACAAUUCACAUAAACCAUUCAUUUUCCUCUAUUUUACAUAGAAAAAUGAAUUGCCUCUCGUUUUCACUAAAAAAUAUCAUUUUAGAUAAGUUAAGCUAAAGGAACACCAAUGGGUACGAAGGAGAAAGGUUUCUACACAAAUUUUUUCCUUAAUAUUUCAAGAAAUCAAGGUAAUCUUUUUGUUCGUGAUAUGUAUGUGUAUGCUUGUGAUGUGUAUUAAUAUUCUUGAAGUUACGAAUAGAGAGAUUUACAUAUGGCUGUAACCUGUUUAUACAAUUUCAAGGGAUUCUUUGGAAUCAUGAAUUUGUUGGUAUUCAUCUAUAUGAAAUUUAUAUCACUUUAUAUUUAUGUAUAUAUGUUUUUGACUAAAAGGACACAAAUUCAUUUAUGUAUAUAUUUAUGUACAUUCUAUGUUGACAAUUUUUAAGAUAUUAAAGGAUGGUAAGGAAGUGAGAACCACAUGGAUUGCGGAGGAUCUAGAGGAAGAAAUGUGCUUCAUUUGUAUAGUUUGUCACGAUUGAAGAAUUUAUAGUUCUUACUAGCUAUGUUUAAUUUUUUAUUAAUGUUAGUGUAUCUUUACUUUUUAAAAGAAUUUUUAGUUCUUUUUCUUAAUGCGAACAUUGUAAUUUAGAUUAGUUUAAGUAUACACCGAACUUAAGUCACUAAAUAAAACUAAAUCUUAGGAUUGUAAAGUUUUCUGGCCUAAAUUUGUCUCACCACUUCGGACAAAAUUCUUUGAGUAAAUCAGUGGGAUACCACUAAAAUUCGUUUGUCCAUAGGCUAUGGGAUCAAGAUUUUUAUGGCAAUUCUUAUGAGAUUACAGGAUGGUAAGGAAGUGGGAAUCACAAGGAUUGUGGAGGAUCUAAAGGAAGAAAGGUACCUUAUUUAUAUAGUUUGUCACACAUUUGGAGAAUUUAUAGUUCUUAGUAGUUAUGUUUAAUUCUUUAAGGAUGUUAUUUUAUUUUUACUAUUUAAAGACUAUUUAUUUCUUUUUGUUAAUGUGAACAUUGUAAUUGUAACUGGUUUAAGUAUGCAGCUAACUUACGCUGCUAAAUGUUAAGACUAAACCUUAGGCUUGCAAGAAUAAAAUUUCAGCAUGAGAUUGAACAAUUCAUUAAGUGGUUAAAUGUUGUUGAAAUCCUGUGAAAUUUUAAUAUUUGAUUUUUAGAUAUAAGAUUAUAUAAGAAAAGAGCGAAAAUUAAACAUUGCAUUUAGGUGUUUGACAGCUUUUAGUAAAAUUUUGCAUAAACAUUCAUCAUGUCGACAUUUGGCCUAGAAAGAAAAAUUAACAUAUUUGAGACAAUAAUGGUACAAAACAUGUAGCAUGCUUUUAUGAGGUAUAAAACAUGUAACAUACUCUUUUAUGAGGUAAGCCAUGCGAUCUCAAUGUUUACCUGGCACUAGACAAACACUAUCAGCAUAUAUGUGGGAGCCGUUUUACCACUUUUUUUCAUUCUUUUCCACCAAAUUCAACCCGAAAAUGUCACAUUGUACUCUCAUAUGAUUACCUUUACAUUAGCACCACAUAUACGUGAUGUUGUGACCACAUGAAGCAUGCAACACUUCGUAGAUUCAAUUCUAUGUUUUGAAUCUUAUGUCCAUUUUGCUCCACUAAUGCAUAUCUUAUCUAGCCUGGUCUGCUGUUGUUGUACUUCGUGGUAUGCAGUUGAUUUAUUUCUUUUGUUUACUUUUAACAUUCACAUGUUUUACAUCAGUUAAACGUGCAAAAGGAAUCAAAUAGAGAAUAACCAAAGCAAUGGACAACUGUGUCAAAUGAUUUGAAAACGUGUCUCUGCCAUCUAGAAAAGCUCUCGAUGUGUCUCUACAUUCCUAUAUUUAUAUAUAUAUAUAUAUAUAUAUAUAACUAAUGCUGAUACUAUUGGACUUAAUUUUGAUCGAUAAGUUGUCAAUAAGUUAUGAGAUAUGGAUUGUUUUGAAAAUUAUUCUUGUUAGAUUUGAUAUUUUUUUUUGAACAAAAUGGUCUCUUUUAAUCACUUAUGUCUCUGAACUUGUUAUGUUAAUAGAGCGAGUUUAAGAAGCUUGAAUGUAGGUAAUAAGUGCAUUUUAUUCGUAUAUUCAAAAUUCUAUUCUUAUUUAAUCGUACACUAUAUGAGCGAAUAUCUACUUAAUUUGUGUAAAUUACGUUAAUUGUAGAAAAAUCCUAACACAGAUAUAUUAUGUGAAAAGAGGAUAUUUGGAACAUAAUUAGAGUUCAUUUGAAGCAAUUGAAAAUUAACCGAAUUGAAAGAGCAAUUAAAAGUAUUAAUGAAGCAUUCGGGAAAAAUAAUUCAUAAGUUUCAAGAGUUAAAUUCAACGACUGAAUAGUUUUGGGACUAAAUUACAAACUUUUUGGAACUUGCUUUAGGUCAACUGCAAUGAUUUUAGAAUAAAGAUUGCAAAUAUUAGAAGAUGAAUAACUAAAUCACAUAAGGAAAGGAGUUCAAUUAAAAAAGGGAUUUGUUUCCAUUUUCUUCUCAAACAUCUUUGAUUGAUAUCAAUUUGAACAACGAAUUUGUCUAAAUCUUGCUCUAUAAAUACAUAACAUAGUCCAACAAUUAAUGAGGCUUGUGAGAUUUCAUUAGAUAAAUAUUUUUAAAGCCAGAGCUUGUGGUGAUCCAUUAUACACAUACUAUACAAGCCCAAAAGGAUGAAAAAAUACAAGAAAUCAAUGAAAAAGCUUGGGUUUAUAAGAUGAAUGAAGAAUUUUGGUGCAAGAUCUUCGUCUUUUUCACAUUAUUUCUUAAAACCUGGUGAUAUACUUUAAUUCCCUCUUAUGUUUUUAUUCUCCCAUGAUGUGUCAUUAAGUAAUUAAUUAGGAUGGAUUGUAAUCUAGUUUCGAACCUUAAUUUAAUUAAAAAGUUUUAAAUCUCAAAUUAAAAUAAAAGUGUAGAGAUACAUAUUCUAGUUUUGAAAUGCAAGGGUUGGUGACAACGGCUGCAAUUUUUCCCAAUAAAUUUUCAAUAAAAUCUUAGUUGGGCUAAUCACGAUUAAUCUUUGCAUGGCAUGCCAAUUUACCAUUAUGUCAUUCUAUAAAAGUAUAAACAAAAAGGCAUGCAUUUUAACAUUUUAAUAUAUUGACAUUAUUGUAACUUUCUAAUAUUUGUUUGUCAGUUUAGGAGAUGAUAGUGAUGAGCUAAGAUAAAGCACAAAACAUGAGUAUGCAGUAGAAACAAAAAACCGAAGUCUUAUUUCGAAAAUAUGUAAGAGAAUUGUAUGAAUUAGAUUUAAUACUUUCUAGGAUUUAUUUCUAAGUGAAAAACAACUAGAUUUUUGCAAUUACAACAAACUUUAGUAGUUUUAAUUUUAAAGACCUAACGUUUCAUGCAAAGACACUUAAUACGGUACCCCCACCAUGUGCAUGGUCCUUUUUUUUUAUACAUUAUUUUCGUUUUAUUUAUUAUGCAACGUCAUCUUUUAGCCAUCAUUACCUACGUGGGUCAUGCAGGUACUCUUCAUGUUCCUAGGGUAGCUCUUGCCUCUUUGAUAGGAAAGGAGGCUUAAACCGAAUGGAAGUUCCACCAAUAUUUCCCUUUUUUUUUCUUUUUUUUUUUUCUUUUUUUACCUUAAAAUUUUAGAUGAGCCAGAUCAAAGACUUUCAUCUCCAUAAUCCAUCACUUGGAACAAACUGAAGCUACAAUAUUCACCAACUAAUUUUAGACUAUAUUCUAACCGGGUGAAGUUCUUUCGAUUGAGUAGAACUCUACGUAUAUUUCAAAUUGUUCCUUCGCCGUCUAGACUAGAUUAUUUAGAAUUGGAAAACUACAAUUAAUCGAGUUUGAAAGUUCUUUCCGAUGGGUAUGCCUCAUAGUUAUAUAAUCAGCGGAUCAUUUAAAGGAAUAGCAAGACUAUUUUCAACACUAGUAAACUACUCUAAAAUGUUUAAAUAAUAAGACUGAAUGCCUAAAAAAUGAGCAUACUAAAUUCCGUUCCUCUUCGUACAUGCAGUUUUAAUUAGAACAAUAAUAAAUUACCAAUCUGAAAAAUUUACAGUCACCAAUUCUAAAGGCUUAUUUAGUUGUUAAUUGGAGAUGGAAAAAUAUAUGUUUAACAUGAUCUUCAUGUGUAGCUCAUUUUGAUUUUUCUAUCAACGACCCUCAAAUGUUGAAAUCUAGAUUAAUGCACAUGAAUUCAAAGUUUAAACACUUUGAAACCUUCAGAAACCUUCAAAAGAUUUCCAAAUUGGUGUAAUUUUUAUUAAAGUUUUGUAACCUAGAGGAAACUUUAAAAUAUUUGAAAAUGUGGAUUUAAGAAUUGCAAUUAUAGUGGACUUUUUAUGGCGUCAACUAAGAAGUAACCUAAUUAUGGACUUCAACAAACAAUUUAAAUAAUCUCAGGCAUUAAUUAUUAUGUUAAAGUAAAUUUAUUAUGAACUAAUGUUAAAUUGGUUUUUGUACUUAAAUAUUUAUUUAUAAAAUUGAAUGUGGAACGUAAAUGAAUUGAAUUAAAAAUUCAAGUUUAGUUCAAUAAGUAAAUGAAAUUCAAAUUUAAAACAAAUCUAAUUCGAAAGUAAUUCAAAUAUAAAAAAUUCUUAAUAAAAUGAUAUAAAUUAUAUUGAAAAAAUUAUCUUGCAAGAAUAAUAAAUGCUAAUGAAAUAAUUGAACUUUUUUGAAAGAAAAGACAAAUUAGACGUCCUUUUUUGAGACGUACGUUUGACGCAUAUUUAAUUAUUUUCGAUGGUCCUUUGGACCAUUCAAUAUGACAACGUUGUAGUUUUCGAAAUGAUUUUCCACAUGACAUAGACGAUUUUGCGGAUUCGAAUAGCAUAUGAUUGCCAACAAAUUUUAAAAGUUAGCAUAUUAUCAAAAUUCUUGAAAUAUUAGUUUUAAACGGCCUAUUUUGACAAGUUGUAACUUUUGCUAUGGUUAAUUAUUUCGAAUGCCUUUAGUAAGCAAAAAAAACCUAAGCCAUGAGCACUUCGAAAUGACAUUAAGAAUGUAAUAUUUUAACUUCAUUUGACAUCCCGUAAUAAAUGCAUCAAAAUAAAUCGUAAAGGGAUCUAAACAACAAUUUUUUUUUCUUUGGAUAGGGGGGGUGGGCGUGGGGGGUAACAACAAAGGCAAAAAAUUUGUAGGGUCAUUUGACCCAUGUGGGUCUGCCCAUGCUGUUAUCAAAUCGUUGUGUCCUAAUUUUUUUAGAAACUUGGGUUUCUAAAUAAGUGUCGUGUUGUAUUGUAUUUCAUUUUCCAUUUCUAUUUCUAUUUCUGCACAACUUAUGUUGAACUAGGUGAUAGAAAAUACUCUUUUAAUAGAAUUAUUGAUAAUUGAUUCAUUGAAAAGCAAUUUAAAAAGUUACGAACAUAUCCAGAAUUAAAGAUGGUAACAAUAACGUUGUGGUAGAAUUUCCGUCACAAGGAUAGACGGGAAGCACCACGUUAAUUUUUUGAAAACCGUGGAAUGCCAACAAACUCAAGGGCCAGACGGCGUAGGAGUUGUGCCACCAACCGGAUUCGGCACCUCCACCCCGGGAUUAGGCACGAAUGUGUCGUCGCCACCAGGAAUAUUGCUGCGACCGGUCGAACCACCAAAAUUGGGAAUAGAUAAACCAUUUCCUCCAUUUGUACCAGUGAUAGGAUUGUAGGUAAACGGAUUGACAAUGGUGCCCGUCCUAGGGACCAUGAAGCGGCCUAAACCAGGAAUCAGCACCGUGCCAUCAUGGCCGAACGUUUGAGGCUGCUUUUUAUCUUCAACUUUGGAGUCCUUUGGGAUAUCCCGGCCUGCAAAAGCAUAUCCCGCUGUCGAGAGCACAAUGCUGAGCAUGAAAAGGAAAGAGAGUACUCCACAACGAGCAUGGGAACCCAUUCCUUCGAACCUAAAAAUGAGAGCGAAGAGAUAUGAAGAAGUUGAAAAAUGUUGUGAUGGACAAGUAUGGGGAGAUAAGGAUUCUUAUAGUUAGGGCAAUUGGAGUUUUUUGGCGGUGAGUUAAGAAGGUAGAUGCAGCACGUAAAAAAAUGUUUAAAUAACAGAGAAUUGAACCUGAAAUUCCACAGAUAUGAUAGGAAUUUAUUGAUGCAUACUGAUCCGGGCUGUUUGAACGGCUAAUAAAUGCAAGCUUAUAUUUAUUUUGGUUGGUUAAAACAGGUCACCCAUGUGGGUUAACCCAACCUCAUUUGCAUGAAACCUCCCACAACCCGCAACCUCCAUGCAACUUCCACCGCUCCAAAAUCAUAUGAAAAGUUAACGGCUAAUAAAUGCAAGAUCAUACAGAUAAAAAACAGAUAUGUUUUGUGGCUUGAUUUUGGAAGAUCUACAUCUCUAUAUUGGUAUUUGGGUCGUUGCUAUCAAACUCCUUCCUCUAUGAUCGAGUUUCUGAUCAAAAAGUAACUACCACUCAAAACUCGGUAGAAUGCAUGCCCGUACGUUUUACAAUUUUGAAUACAAAUUUUUGUAGAUCCUUUUUAAUUCAGUAUAAUUUUGAUUGUGUAUAGCUUCAAAAAGUUGUUAGCACUUAAAAUGUACGAGAAAACCUCUUAUUUAAGAACACAAUAUAAAGUUUUUUUUUUUUUUUUUUUUUACAACUCAAAUUUUUUAGUUGACUAGUCAAAGUCGAAGCCAAAUUAGGACUAAAAUGAAAUGAAUUAUUUUAUGGGGUUUAUUUUACAAAUUGACAAUAUUUGAAGGUUUUAUAUGGAUAAAAUUUAAGUUUGGAAUUUACUUAUAUGUUAUUGGAAAUGAAAGGAUUAAAUGUUAUAUUAAAUUGGAGGGACUUCCUUUGCAAAAAUUGGAGUACAUAUGUCAAUUUUCAACCAUUUUUUUCUCCCAUCUUCAUUUUACAUACACACAUUGGCAAAACAGAGAGCUAAAAACGGGAGAAGAAAACUGAGAAAUGGAGAAAGAAAAGAGAAAAAGAAAGAAAUGAAGAAGAAAAUGAAGCAAAAAAAAUAAAAAUAGAGGAAAGAAGGAAAAGAGGUAGAUUUGGCUAUUCAAACUUUAGUCUUCGAUUUCUCUAAUUUCUCCAAGAGUUGUAGCAUAAUUUAUGCCCAAUUUUUAGGGUUUUGAUUUGUUGGUAUAUGUUGUGACUCGACCAUGUGGUACUCAGGUCUAGGGCCCCUGCUAUCCAUGUGGUAAAGACACCCAUGUGGUACCGAGGCCUAGAGCCCCUGCUACAAAGAUAUCCUAGGGUCCCUGCUAUCCACGUGGCAAAGACACACAAAUGAUAUCGAGGCCUAGGACCCCUGAUGCAAAGAUAUCCAACUUGCUCACAGUAUUGGAGCCGCCUCAGCGUAGCCCUAUUUACAAGCAAUGAGGCUAAGAAAUACAGUCUGAGGCCCAGCUCACCCACCAGGCCGAAAGUUCGAAACUCGGAGGCAUAGCCUUAAAAGAGUCUGAGACCCCCAAGUGCCAAGCCAUGUGAGAGAGAUCCUGAAUCUGUUCACGAAAUCUUCUGGAAAUGAUUGAUGGGACGUUAGAAUUGAGUAUGAAUGACGAGUAUUGUCAUAAAAAUUGGCGGCUCUACAUAAGCAUUGAGUGCACCACAAGUUAACAGGUUAAAGUUGAUGCCUACGAUUAGAUAUUUAAAUUAAGGAGAUGAGGCCAUGUGUACCCCCAUCCAAGGAUCACCAUCUUACUUGUAACAGUAUUAAUACCCCCUACCACAAUGUAACAAAGAAGAGAAUAAUGCAACUCUUAAUACUGCAAAGCACUCUUGUUCUUCAUUCUUGUAAAAUUUACAUUUAUGCACCCACUGUUGAAUCUUUUGUAAUUACCAAUCAUAAUACAAUCAUUUUACAAAGCGAACCCCGGCAUCCAAAUGCAUUCAGUUUAUGAUGUACAACUAUCCCUAUAUUCAUAUUUUCUGAUUGCUAUCGAAUCGAUACACGUGAUCACGUGUUAAAAUCUACUUAUGUCUGAGCCAGUGGGCCCAAUCCAUGUUGGCUACAUUGUUCUUGCAAAAAGUGAGGUCAACUAAUAGGGAACGUCUGUGGAAAACCACACUAUAACCACGAGCAAUCGCGUAGGAAAAGCUUGUUGAAAGAAUAUUUGGGCAUGCCCCUUUAAAAAUGAUUUGUCUUUGAAAAAGAACAAAAGGAAGCCUCACAAGUUGGACAAAUUUGAAUUUGCAUUAAGGAAAAAUGAGGUCUGAUGAUAAUGUACCCUCGAGAAAAGUGAGAGAAAACACUGGUGCAGCCCCUCCAGCAGCUACCCCAGCAAGUCGUCAUCGACCUUACCAUCAUCAUAGGUAUGAUGGAAUGCGAAUGAUCAGUCAACUUACUAGGGAAAUAGUUACCAUGGCAACCAAUAUGAGAAGCAUCACGAAUCAAAACUUGGUCAUGCAAGAACUUUUGGUGUAGAUGCAGUGCCAGGGAGGCUAUCCAAUCCCUCCCUAUGCCCUCAAGGACAAUAUCAGCAGGAAGAUGAGGUACAAAGUCAAAGAGCCACAUCUUCUAGGCCUGGCAGGGAGGCCAACCCCUUUGACAGAAAAGUGGGAGUCGAUGUUUCUUCCAAUUAUGCCUCUAGCCAACCCACUGAGGUCUCAUUUAAUAUGGAAGACAAUUUCCACUUGAGGUCGAACUGGAACACGGGCCUAUAAGGUUCAGUAGUGUAUUUGACAGAAUUAGUCCCACAAAGUUGAUGUAUACACAGCCUCAACAACCUACAACGCUUCAGAUCAGACCAUAGUCCCCACAUUCUACGACUCGACAAUCAGAGGAAAAAUAAGAACAUGUCCCCUGCAUUGCCCAACCCACAAAUAGGCGCUAAAGGAGAGAGUAAGUGACUAGGAAUCAACUUCGCCCCUUAAAUCCUCCACCAGAGAAUCAACUUAAUGACAAUGAUGAUUAAAACGAACACUAGAGAUCAUAUGACCUAGAUGAUGAUGACAAAAAUCUAACUUUUCCACAGGAACUAAGAAAGGCCUCAAUGUCAAUCCACUAUGUGAUUCCAAAGAUACAAUUAUAUGAUGGGAGAGGUGACCCGACAAAGUACUUGAACAGCUCCAAGAGUCAUAUGGGCCUACGAGCGCCUUCCCAACUGUGAAAUGUAGAGCCUUCCACUUGAUCUUGAGUAGAGCAAUGGAGAUUUGGUACAGCCGUCUGCCACCUGGAAGCAUUAAGAGGUGGCCAGAGUUCAAAAUCAUGUUCUUAAAGAGGUUUGCAGUAAGCAUAAAAGGAGAGACUCCCAUUCAAUGCCUCCAAGAUAUGAGGCAGCGACCUGGGAAAAUUUGAAGAGCUUCUUAUCUUGGUUUACUAACGAAAUGAUGUACUGCGUACAAGUAACUAAUUGUGAGGCCUUGUCCACAUUACUUGAAAGCUUGAAAGUGAAUACCCUAUUCUCGAGAGAUGUGCAAAAUAAAGACCCAACCAUGUAUGACGCAUUGUUGAAAAUGAUGAGGCGUGAAAUCAUCAACGAGGAGUUGAUCGACCAUAGAAAUAGGGCCAAUAAAGGUCUUCAAUCCCCGUAAAGGUAACGGGGGAGAGGACCUAUCUUUUACCUGAUGGAUCACUAGUGGAAUUAGGUUAGCAACGAAAUCACCCCAACUCAGAGCAGGCCCUAGUAACUGCCACUCUAAAUGUAGUGCCCACAUUAGCUUACGAAGAUAUAACUCCUAGAAAUGAUACACAACCAACCAGAGCAAGGCGGCAGGCCCCCAUAGAGAAAGAGGCCAAAGGCGUAGUUCGAGACCUAGAAAUAGGUAGAAUCCCUUCGAAUAUUGUUCGUACCACCACUCCUACAGCUACGAUAUGACAAAUUGUAGGGACAUAGCUCGGUACCCUAGGAAAGUGAGUCCCUAAGAUGUACGGAAAGGAACAAUUCUCCCUAAGGGAGUAGGUCCCACCGAGGCAAGACCAGCCUGCCAAGUGUGAGGAGACCACGCCCUACCACCAAGAAAUAUCCCUUCGACAGUGGCAAGAGCAUGAAGACGAGAGGCCAAGAAAGUAGCUGCCAUGUAGGGGGUACCAAAGUUACCUAAAAAAUACCCCAAUCCACGAUAUUGACACAAUCUUCAUAGGCCCUAUGUUGGGAAGAAAUGAGGAAUGCACAAAGAAAAACUACACCAAGGAGCUAAAGGCUCUCCACUAACCAGCUACAUAGUGGAUGGUAGCUCCCAGAAGAGACAAGUACUACCAAUUGUAUUCACUUAGGAAGAUGCAGAAUAUAUUCUCUUCUCGCACUGUAACGCCUAAGUUGUAAGGUCGUAGUGGCCCAAAACUGGCUAAAAUGAAUAUUAGUAGUUAAUGGUAGCUCUAUCAACAUUAUCUUUAGAGCUACUUUUGAUAAGAUGAUUGUGGAUCAUGUACUCACUCCCGUUACCAAUUUCCUAUAUGGCUUCAUUAGAAACAACAUCAUUCUUAGGGAAAAAAUAACACUAGCGAUCGAAAUGGGUGAGUCACCUUAAAUGAGUUUGAACUUCAUGGAAUUCUUGAUAGUGGAUAGCAGAUCAACCUAUCAUGAAGUCUUGGAUAGGCCAACCCUGAAGGAUUUGGGGGCUGUUACCUCAAUCAUCAUCUAUGCAUGAAAUUGUCGACUGAGCUAGGGAUAGUAAUGGUUAUAGGUGACCAAAGAGGGCUUGAGAGUGCUAUUUGGACUCGAUUAGAAAGGCAGAGCCCAAGAACAUCAAUGUAGUGAUAGUUGACAUGAAAAUGAUAAAUGCCUCUGGCGAGCACGACCUCGGGUAACAGGACUUCGAGAUGCUGGACGUCCUUAAGGAGGUGGUCAUUCUCAUUGAAUUGGACCCCCGUGUGAUUGAACCGAGUCCCAAACCAUCUCAAUGGAGGAGUUGGAGAGAUUUCUGAUAGAUGAUUUGGAUCUUGUAAAGUUAUUGCAUGUGGGAAAAGGCAUGUCCUUAAAAGUUAAAGAGGGGCCCAAGGACUUUCUACGUAGGAACCUUGACGUUUUUGCAUAGAGAUACGAAGAUAUAGCAAGCAUUGAUCCCAAGAUCAGCUGCUAUCACUUAAAAAUCAAUCUCAAGGGUACCUCGCAUAAACAAAAAAAGAGCUCUCAAUCUAAAAAGGUGUGAGGCCCUGAAGGAAGAGUACAAAAAUUAACUAAAAAUGGCUUCAUUAGAGAAGACAUAUACCCAAAGUGGAUUUCAAACCUGGUCCUAGUGAAGAAGCUCAAUGGAAAGUGGAAGGUGUACAUUGAUUUCUCCGAUCUCAAUAAUACAUGUCCUAAGGACAACUUUCCCUACCACGAAUAGAUGAAUUGGUGGAUUCCACGGUCAGACAUGAAUUACUAAACCUAAUGGAUGCCUACUCAAGCUGUAACCAAAUUUCCAUAUACUUGGCUGAUGAGGAAAAUAUUUCUUUCAUCACAGAUAGGGGUCUUUAUUGCUACAAAAUGAUGUCACUCAGGCUAAAAAUGUCAGGGCCACUUACCAGAGCCCUGUUAACAAGAUUUUUGCUGAUCUCAUCAGAAAAACAAUGGAAGUCUAUGUGGACAACAUGCUCGUCAAGAGCCUCAAAGUGGAUGACCAUGUCAUGCACGUAAACGAGGCAUUUCAGAUCCUACGGAGGUUUAGGAUGAUGUUAAACCACCUCAGGUAAGCAUUCAAUGUCGCUUCCAACAAGUUUUUAGGAUAAAUGGUCAACUAAUGGGGUAUUGAACUAAUCUCGAGAAAUUCGUGCUCUAAUUAAGAUGAGGUCCCUUCAAAAGCCAAAGGAGGUCCAAAGUCUAACUGGUCAUGUGGCUAUGUUAAGUCGCUUUAUUUUGAAGGCCAUCGACAAAUGCCUCCCAUUCUUUAAGGUCUUGAAGGGGAAAAAAGUUUCAAUAAACAGAAGAGUGUGAAGAGGCCUUUCAGGGCCAUAAAAUGAACCUAGGACAGGCCCCUCCCCUUUAGAAACCUAAGCUCAAAGAAGGCUACAACUUUACUUUGGCAUCUCCAAUGAGGCUUUGAGCGUUGUCUUAAUCAAAGAGGAGGAAAUCGCUCAACUACCUAUUUACUACGUCAGCAAGGCACUCCUAGCUCCUAAAACUUGUCAUCUCGAUAUGGAAAAGCUGGCCUUAGCCUUGACCACGACUUUUAGAAAAUUGAGGCCCUACUUCCAAGCUCGCACGAUAAACGUACUGACCAACUUCCCUCUCAGGCAAUUGCUUGAAAAAUCUGAUGCUUUGAAAACAUUGUAAAUUGGGUAGUAGAGCUCGGUGAAUUUGAUUGUGCGUGAGUUGAUGAAUUGCCUCAAGUACUAUGGGCAAUCCAAACCACCAACAGGAGAGACCCUAUUCUCUAUUGCUUACAGUGCUGAGGCCAUGAGCCUGGUAGAAGUUAGACUGCACUUUGGUAAAAUAUCAAAUGACGAACUUAAAAGGUGUGAACGCGAUUUCUUGACGAGAAGAGAGAUGACUUUCAGUUGAAAUUGGCCGCUUAUCAAAGGAAAAUGGCCAGCUACUAAAAUGCUACGAUUAAGAAGAGGUUUUUCCGGAUUAACGACUUGGUGCUUCGAAGAGUGGUCCUAUCCUCUAGAGAUCCAGGUGUGGGCACUCUAGGUCCAAACUGGGAAGGACCCUACCAUAUAAAAAAAAAGAUCCGAACUAAUACGAUUGAAGAUUUGAAUGGAAAGUACAACCUUAUCCAUGGAAUGUCGAGCACUUGAGAGUAUACUAUCAAUAAAUGUACUUUGUUGCUGGAAAAUCCUACCCUGCCCUUGUAAAAAAAUUUUGAAUGUGAAUAAGAAGUUUAUGUGUUCCUACGAUUCUAUUUAAAACAAGAAAGGAUAAAUUCUGCUUAAAGCUUAGGCGCCUUGGAGGAUAGUAGCAAAAGAGGGUCAUAUCAUCUGAACUCCGCGGCGUACAUCACAUGCCUCACUUGACGAGGCUGAACGUUAAGUGAGAAACCUUUGUAUAGAUGAACCAUCCACUAUGUGAGGACGCAUGGGCACCUCAGAGAAGAGGGUCUGCCCUCAAAAGAGGGUCACCACGUUUGAACUCUGAAGCAUACCUCACUUGACGAGACUAAAUGUCAAGUGAGAAGCCUUUGUAUAGAUGAACCAUCGAACAUGUGAGGACGCAUGGGCGCUUUGGAAAAGAGGGUCUAUCCUAAAAAAAAAGGUCACCUCAUUUGAACUCUGAGGUGUACAUUACAUACCUUAUUUGACGAGGCUAAACAUCAAGUGAAAAGCAUUUGCAUGGAUGAACCAUCCACUAUGUGAGGAUGCGUGGACGCUUAAAUAAAGAGGGUUACCACGUUCAAACUCUGAGGCAUACAUUACAUGCCUCAUUUAACAAGGCUGAACGUCAAGUGAUAAGUAUUUUCAUGGAUGAACCAUCCACCAUGUGAGGAUGGGUGGGCACUUCGGAGAAGAGGAUCUUUCCUCAAAAGAGGGUAACCUCGUUUGAACUUUGAGGUAUAUAUCACAUGCCUCACUUGAUGAGCCUGAACAUUUGAGAAGUCAUUGUAUGGAUGAACCAUCCACUAUGUGAGGAUGCGUGGUACCUCGGAGAAGAAGGUCAGUCUCUCAAAAGAGGGUCAUCUCGUUUGAACCCUAAGGUGUACAUCACAUACCUCACUUGACGAGGCUGAAUGUCAAGUAAAAAGUCUUUGCAUGGAUAAACUAUCCGCGACGAUAAAGGAUUAUUAUGCUAAACUAUUCUCGAUUUUAAUGGAACAAUUUAUUAUUGACCAAAGCCAUUAUGAAUCGAAAAGUCAAUAGGUUACUUCCAUUUUAAAGCCCAACUACUUGCGAAGUUACUACGGUUAAUCGAAAAGGCUAAGUAUUGCAGUUAAAAGACCAUGUCCAUUCUUAAUUCAAUGUGUAAUCUUUGAAUACAGGCAAGUAAUUAUUUAUGAGUUACUCAGAGUUACUAUGUGCGAAAACUACUUUCAUUUAUGACAGUCAAAUUAUUAUGAUUUAUUGAAAGUGAAGAAGCAUAGCAGUAAAAAUUGAAAAACAAAACACAUGAAGAAAAUUCUUUUCAUUGAUAUUAAUUCCUUAAUACAAGUCGAAGGUCGUAGCCAUUACAAAAUGGGAAAACUAAGUAGCUAUACUAAAAGGAAGUGCCUGAGCCUCAAAUGCCACCGCGGUAAAUGCUUCGACAGCAACUUGAGUCGAAAGUCCUUCUACAAGAAUCUCCUCCUCAGUUGCUUCCUCGGCUGGGGUUUGAGGUACUUCAUCAAAAUAUUUUGCCCUUAUCUCUACUACAUUUAGUUCCAAAAAAAAGAUCAUCCACCUGGUCUAUCACUUCGGCAUAACCAAACCUCAUCACUCAGCGAAGCUUUGAUACUCCUCUGUGAGAUGGAAGUCAGCAACGUAAUUCUUAACCACUCUCUCACCUGGUCUAUCACUUCGGCAUAACCAAACCUCAUCACUCAGCGAAGCUUUGAUACUCCUCUGUGAGAUGGAAGUCGGCAACGUAAUUCUUAACCACUCUCUCUCUCUCGCCAAAAGAAGAUCAGUCUUCAACCUCUGGGCCUCCUAUAUGUAGUGCUUCACUUGGGUCUUCAAAAACUAGUUGGCAUCUUUAACCCCCUGGAGUUGCAAGUUAGCCUGUUCCAGGACUUUUGAUGUCAACUUCUAAUGAUUGUUCGAGAUCUCGACCUUCUUUGUUAGAAAGGUGACCUCACAUUGGGACUCGUGGACCUCCCUCUUUAGAGUUUUGAUUUUCGCCAGGGCAGAUUCCAACUUAGCAGCAUCUUCAGUGUUUGAGUAUCCACCGCUUCAGCUUCGGCCCUCAACUUUUUUAUUUCCUCCUCGAUAGAGGCCAACUUAUCCAUUGAGGCUUUGUUCCUUGUUUUAAUGUUAACCAAUGCAACCUGACAUUCAAGGGCCAUACCAAAAGCCAUGGAGCUUUGGUUCACCAGUGCUACAGUGAUGUCCACCGUGUCACGGGAGGACACAUGCAGCUGCUGCCACUCGGUCCAGAACUUAUAGAAAUUUGCAGUUGUAGCACGGACUUUUGGUGUCAGCAUCUUCAGCACUAUCGGGUCUAUUUCUUUAUCCUAUCUCGCUAAAAAUCUUCCAGACUUCCCUGGAGUCUUUACGGCUGGAAUCUUCUUCAUGGCCUUCAAAGCCUGCUCCUCUUCUUCCUUUGCGGCCUCUUCUUGGCCCUAUGCACAGCUUCCAUCUUCACUGCCUUCAUCGAGGCCUCCAUGAAUUUAGGGAUAGGGGUGCUGCUGGCUUCGAAGGAUGAUCAACCUUGGUGCCGAAAAUUGCUAGAGCUAUAGCUGCUGUAAGACAGUUUUUUUUAGGAGAUUUCUCGACUAUUCCUUGUCCUUAUCUCCUUUACCUUUUUCAACCUUUGAGGGCACUUUUUCCACGCCUUUUUCAUCACACUCCUUGUUGAGGCGUUCUAAUUUGCCCGACACAUGUUUGUCAACCCCAGAUGAAGGCUUCAAAGUAUUGGCACCUACUGUAAAGGUAGUCUUUAGGAUCGAUUCCAUGUCAGGGGUUGGAUACUCCUUUCUGAAGUUAUCUGCCAACAAAAAUAAGGUUAGAAAAAUUAAUAUGAUAAGCAAUAAGAACAAACGAUGCUUAAUCCUUAACCUGGAGCCGAAGUUGAUGAAGUAUCUGCUUUGAUCAAUAAAGUGAUCAAAAUACCUCAGCUUUAGAGGAUACUUCUAGAUGUCCUCAAUUACAUCCCACUCCACCUCGUGGAGCUCGAAGUCCAAACCUGAAUUUGUAAAGCAGGACUCCUUCCACCAUUUGAUGGAGAAAGGAAGGACCACCAUGAACAUAGCACGAGCUCCCCAUGGGGUCAAGUAAUACCACCCCUUAGACUCUUUUUUCCUAAGACCCGGGCUUCGAAAACUGUUGGGAAGACAUGCAAAGGCAUGUCCUAUAACACCCCAAAUUUUAUCGAUUUAAAUUUGAGGUGUUACCGAUAUCAUUUCAUAAACAUACAUCAAGCGAAAAAUAUAAAUUGGAACUUUAAAACUUCUAAUUUAUUUAAUACUCAAAGGCUAAAUCAAAUAAAUGUAUUGCCAUGUAACAUGAAACGUUAAAUGGAAAUCAAUGGAAACACAAAAUGUCCUAGAAGAAUUAUUUUUAAAUGUUUUCUUGAAAAUUUCUUUACUUGGGAACCCGCGCACUGCUCAGUCACCAUCUACGUCGACCGAUGUAACCUGAAAUGUUAAAAUUGAAGGAAUGAGUAAUUUAUAUUUAGUAGGAUACGUGCGUCCGAACAAUAAAAUAACUUUUAAAACAUGAAUUUACAAUAUUCCAUACCAUCAUUUCAUCAAGAGCAAUGGUGAUCAAUCGGAUACUCUAACAUAUUUGAGAAGACCCAAAAGAGAUUUCACAUUUCAUUUCAUUUCAUAGGGACCCACAGGUCAAUUAGCACUUUAUGAAAUAAAUCAUGCCAAAAAUUAUAAUAUUGAAAGGAGGAACAACUUGCACAUAGUAUCCUAUCUUGUUAGAUCAACGAAUUUUUGAAAGAAUAAUCCAAGAGAAUAUUUCAAUUUCCAGACUUCUGCGACUUCCUUGAACAUAAUUAAAGAUGGAGAAUGGCUUUCUGCUUUUAAAAUAUGUGCCAACAAUUUGACUUUUGCAGAAUAUUUUGAAAUUGAGAAACUGUGUAUGUGCAUAGAAUAGAUGGACAUUAAAAGCAAGGAAGCUACUGAAUUUAAAGAAUGGAACCAAAGUUAAAGGAAUGGUGUUCUUGGCAAAAUAUGUGUUUGGCAUUAGUAUUUAUAGGCAACAUAAAGUAGUUGAUAAGGGUUAGAAUUGUAUUAGUUAUUAUCCUCUAUAAGGUUGAAAUCUAUCCAAAUUAUAUGAAGGAUAAUUAUAAAUUAAGAGUAAUCAUUGUCAAGCUAAGGCUAACACAAGUAAUAGGAUUAAAAUAGAGAUAAGUUACAUUAUAUAUAAUUAUAUCCAACACGUACGAAUGUAGGAGAAAACUAAAUUAUAUACAACACGUGUACACAAAUAGAGGAAACUGAUUUUUGCUAUGGUGCUGGAUUUCAAAUGGAAAGGCAGAAAUUUGAUAUAAUUAAAUCAUUUUCCAAGUUAAUAUAAUCAUGAUUAUAUAAAUAAAAUAUUAUAUUUUCUUCCUAAUUAUCUUAAAAAUACAAUCCUUUUUCUAAUAAUGUGUACUCAUUGGAGAAAACUAACUUUGAUAUGAUGGAUUUCAAUUAGAAAACAGAAUUGGGUAUUAAUCAAUCUUUUUCAAAUUAUAAAGAUAAACAUGAUUAUUAUAUAAUAUUAUAUAAUAAAAUAUUAUAACCUUUUGCUAAUUAUCUCAAAAGAUACAUUAAAAAAUACAUAUUAAAUACAUUUCUUUGAAUUGAUUUAUUCCUAAUUAAGUUAUCAUUAUGCACACAUUAUGAUAAGUUGGACUCCUAAUUACAUUGGGUAUAAGGUUUAAUUUAUUUUGAUGCAAACAACCAAUUUAAAUUACUAAUAGAACUCUUAUUUAAUAUCAACAAAAGUAGCCAUUAUCAUCUUUUUAACCAAACCGACCAGGAGCAGAAAGCUUCCAUGGAAUUUGAUUUCACUAGGACUUAUCACACAAGCUCUUGCCUAAUUAUGGCUAACUUCAAAUCCUACUUUAACUAACUAAUAAGGGAACCAUGAUAUGGAUAAUGUCAAGUCUAAUUGCUACGUGAAUUAAUCCCCAAAUUUUGAUCGCUCUAACAUAAUUUAGUCUUAACCAAAUUUAACUUUAUCUAAAUUCUAAUAUACACAAUUAAUUAUGAUCUAUCAAAUGAGUCUGAUAUUGUUAUACUAAUAUGGUCUAAAUCGAUAACUAAUAUUAUUAAGUAAGUAGCUAUUAUUAUUAUUGGCUCCCAAAUUCAUUAUUUAAUUUGAGCUUUAAAAAGAGCCUAAUAUUGGUAAGGCAAUUAAUUCCAUCAAUUGCUAACCAUUUUGACUCAAUUAAAUAGAAGUAUAAAUUUAUAUUUGUUUCCACUUUGUUUCCUCAACUAUAAAGGUAUUCAUAUAGAUCCAAAUUAGAUAUUAGGCAUCGCCAAUUUACUUGCAUAAAUGCUUGACUAGACCAAUAAUUUCUAGAGCCAUAUAGUUUCAUGCUGUUACAUGUCCCCACCAAGGAAAACCUCCUUCCAGAGGAAGCAAGCCCUAACUAGCUAGCUCCACCCGUUUGGCAAAAGUUAGGUAGGAGCCAACAUGAAGCACCGAAGCAUUACCCUAAAGAAGGGUGCAACGGUAGACACAUUUCUACUAAAAACAAGAAUUCACUAACUUCCAUACAUUCUAGCCUAGGACAACAAGCAUGUUCGUAGGCCUCAGGGACGAGGAGGCUAUGUAAUGAGGUAUGCAAUAUUUUUUCCUAUGGCCAAUGAGUUUGGCAGAGGUCAUUAUAGAAGGUAUGUUCGAAGCCCCUAAUAGGCUUCAUAGUCCGUGGAACCUCAUUCAUAGUCUAGUAACUAGCCUAAGAACCCCCAGGUACCUCUCCCCCGCCUAACCUAGCCACCUACCCCUCCCACUAGCACUUGACUCAAAAUCCAUUGAGAAUAAUGACGAUGAAGGUUAUCAACAAGGAAUCUAAAAGAAUACUACCUAGAUGAAAGCAAAAACUAAGAACAGAGUCUUCAGAGAAUGUAGUUAUCAAAAAACAGGGGAUGCACAACAAAGAUUUGAGAAUUUUGGCAAAGUAAAGUUGUAAAAAUGACACUUCUUUACCUUUUAUACUGAAAUGGGAACUAGCUCCAACCAUUGGAUAGUAGCCUCUUUAAUCUGAGCAACCCAAAUCCAAGGACAAUCUAAGGCAUUGAGUUCGAACAAUCUCUUAAACAGACGCCUUAGAUCGAUGCGUACGCUCCACGAAUGGGCUAGACAUGUCUGCUACAGUUUCGAACAUAUUAUGCCAUUAUUGUGUAUUAAAUGUAACCAUCGCGUACACAAAGGAAUUGUAACGCCUUUACUAUUCUUUCUUGGUAAUAGGCAAAACAUCAAAUCAUUAGCACCACUCUCAAGGGUAAACAUUACAAAUAGAACCAACAUCGACAAUCCACCUUUCACCGCUUCGGCUUUAUAACUAAAUGAACCCUGGCAUCCUUCAGCUUCACAUGCCUUGGCUCAAAAUAAAGUUAGCUAUAUCAUAAGCACAGGAGCCUCAAGACUUCACCCCUUAGUUUUCCCUACUCCAACGAUUAAUUUCCGCUAUAAUACGACCAUAAUAGCAUCAACGAUUUUAUCAACUGCAUUGAUUCGAAACCUAGUCGACAUAGUCACUGACUGAUUCACUUUCGAAGUCCACUCAUGAUAUAAAUAAGCCAUGUAUAGAUUUGGGGGGGGGCUAUUGUUGUGCCUCGACCACAUGGCACCGAGGCCUAGGGCUCCUACUAUCUAUGUGGCAAAGACACCUACAUGGUACCGAGGCUUAGGGCCCUGUUGCAAAGAUAUGUGACCCCCUCACAACAUUAGAAUUGCCUCAAAAAAGCCUUACUUACAAGCAAUGAGGCCAAGAAUUACAGUCCAAGGUUCAUCUCACCCACCAUGCCAAAGUUUGAAACUCUGAGGCACACAACCUCAAAAGAGUCUGAAGACUUCCCACCUAGUGCCAACCCACAUGAGGGAGAUCCUGAAUCUGUGUAUGAAAUCCUCUGGAUUGAAGGGUAGUGGUAGGAACAGUCUCAGUACCACUGAAAGUCAAAUAGUUCUUCAAGCAUGGGACUUAGGCUAACAAAGUGCUUACUCUUAUUCCACCAACUACUCCCGUCUUGUAUAAAAGUUUUGGGUAGCUCUGCAUAAGCAUUGAGUGCACCAACGCUAAUAAGUCAAAGUUGAUCAUUACAAUUAGAUAGUUAAAUUAAGGAGAUGAGGCACGUAUACCCUCAUCCAAAGGUUACCAUUUCACUUGUAACAAUAUAAAUUUCCUCCAAUUGUAACAAAGAAGAGAAUAAUGAAACUCUUGAUACUAGAAAAUAAUUUUUUUCUUCAUUUUUAUAAAAUUUACAUUUACGCAUCCACAUUCACGUCACAGGUUCUGUUGAGUCUUUUGUAAUUAGCAAUCAUAAUACAAUCAUUUUACGAAGAGAAUGCGGAAUCCUAAUGCAUUCGGUUUCUGACAUACAACUACCCCUAUAUUCAUGCUUUCCUAUUACUGUCGGUUCGACACUCAUGAUCAUGUGUUAAAAUCUGCUUAUGUGUGUUCGAGUAGACCUAGCUCCUGUUGGUUACAUUGCUCUUGCAAAAAGUGACGUCAACGGUAUAAAUUAUAGAUUUAGAGGAAUGAAUAUCAUUCUUUUUUGCAGUUCCUUGAUUGAUUUCUUUCCAUAUACAUUAACGUAAGAAAUAUCAAUUUUUGGACAAACUCGUAGAAUUUUUAUUUGGGUUCUUGAAUAAGCAUUAUUAGUGGAAAUGAUUGUGGUGAUGAAAUACUCGAAUGAAAUCAUAAUUUUUGGGAGCAAAAUGAAAGUUAGGUUGGUUGAAUUGUUUGUGUUAGUUUUCAUUAGAUUGAAUGGUAUAAUUAUUUGUAUGCUUGGGAUGAAUUAGUUAUUAGUAAAGGAACUGGAAUAAAGUGGAAUUAGCUCCAAUUGAUUCAAGGAAAAUAUACACAUGUAUCUAGAAAUUUAGUUUGAGUAUCAUAUCAUUAGAGAUAAAAAAAAAAAUACAUUGUUUUGACAGUGGUUAAAUUGGUUAUCUUAUAUCAUAUGUCAGGUGGUGACGAGAAGAUUGGAAAAGUCUACUGACCACUUAGGCUAUAGCUUGUAUCAUGUGAGUCGAAAAAUUUUAUUUUUUAGAAAUAAGUAUUCAUUAAAUUUAAAGUUACUUAUUUUAUAAGUUGAGUUGAUAGCAUGAUUUUCAAAAUAAAUAGAUUUUUAUAAAUAGUGGUUUUUAAAGUUAAAUUCAGAUCAAUUAAACCAUUUUAUUAGUAUGUUAUAUGAAUAUUAAAUAUUUCAGCAUAUCUAAAGUUAUUUUUAAAAUCACCAUAAAGUACUCCAGGUGAUUUUACCUUAGUAUGCACUUGUGUGAAUGUGUUUCUAUAAUGUAUGACCAUAUUAUAGCCUUUGGGCAACUUUGCGCGCAUAUGAUAUCAAUUAUAGAAUUACAUAAUUGCAUAAUUUUAGAAUUUAAUAGGUUUACCAUGUAUAUUGUUUUUAAUUGAUACAUGAGUAUGAUCAUAUCGAGUACCUCUAUGUUGUGAUUUUCAGUUAUUUACAGCUUAUCAAUUUUCAAAUUACAGAAUUUAGUUAUUUCAGCUUAAAGAAUAAAGAUUUUAGCUUGUAGUACUGUAAAAAGAUAUUUCUAUUAUAUAUCAAUUUUCAGAAAGUUGGCAUAAUUGAAAAAUAUAUAUUUAUUUGCGAAAUAUCCACUCAUUGGGUUACAAGGUUAUAUAUUUUUAUCACUAUUUUUCUUAUCAGAUAGUAGCUACGUUGAGCAGCAUUGGAGCCCGUUGACCUAUUGAGUUGAGCCACACUUUGUCAUCAGUUGUAUGACUCAUUUUGUCGGUUUAUAUACUUCAUAGUUUUGGGAUACAUGCAUUUUUGUUAGAAAAUGUAUCUAUAUCAUGAGCUCAUUGCAUAUUUAGUAACUUUUGAAUAUGUUGGAAAUUCAGAGUCUUUUGGCUUGUUAAGAAGUGUAAAUUUCAUUUAUGUGCGCUUUAUUUUGAAUGGUUUGUAUUUGUAGGAGCUGGUGUAUCCUAUUUUAAGCCCCCGUUUGAGCCCCAUUAUUUUUCAUUACAUUAAAUUAAAUUUUUCUCUCUCCUACUUUUGACUACACAAUUUUCAAUAAAAUAAUAUUACAGGCAAAUAAAAAACUUUUCAACUACUCAUUUUUCAAAAAAAUACUAUUCAUCUCAUUAUAAUCUACAAAUAAUGAGGCUCAAAUGGCCCCUAAAUAACAUGUACAUGUUUGGCAAAUUUUAUUAUAUUUCAAGUGGUUUUAGUCCAUAUUUCAGAUAAAACUUUGUUAAUUUUCUUUUUAUAAAAAGUAGUAAGAUGCAUGUGUAAUGCUGUAAUUGAGUAUAUAAUAGCGUAGAAAAGAUAAAAUGAUAAUUAGUCGAGUUUUGUCUUUGUCGUUACUUGAUGAGUUUUAGAGUUAGAUAUAUCAAUACUUUUUUUAUUGACAAAUGUAAAAGUUUAUAGAUAAAACAGUAGAAGUGCACUGGACAAGAUAGAUAGAGGUUCAUAUAGAUAUUAAUAAAGUUUGAACUAAAAAAGAAUUAUAGCUUGAACUAAAAAAGAAUUAUUUAUAUCAUAAAACGAAUAGAAUUAAAAUGAAUUUUAAGUCGAAAAAAAAUUUAUUUACAAUACGAAUGAAAAAGAAAUUUCAAAACAAUUUUCAAAAAAAAUAUAAUAAAUUAAACAAAAGAAAGCUAUGAAAGUUAAAUAAAGAAUAUAUAAAUAAUAUUUAAUUAAAAUUGAAAAAAAAAAAAGCUUUAUCAUAAAGAGAAAUGAAUUUUUAAAAAAUUAAAUCGAAAAAAAAAAUUAUUUAUAAUAUGAACAAAAUAAAUAAGGAACGGAGUGAUGGAGAGAAAUAUCUCUAUAACACGGAGAGUUUCUCUCCAUAAUACGGAGAGAAUCUCAUUCUCUCGUAUUAUGGAGAGAAAGUCUCCAUUUUCGUUUUUUUUCCUUUUUUUUUUUUUUUUAGUUUGUUUUGAUUAUAUUAUAAUUUUUUUUCGAUUUAAUUUUUUUAAUUAUUUUUCUUUUAUAAUAAAACUUAAUUUUUCAAUUUUUAUUAAAUAAUAUUUAUAUAUAUUCUCUUCGUAUUAUGGAGAGAAAGUCUCCAUUUUCUUUUCUAUUCUUUUUUUUUUGUAUUUUUUUUUAGUUUGUUUUGAUUAUAUUAUAAUUUUUUUCGAUUUAAUUUUUUUAAAUUCUUUUCCCUUUAUGAUAAAACUUUUUUUUUCAAUUUUUAUUAAAUAAUAUUUAUAUAUUAUUCUUUUCUUUUUAAUUUGUUUUGUUGUAUUAUUUUUUUAAAAUUGUUUUAAAAUUUCUUUUUCUUCAUAUUAUAAAUAAUUUUUGUUCAAUUUAAAAUUAUUUUUACUUUCUUUUAUAUUAUUAUAAAACAUAAUUUUUUAAAUUUUAAUUAAAUAAUAUAUAAUUUUAAUUUCAAUUAUUUCAAUUUAAUUAAAAGACCUUAUAAUAAUUCUUUUAUUUUUACCUGUUAGGGCUAAAAUCUAUGCAGACGCGUGACACAAAAAUAAAAAUAAAAAUAAAAUCAUUCUUUAUAAGUCAUCUUGAGAUAAGUGGGACUAAUUGAUGAGAUGUGGUAUGGUAUAACUAUUGACUAGCAAUUAAAACGUUAUAAUUUUUUACUAAAAUGUCUUUUAAACUUGGACAAACAUAAUAUAAAUGACACACUUUUACUGCUCGAUUAUGGUGACGUACAUAUUUAUCAUCUUAUUUAACAAAAGGUUUAAAAUAAUACUAUCUAAAACCAAUUGUUCUAGAGCACCAGUUGAAGUGGCCAUACUUGAUAGAUUUAAUUAAAUGAAUCAAAUAAUAUUCAUUUAAGUGAAUCUAUCAUUUAAUAAUGAUACAGUUGAUACCUAGAUAAAAUUACUUAAAAGUUUAUAUAAAAAAGCAAAUUGACUUUGAUAAAGCGUGUAUAAUGUUAUGAGAAGUGUGUUGUAGAUAUAAAGAUGCCCUAAAAUAGUUGGAGUUAUAAUUAAACUAGUCAUCUCGUUGGACAUCUCAAACAAAUGCUGCUGUUUUAGUAUGGAUCAAAUCAAGCAAUCUUUUGUGCCAAUUUUCUGCUUAGGAUGCUUUUAAAUUGUGAACUGAUGUAUCAUCCCAGACCAAAUAUGGUUGGCAGCAUUCGAAUAAGAUAGAGACUUUUAUUAAUAUACAAUUUUUGAUACUUAAUUUAUCUGAGAAUUAUUUUCUCCAAAACAAUUUUUAUAUAUGGAAAUCAAUAAAUGAGAGUUGUUAGAGCCACCCUUUUUGGUGAUAAAAUCUUUAAUAUUGUGUCUUUAACCAACUUCUAGCUAGCCACGGUUGGGCUAUAAUUAAUAGAAGGAUCCACCUAAAAAAAUUGGCCAGUUCAUUUGUGGUAUACACAUUGAUGAAUUUGUAAAAUAAAAUCAUGUUGCAUCUCCAAAGUUAGUCACCCAAACCUAUUGGGUAUUAGAACGAGUUGAGAUAUGUUACUUUUUGUUGAGCCGCUGUGAUUAAAACUUUGACACCUCAUGUAACUAUUUUCUAACAAGAUCUAAUUUAUUAAGUGUCAAAAUUUUAAUGGGAAGAACAGCUAAGGAAAAUAAUCCUAUCAUCUGAGGUCUGCUGAACUUGUUGAGUCACAAAAUUGGCACGGUGUUUGCAUAUAGGAAAAAUCUUGUUCUCAUUAAAUCUUAUCUGAGUUUAUAUGGAUAUCAUUACAUGGAAGUCAAGCAAGAUAAGUGGAUUCAUCUACAUUGAGGGUCAGCUUGUUGAAAGCCUUGAUUCUAUUGUAUUUAAGAAAUCGCUUAGUUUAAUGUCAUUCAAAAGACAACUUCAUUGCCUCAAUCCAUAUGUUCUUGGCAAAGUAAUAAGCUAUAAUGACUAUUACAAAUGAAGGACCAUUUAACUUUCCAAUGAGAUUGACAAAAAUGGCCUUAAUUCACAUGUCUUGGAUGCAGUUCAAAUCCCCUAGUUUCGUAGAAGCCAAUUCUAAAUGCACAGUUCAUUUAAAGAAAAAAGUAUCACUACAAAAAAAAAAAAUGCGACUUCAGAGAUGGAAAUUUUCGUCUCUGAUGCCUUAAAUUCCGUCGCUAAUAACUUUCACAAACGGAAUUGAUCGGUUGAAAAAUCCAUCGGUAAUACCCCCGCCGCUAAUUUUAGCAACGAAUUACUUAGAUCGUCGGUAAUUUAGCGACGAAAGAAGCCGUCGGUGUUUACUAAUGGCUAUUUCUGUCACUAAUUAGCAACAAAUUUUUCCGUCACAAAUUACCUACAGAUUCUGUCCAUUGAUGAUUACCAAUGAAUUGUCGUCGUUAUUUCCAUCGCUAAUUUGAAUUAAAAUAUUAAAAAAUAUAUAUGAUUUUUAUUUUAAUAAUUAUCUCUCUACCAAUGCUCAAAGCAGUAUAGCACUAUAGCACAUGAAGCAAACAUUCCAUACUUCAUGCUCCCAACCUUGUAAAACGCAGUAAAAUUGCAAAUGUCAACAGCUCGCUUCUUAAUAAUGACAAAAUGGUAGAGAAAACUGACUUUCACAGCAUUAAUCAUAAUGAACAACGAACUAGAAACUACCGUAAUUGCAGGUUCUACAUCUACUUAUUGAUCUAGGUCGAACAGUUUUGUCAGAAAUUGACACAUAAAAAAGUCCCAAACAGAAAUUAAAUGUAAAAUGGCAAACUCAAAAAGCUAAACAAGAUGCCAAAGAAAAUGGAAGCAUGUAAUGUAAAUCUUGAAGGAAUAAUCUCAAAAUUCAAGCAAACAGCAAACUAUUCCUUUCAAGGACUAUGCUCCGAAGAUGACAAAUUCUGACUCAAACCAAUUGCACACUCAAACUUGCAAAAAAUAAAUUAAUGUGUCAAGAAAUAAAAAAUAGACGAGACAAUUCUUGAGGAAUCUCACCAUUUUUUAAAUCUCGCCAUUUUUUAACUUCACAAAUUCAUUACUACAACAGAAAGCUUUACCUUCAUUUUUUAAACUGCCUAGCUCCACAAAACAACAUUUUUUUAAUAAUCCUAGAAUAAGAACUAAAACCCUAAAUCAAGUAGAAGUGCAUCAAAUUUUCAAUAAUCUUAGAAGUCUAGAACAGAAACUAAAAACCAUAAUGAAACAAGGAAAAGAGAUUCAGUUACCUCAGAAGUCGUACGGCUGUGUGCGUUCCGGAGGCGACGAGGCGUGAGCGUGAGCCUCAGCUUCCAAAUUGAGAUCGUUUCCCCUAUGUGAUGUUGAGUGUGUGCCCAAGGAAAAGAGAAAUCAGAUCCCUAAAUGGGCGGGUUUUCUCAACAUCUGAACUGGGUGAAUGGGGUGGGUGUUGGGGUGAGAGCGAGGGUAUAGAAGAGGAAGAAGAACUGGAAUUAGCCAUGGAUUUCAUUAUGUAACUAGGUUGGAGUAGUAAAGUUUUUGGCUUUACAUCUGUGUCUUUGAGAUAUAAAUGUACAAGAAAACGGUUGAGUUAAAUUUUUAAUAUGAAGGGUUUGGAAGGAAAUGAAAUAUUUGAGUGGGAAUUGGAUGGAGGGAAAUGAAAAUUUUUAGAGGCAAGUCAAAAUUUAUAUGAGAAUUGAAACUUUUUGAAUUUUCCGAUGGAAUUUUUUGUUGAUAACUAUAUAAUGUUUUUAAAAAUUUAAUUUCAAUGUUUACCAACAGAUUUUUUCCGUUGGUAAUUUAUUUUACAAUUUUUAAUUUUUUUUUCCAACGAAAUCAUCCAUUGAGAAAUUUCGUCACUAAAUUAUUUAAUUUAUUAUUUUUAAAUUUUUACCGACAGAUUAGUAACAAAAUUGUAUCAACGAAAAUCUUCCGUUGGUAAUUUUGUCCUUAAUUUAGUAUUUGAUUUUUAAUAAUAAUUAAAGAAUAAUCCGUUGCUAAUUUGUUGUAAUUCCAUCGAUAAUAGCAACGAAAGUUGUCCGUCUAUAAAAUUCCGUUUUUAUUGCCUCAUUUUCUAGUAGUGUAUCCUUCUUGACACCAAAACGAAGGAAGAUUGGCACCGAAGCUGAAACGGAAAGAUUAACACCGAGUUAAAAUAUUUAGUUUUCAUUUGGCUCUUUCUCCAUUCAAAUUUUAUAGGUUAUUUAUCAUUUUGGCGUAUUUUUAGUGAGGUAUUAAAAUUUAAAUAAAGGCAAUGAGGCAUUGUGACCGACAAAAAUCAUUUCCAAUAUCUAAAUUUAGAAUUCUCUUUAACUCAACUUGUUAGCUCUUUUGACUCUUGGAGAAUCCAAUUUAUAGGAGAGACCACUAACGAAAUCCGAACCUUCAACACAAGAAAAUUGAAACUAUAGUAAAAUAGACAAAAUGUUGGAAGAGAUGCAAAUGAAUGGACAAAUAAGUAAACCAUCACUUCGACAAUUGUAUAUGCUCAAAUAAUUUAAGGAUAUUUAAUCACCAAGCCAUAAGAACACAAGCAAUUUUUUAUGCAAAAAAUUUCCCUGAUAAAAGAAAAAAAUCAUGCAAGCUAGUCUAAUCAAGGCCUCCACUAUCAAUCAAAUAAUGGUUACACAAAAUCUUCUCUAGAAGUUACAAUGCAUAUUUCAUAAAGAUAACAAAAAUCUCGACAAUACAAUACGAAAUAGGAAGAAUAUAUAAUACACUUGUGGUAAUUUAUGACACAAACGGACAACAAUUCUCAAACUAAAAAUCUAAUCUCCACUAUUCGGAUUUUAGCAGAGGUCUUGUAACCAUCUUCUCCAAAUUUUAGCUCGAUCGGACACAGAAAAGUAAAGAUCAGACAUUUGAUGAAAUUUCCACCUUUGCUUCAAUGACGACCAUGUCCUCACGCCUCUACUCAAUGACAUCUAAGAUCUUGUACUAGAAACUUUUGAGUCUCUCUUUCUCCUCAGAUGGUGAAUCUCUUUCCACUCGUAAUGCUUUGGUAGGAUCUUAAGGAUUUAGCUAGAAGCUCUCAAGUUCCUCCAAUGGGGUGUCACUCUUGAGGAGGAAAUUUAUUUUAAGGAGAAAAGAUUGUGAAACCCUUGAGGAGAAUUGUGGAACCCUGAAAUUUUACAGACUAAGCACUUUGAGUUUAUUAGCAUAUUACUAGAAAGUUCAAAAACUUGAGUGCAAAUUAGCAAAGUAUUCCGUUGGUGGAGAGAAUAUUAUUAGGAUGCAAACUAAUAAUAAUAUCCAGGACUUGUUAUUUGAGAAAAGACGAGUACGAUGCAUGUUAGCUAUUUAUAGAAUGUUUAAGGACUGAAGUGUAGAUUAUAGAAAAGUUUAAGAAUCAUGAUUUAAAGUUUUUAGAAUAAUGCAGUGAUAUCUCGUAAAUAGAAUAGCUGAUUUUAUUAACUAAUAUCUGAGAUUGGACCCUAAAUGCAAAGGUGCAAAGAUUACGGACUAGAUUCAAGAUAGGAAUCUGUCGAGUCAAGACUGUUUAGUGAUGAGAAGGACCACCAGAUGAUAAGGAUUAUGAUGUGCACACUUUGGAAAAAUUUAAAAUGUUGAAGGAUUAAGUGGAAAAUAAGUUAUGACAUUAAUAUUAUCAUUUAUUUGGGCCAAAUAAUCGAAUAUCGAAGGAGCGAGAAUUACUAAAUAGAUGUUGGCCUCAUCUGGUAACUUAUAAUUAUCAUGCAAAUUAGGCUCGAGAAAGAAGUAAAUUUCGAUAAAAUCGAGCAGUGUUGAAUAACGAAAACUCAUAAGUAAAAAUCGUUAUCAAAGCCCACGUAAGUAAAAAUAUAAAACAUGACUUCAUAACCAAUAAAGAAAUGAUACAUAAUGUAACGAAUAAAAAAAAUUCUUGAGCAUAACGAAUAACUAAACAAUCACUUUAUUAAAACACAAAAAUUUUCAAACGAAAAAAAAAAAAAAGGAAUUUCGAAACAACAUAUUCAAACAUAAAAUCUUUACAACCAAAAUAAUUUGAUUGUCAAAACAUCAAAAAAUCUUAACAUAACAUUAUUAAAAUGUUUUAUUAUCCACCAUUGCAUACUCACCCAAUCUUCAUCUAUCUCAAAUCAUGGAAUAAUUAUUACCUAAAAAAAAUAUCAUAUUUCAUAUGAGAUGAUGAUGUCAAUAAGUGAAAUAACAUAAUAUAAAUAACGGAAGUCCAUGAGAUUUAUGAAUAUACUUGAUGAGACACGAAAUUAUAAAAAACCCAACUUCAUGAUUCUAAAAUCAUGAAGUAGCUCUAUUAAACUCCAUAAUUUCAUAACAUGAUAAUAAUAUUGACUUCUGUAAUUUUAAACAAUGAAAUUCAUAUAUUUCACUUACCUUGAAUUUGAUGAUCCUAUUAGCACGUAGGAGAAUUUUUGAUAAAAAAAAAAAAAUUCGUGUGUGUUUUGGGGGGGGGGGGGGGGGGGGGGGGGGGGUUUGGGGGUGUUUUGGGUGGACCGUGUAUAGUGGACAAGCGUGGUGCUAAUAUUCUUUCAAUCCAUGAUUUAACAAGUUCAACCUUUUUUUCUUGUUGUAUUUUUAAUUGUCUUUAUUUCUUUUAAUUAUGGUAGUUAACAUAUACGUACAUAUUAUAUAUGGUAAUUACCUAAGUUUGCAUCCAAUUAUUCUUUAUCAUAAUAAAAACAUGCAAUAAUUAUUUAUUACCAUGUAUAUAUAUGCUAUAGUCCUUCAACUAUGGAUGGGUAUGAAACUUGGCCCCUAAACUUUCACUAAUAUGCGAUAUGAUCCCUAAAUUAUAGUUGAUGUGUAAAUUUGUCCCUGAAACUUAGUCUCUAUAUAAAUUGGUCCUUAACCUAUGGUUAUCGAGCAACUUGGAUCCUAUACUGAGGUUAAUGACAUGUAGAGAAUUUAGGUUAUUAUAAUCUACCCAUCUAAAAACAAAUUUUCGUCCUCGAAAAUUACCUCACUUGUCUUUGUCUAAUAGCUGGGGAUAUUUGAUUCGCAUUUCAUCCUCAUGUUCCUAAGUUGCUUUUUCGAUUGAAUGAUGUUACCAUAAUACCUUGACCAAUGAUAUUUCCUUGUUGCGACGUGUUUGUAAAUUUUGGGCUAUAGUGUAAAGCGGGACUUCUUCAUAGCUCAAAUUUUGCUGGAUUUUCAAUGGUUCAUGCUUUAUUACAUGACUUGGAUCUGGGACAUAUUUCUUGAGUGUAGAUGCAUGGAAGACAUCAAAGCUAGUUGAUAUGAUACAUUUCCAACUCGUCUGAGUAUCUCGAAGGGUCUGAUGUACCUCAGACGAAGUUUUACGUUUCAGUUGGGGCGACUUUCAAAAAUACGUGAUCACCAAUGGCAAAUUUUAGGUCUUUUCAUUUUCUAUCCGCAUAGCCUUUCUGUCUGUCUUGGACGGUCUUGAUACUAGCUCGGAUCUUUUCAAUGGCCAGAACUGUUUGAUUCACAAUUUCAGGCCUUAAUAUCUUAUGCUCACCAACUUCAUCCUAAUGGACGGCGAUCUGAACUUUCUCCUAUAUAGGGCUUCAUAUGGUUGCCUGAUGUAGACUUUUUCAAAAGUUCGAUGUAAACCUUAGGUCUCUGUCUGAUGCAAUCGAGACUAGAACACCAUGCAGUCUUACCACUUCUUAACAUAUAAAUGUGAUAAUUGGUCCAUAGAAAAGUCAUCCAGACAAGCAAGAAGUGAGUUGCUUUGGUCAAUCUAUCAACUAUUACCCAAAUGGCCUCAUGACCCUUCACUCCUUGAUGAAUGUUGAUGUUUGGCCUUCACUUGUUGACAUACAAGGCAUCUCUCAAUAAACUCAACUAUGUCUUUCUUCAUAUUCUUCCACCAAAAAUACGGCUUUUAGGUCACGAUACAUCUUUGUAUUUCCUGGGUUUACUGAAUAAGGCGUGGUGUGGGCUUCUUCUAGAAUCUCAUUUUUCAAUUUCUCGAAGUCUGGUACACAUAAACGUCCUUGAUAAUACAAUGAUUUGUCAUAGGUUACGGUAAAUCCUUUCCAUUUUCUAUAUCAUUCUCGGCUUUAAUAAAUUCGAAUAAUUGAUCGCCUUUCUGGUGGUCCUUGAUUCUAUCACAGAGUGUCGAUCGAAUCGAGAGUGCUAUUAUUCGAGUUGCAGUUUUCGAUGGGGGUUGUGACUACUUUGAGGCCCAAUCUUUCAAAUUCCUUAUAUAGAGGUUUCUACGCUGUUGACAUUGCCAAAUUGUCUAUGGUUUUCCUACUCAAAGUGUCUAAUACUACGUUUACCUUUCCUGGAUGGUAAUGGAUUUCACAAUCAUAAUCCUUUACCAAUUUAACCAUUUUCUCUGCCUCAUGUUCAACUCCUUUUGAGUGAAAAUGUAUUUGAAACUUUUAUAAUCUGUAUAAAUAUCACAUUUCAUACAAGUAGUGUCUCCAAAAUUUCAAAGCGUGUACAACUGCUGCGAGUUUUAAGUCAUGUGUGGGGUAGCUAUGUUCAUUAGGUUUCAAUUAUCUAGAUGCAUAGGUGACUACCUUCCCUUGUUGCAUCAAAACACACCCUUGCUUGGAUGCAUCUCUGUAUAUCACGAAACUUUAUGAUUCCUCAGGUAUAGUACAUUAAGUAGCCUUUUUUCAAUUCUUCAAAAUUACGUUCGCAUUUCUCAGUCCAUUCGAAUUUCGAACCCUUAUGCAUCAACUAAGUCAAGAGUCUUGAUAUUUUAGAAAAUCCUUCUAUAAAUCUUCUGUAGUACCCUGCUAAAUCCAGAAAGUUGCGAACUUCUCCCACAUUGGUUGGUCUCAACCAGUUUAACACCGCUUCUAUCUUACUUGGGUCCACUUCAAUUCACUGGGCUAUGACCACGUGUCCAAGGAACACAACUCGUUCUAACCAAAAUUCGCACUUUUUGAAUUUGGGGUAAAGUUUCUCAUUCUUCAGAAUUUGUAACACAACUUUUAAAUGUUCUUCAUGCUCCCUUUCAGUCUUCGAGUAGAUCAAUAUAUCAUCAAUGAAUACAAAAACAAAUUGAUCUAGAUAUUCGUGAAACACAAGAUUCAUCAAAUCAAUGAAUACUAACGUCAGGACAAAAGGCAUAACUAAGAACUCGUAAUGGCCAUACCGAGUUCUAAGGCUGUCUUCGAGAUAUCACUAGCUUUUAUCCUCAACUGAUGAUAUCCUGACCUCAUAUCGAUCUUUGAGAAUAACGUCGUGCCUCGUAAUUGAUCAAGCAGAUCCUCAAUUCUACGAAGUUGAUAUUUAUUCUUGAUGGUGAUCCAAUUCGAUUCUCGGUAGUCGAUGCACAUUCAUAUAAAUUCAUCUUUUUUCUUAACAAACAACACUGGCACUCCCAAGGUGACACACUGGGUCUGAUAAAGCCCUUUUCUAAUAAUUCCUCGAUUUGUGUUUUCAAUUCCUAUUGUUCCUUUGGUGCCAUUCUGUAGGGAGCUUUAGAAUUACGAGCAGAACCGGGAGUGAAAUCAAUUGUGAACUCUACUUCCCAUUCUGGAGGCAUUCCAGGUAAGUCUUCAGGAAAGAUUUUCGAAAAUCACCGUACUACUUUGAUGUCUCCGAUUGUCUACACUUUAUCUUCUUUGGCUAGCACCGACAUUAAGAACCCUAUACAUCUUUCUGAAUUUAAAAUUUUUCGGGCCUUUUAGGCAGAAAUGACUUUGGGUAGGGAUUUUGCUUUGUGCACUGAAAGGCGAAGUUUCUACUCCUCCACGCCAUCUAAAAAUUACUUCCAUCUCAAAGAAUAGAAUUGUUGCAUGGUUAUUUGAAAGCCACUCUAUUCCUAGGAUUAUGUCGAACUCACGCAUGUCCAAGAAGUAUAAGUUCAUGUCCAAGAUUUUACCAUCAAUUGUCUACCCAUACUAUCUUUACUAUGUGACUUAUGUUAAGUACAUCCCAUGAAGGAAUGACAACCUCCAGUGAUGCAUUGGCUUUACUAUUUAGAUCUAUUGUGCUUAUAAAUUUUGGCGAUAUAAAAGAGUGAGUGGAACCAGAAUCUAUCAAAACAUAUGCGGGAGAACUAGAUAUGAGAAUGUUACCUGACAAAACAUUUCGGCUGGUAUCUUUCUCACAUUCAGCAUGGGCAUAGACCCUGGCUUGCCCUUUAGUGGAUUCCCAAGUUUUCAUUGUUGUGGUGGUUGCCUUGGCUUCCGAUUGUUAGGGUAAAACUUUGCCACGUGACUUGUCUCUCCACAAUAAAAGCAUAUAUUGGUUCCCAUGAGUCAUUUCCCAGCGUUGUACUUUUGAUACUCGUCACAAAUUGGAUUCUCCAAAUAUUUGCUCGAAGGUGACACUCCUUUUCCUUUCAUUUUUCUUGAAGUUGGCCAACUGUGCCUUCACCAGUACUUCGUGGUAUGUACCCAAUUCAAAGCUAACCACUGAUUGUAAUCAUCAUGUAGACUUUGUUCAAAGCGUCUCGCUUUCUUUUCCUCCAUAUUAAACAAUUGUGGGGCAUAGCGAGAUAGUUCCUCAAACUUCCUUUCAUAAUCUGCUAGUGUCAAGUUUCCUUAUCUGAACACCAAGAAUUCCAGUUCUUUCUGGUUUCAAAUAUUUGGUGGGGAAGUAUUUUUAUAGGAAUAACUCUUUGAAUUCAUUCAACAUUUAGCCUUGUCUAGCUACUGUAUACCUGUUGGUCAUUUCCCACCAGUGUCUUAAUUCUUUAUCCAGCAUAAAGGUUGUACAUAUUACCUUCCUAGUUUCGAGGCACUCAACAAUUUCAAAGAUCCAUUUUUGCUUGCUUUUUUAUCUUCUGUCGCUAGUGGAUCCGUGCCUUCCUCAAAGCUAGAGGAUUGUAGCUUAUGAUAUUGUUCUACUAUUGUAGCCACACUCCUCUUUAUAGGUGAUGGUGCAACAGGCAAUGUUGCGGGUGUCACCAUGUUGCAUAUCGCUUCAAGAAACUACAUAAAUUGAUCAUUUUGGUUGUGAUUGUUGCCAUUGUUCGUUUCAAUUGCUCCGGUCUAGGGUUGACCAUCCCUUUGUUUAUGUUUCUAGAGUGAGUUGCUAUAACCUUGAUAAAAUGCAAACAUAAAAUCAUUUAACUACUAGAUUGCGAAUAAGAGAAAAGAAAGUAAAUAUUUUUUUCUUCGUCAAUCUCAAUAACUUGCAUAAACUAAAUGAAUUCAUGGUAUCCUAUACAUCCACUUAUUUAAAUAAAAUUUAAUCCAAACAUGACAAUCAUAUAUAAUUUUCUAUCAUCUAAAAAUUUCCCCCAGCUCCCUCAUCUCGCCCUACCUCUUGAUUUUCCCUAAGGUUGUUUCCAGGGUUCUCCUUAGGGUCUUCUUUGGGGUCUUUUUAUCUUCCUCUAUCACUUCUCGAAUAAUAUUACCCCUUCUGUCAACUGCUAGUACACUAGGGAAAUUGCCAACAAUAGAUGGGCUAUGUGGACGAUGGCGAUGGGGUUCAUAUCCCAAUGGUCUUUCAAUAUUCUUAGUGUCUUGAGUGUUAAUAAUCCAUCUAUCCCUCAAGCAUGCAAUCAACAUGGCAGGGACAGUUUGGUAUUCGAAAUUUCCUCAUGCCUCUCAAUAAACCAUCACUAGUAAGGGCUAAGCAUUCUAUAGAGACGAUAAACGAUCUCAUCCCUACGAAACUUGUGUCCUUUAUUAUCGGCUCCCAUGAUGAUCCUCUCUUUGGCAUCUAAAUGUUCCAAUAGAUUGUGGUUGGGGUUCCUCGCGUAGGUCCUAUGCAAUCUGAGAAACAUCUCACGUCUUCGAGCCUAGUCCCUAGCCAAUUGUGACCAUCCAUUGACCAUCUAGGAAAGUAAACUUUAUAUUAAUUGACGUUCUAAUGUAAAUCGAUAUACACUAAGCUAGAUAUCUACAUAAUGUCUAAAUAUAGUUCCUGAACUAUGAUCUUUCUUAAAAUAUGGAUCCUCAAAGUGUAGAUUUCUAACUUAGUAAUGUUCGUGUUGUGGCACAAAAAUAGAAGUUGUUAAUAGUCUCUCUAAAAGAAGAAUUUCCAAAUUUAGAAAUUUUCUUGAUUGGGUACUCUUCUAUUUCUAAACUAGAUGUUUCUUUAGUCUUCAUAAACCUACACUUUCCAGAAUAGGAGAAACUUUCUAUAAUUAAAUAUUGAUUUGUAAUUAUGCACAAUUUAUUAAAAUAACCAUUCCCAAUUAAUUUAUGCAUAAUUUCGUGCAUAUUCAUUUAUGUGCACAUAAUCAUGCAUUUACAUAUAAUUUUCAUAAAUUUGCAUGUUAUCAAACAAUAACACAUGUAGUUCUACCUGAUUUGAGACACCAAAGAUUAGAACAUAGCAUCACACAAUGGUGGCCUUAACAGUCCUCAAAUAUUUUAUUAUUUUUAUUAUUAUCAUUUUAAAAAAAAUAAAAAAAGACAUGCAUGUGUCACUAUUCACGGUAGAACAAACCCCCCUUUUUAAAAAAAAAAUAAAAAUAAAUGCUUGCGGUGAAUAGUGACUAAGCUCACUGUCCACCUUGAACAGUGCAUGCAGUCACUGUUUACUGUUGAAACAUAACUCCUUAAAAAAAAAAAAAAAAGCCCGCAUCACUGUUCACGAUGAACAGUGCAUGUGGUCAUUGUUAAAAUAGAAUAUUGGUCUACAGAAAUGUAAACUUGCUCUGAUACCAUUUUGUAACGAACAAAAAAAAUUCUUGAACAAUCACUUUAUUAAGACAUAAAGUUUUCAAAAGAAAAAAUAAAAAUUUCGAAACAAUAUAUUCAAACUUAAAAUCUUCACAACCAAAAUAAUCUGAUCGUCAAACUAUAAAUAAAUCUUAACAUAACAUUAUUAAAAAGUUUAGCCACCAUUGCAUGUUCGUCCAAUCUUCAUCCAUCUCAAAUCACGGAUUAAUUAUUAACUAAAAAAAAAUUCAUAUUUCAUAAUGUGAUGAUGAUCUCAAUAAGUGAAAUAACAUAACAUGAAUAACAGAAGUCCAUGAGAUUUGUGAACGUAUCUGAUGAGACACGAAAUUAUAAAAAAUCGAACUUCGUGGUCCUAAUUUCGUGAGUAGCAUUACUAAACUCCAUGAUUUCAUAACAUGAUCAUAAUAUUGACUUCUGUAAUUUUGAACAAUGAAAUUCAUAUAUUUCACUUACCUUGAAUAUGUUAAUUACAUUUUUGGUUCUUGGUAUGAUUAAAUAAAAAAAGGAAAGUCUCCUAAUUGAUUCUUUUAAUUGUGGUAGUUAACAUAUACGUACAUAUUAUUUAUGAUAAUUACUUUUUUGAUUUUUUUGGUAUAAUUAAAUAAAAAGGAAAAUUUCCUUAAUUGAUUCUUUUAAUUAUGGUAGUUAACAUAUACGUACAUAUUAUAUAUGGUAAUUACCUAAAUUUGCAUCCAAUUAUUCUUUAUCAUAAUAAAAACAUUCAAUAAUUAUUUAUUACCAUGUAUAUAUAUGCUAUAGUCCUUCAACUAUGGAUGGGUAUGAAACUUGGCCCCUAAACUUUCACUAAUAUGCAAUAUGAUCCCUAAAUUAUAGUUGAUGUGUAAAUUUGUCCCUGAACCUUAGUCUCUAUAUUAAUUGGUCCUUAAACUAUGGUUAUCGAGCAACUUGGUCCUUUACUUAGGGCUUGUUUGAGCCAAAUUAGUUUCAAAAAAAUACAUUCUUCAACAGUGAUUCAACAUCAUUUCAAUCAUACAUUCUUCAAUAAAAUAAUAUUACACGUAAAUCUAAAAUUUUUCUUUAUUUUUUAACCACAUAUUUCUUAUUGAUUUGAUAUGAAUAAUGCAUUUUUUCCUAGAUUGUGGCUCAAACAAGGCCUUAGUUUAAUGACAUGUAGAGAAUUUUAGGUUAUUAUACAUAAGCAGGUAAAUAAAAUGUGAAAUCAAAAUAGAAUCUAUUAGAGAUCAAUCGAUUAAUGGUUGUUGGCUGCUCACUAACUAAAAUGACACUUCACCCUAAAUCCCGAGUCGAAAUCUAUAAAUAGGCAUGCUUCAGAUAGAGAAGUAUAUGAUAAAUUUGAAAUAGGUUAAUUCCUCCCAAGUAGCCAUUACUCUUCUUGCUCUCUAUUGAAUAGUAAAAUAGUGAGUUUAGGUGAGGAAAAUCCUGACUCCAUGAGGGGAAUUCGUUGAUAAUCAUUUAGUAAAUAAAUUGGCACAUUUUGUAGGAAACUAGGACAAAGAUAACCACAAUGUCAUUUUUUUAGCAAGAGAAUCAUAAGAAUUUGGAUAGAAAUGAAUAAAGCAAAGGUAAGUGUGUUGGAGAUCUAAAUCAAAAAACAUAGUGAUGGUCUAGUCAAAAGUGACGCAAGUCCAAAGUGGCAGUGAGAUAAAACUCUAGUGAAAGCUCAUUGAAAAACUAUUGUACGUGCCACCGCCGAAGCUGCAAUGCUUCACCUUCGUCUGUUGCCGUCGCUGCCACGUGCCCACCACCAGAGGCGCCUCCACUUGCUGGUUAUGAAUUCAAUCUCCAUUCGUCGAACGGACGUCUCGUUUAGCUGAAAACAAGAUUUUCAAAUUUAGUUUAAGGAGAAAAUCGCAUGUCUCUUCACGAUUUUGAUAGGUUUUUGGUCAAAGUUUUCUCCCUUUUGCUGUGAUACAUGAUGUAAAGUGAAAACCCACAUUAACCAAGGUAAUAAUGGGCUCAAUUUACUACCAAAAUCAAAACCACAAUCGAACAAGACCAAACACCCCAACCGGAUUUCUUUCCCUUCACGGUUGCUAGUCAAUUCCAAUAAAGAGACCACAAAAGAAAGUCGAUAUCUCACAAAGAUCUACCACAAAGGUAGCAAACCGAAAAUGGACAAAGAGAUGAAGAAGAAUAAGGCAGCGGAGUCACAAACACGACUUGAAGGCAACAAGAGGACGGUCCAUUUAACCAAGUGGGACAACUAAUUAAGGUAAGUUAGGUUAUGUUAAGGUAGUGGUCCAAAAGACCCAACACAAAAGAGUAGUGGGCUUCUAAAAUGGUUUCCAUUGCUAAGCCAUCCAAGUAAAUCGGCCAGGCCACGAGAAACUCUACUAAACUAGGUCGCUUCAAGUGGCCCAUCCAAAAUUGGGGUUUGGUCGUCUCUUUUGGGGUGCCAAUAUAUCGUUGAGUCAUUUGGUCUAAGCCCACUAAAAAUUAAAACCGAGUUCAUGGCCCAGGGAAGUCGUUUGACAAUAAAUUGUCAAACAAAAAGUUACUGUUUGAACGGCUAAUAAAUGCCAGACCAUAAAGAGAAUGCUUGCCGUUUUACAAUUUUGGAUACAAAUUUUUGUAUAUCUUUUUAAUUCAGUGCAAUUUUGAUUGUGUAUAGCUUCAAAAAUUCGUUAGCACUUAAAAUGUUCGAGAAAAGUUCUUAUUUCAAGACCACGGUAUAAAGUUAAUUGUUUUCUUUAUUGUUAGUUGGUACACGCUUACAUAAUAUGGGAGAAACAAUGAUCCUCUUGAUCGCACGUUGGACUUGAGUUUGAGUCUUUAUAGUGCACAACUUUACGCCCUUUUUGAUGAACGCUGAAUAUUAACGUAGGUCUAAAAUGUAAGCAAACGCAUGACCCAAAAAAAGAAAAAAUAAAUAAAUAAAUAAAUCCUUUCUUCAUAAAUAAUCUUGUAAUAAGUGGGUCUAAUUGAUGAGACGGGUAUGGUAUAACUAUUUCUCACUUUGACAGACAAUUAAAACGUGAUAAUUUUUUACUUAAAUGUCUCUUAAACUUAGACAAACCUAAUAUUAAUGACAUGCUUUUACUGCUUAACUAUGCUGACGUCCAUAUUUAUCAUCGGCUAGUAAUUAAAUGAAUCAUAUAUUUAUCAUCUUAUCAUAUAACAUUAUAUUUAAGUGAAUUUAUCAUUUAAUAGUCAUGCAAUUGCUAAAUAACAUAUUAACAUUACUUGAGGAAAUGGUGGCAAAUAGGCAAAAAAAACAUAUAAUUUUCCAAAAUGGCCGUUGACCACUGUUUAAAAAAAAAAAUUGUAAAAACUUUAAAAACAAUGAAAACCCAAAACUGCCCCUGAUAAGAAAAUCUGAAACCGACGACAGGAGAGAAAGAAGGAAAGGAAAAGAAGGAAACCGACGAGUUUUUCUUGGAAGAAGACCAACCGGCCACCAUUAGAAGCGAAGAAAUUAAGUUUUGCAUAAUUUUUCCCCCAUUAAUCUUUGUUAAAGGUUUAUUUUGUUGAAAAUAGUGGUAGAAAUCAUUGUAAAAUAUGUAAAAAUAGUAAAAACGUUAAUUUUUUAAGGUUUAGAUGCUGGAGAUCACUGAAAAUGACGAUCUCCGGCAAGGGAGCCAUCUUAUGGGGAAGACGGCUAUGCCGUUUGUUCCGUCGGUUAACAGACGGCUUAACCGACUUAACAGUCGUCUGUUAACAGACAGCGUAUCUAUUAACAGACGACUUCUGUUAACAGACGACGUGUCUGUUUUAACUUUUUUUUUUAAUAUCUUUAAAUAAUCAAAAUACGCAAGUAAAAUUUAAUAACAGAUAUAUUGAAAGAAAUUUAACAUUUUAAAUAAAUAAUUAAAUAUUUACGUUUACUUGUUCAAUAAAUAAUUUAAAUAAUUAAAUAAUUUAAAUGAACAAUUGAAAUGAAAAAUCAAUGGAAUAAAUAAUUAAUUUCUCACAAAAAUAAAUAAUGGACAUGUAAAUAAUAAUUAAAUGAUUAUUUAAAUGAUAAAUAAAUAAAUGUUAUUAAUCAACCAAUUAAAAUUUAAUUGAUACAAAUUUCUAACAUUUGAAUUAAAUAAUUACGUUUGCUUGUUCAAUAAAUAAUUUAAAUAAUCUUUCCAUAUAAAUAAUUAAAUCAAAUAAUUUAAAUGAACAAUUGAAACAAAUAAUGAAAAAUAAUUAAUUGAAAUGCACAAAAAUAAAUAAUGAACAUUUAAAUAAUAAUUACGUGAUUAUUUAAAUGAUAAAUGAAUAAAUGUUAAUAUUGAAAAUAUUAAUUAAAGUUUAAUUGAAAAAAAUUUCUAACAUUUGAAAUGAUAUUAUUAAAUAUUUACCUUUCCUUGUUCAAUAAAUAAUUUAAAUAAUCGAUUCAUAUAAGUAAUUAAAUCAAAUAAUUUAAAUGAACAAUUGAAACAAAUAAAUGAAAAACAAUUGGAUAAAUAAUUAAUUGAAACACACAAAAUAAAUAAUGAACAUUUAAAUAAUAAUUAAAUGAUUAUUUAAAUGAUAAAUGAAUAAAUGUUAAUAAUCAAAAUAUUAAUUAAUGUUUAAUUGAANNNNNNNNNNNNNNNNNNNNNNNNNNNNNNNNNNNNNNNNNNNNNNNNNNNNNNNNNNNNNNNNNNNNNNNNNNNNNNNNNNNNNNNNNNNNNNNNNNNNNNAAAAAAAAAAAAAAAAGAAUUCUUCUUCUUGUUGUUGUUAUUUUUUUAGGUUAUAUUUAGUUUAUAUUCAUCAUUCCAAAUUAAAUUAGCAUAAACUCGCAUGUACUCAUAUUGGAAAUUAUUCUUCUUUUUCAUUUUCAAGCAAAAUGGAAACAUUUUACAAAACGAGUAGGAAAGGAUAUUAAAAGAAGAUAAAGGAACAAGUACUAAAUGAAAAACAUUAUAUACACGAGUAUUGCUAACCCUUCGUUAAGCAUAUUUUGUACACACAUUGAGGAUAAUGUGUAUUUUAAGUUUGGAGGCGUAGAUUAGUUAGUUUUAUUUGCUUGUUUGUGUGAUAUGUUUAAAAAAAUUGAAAAAUUGAAAGAAAAUGUUUAAAGUUUUCUUACUUUAUAUGUAUUUUUGUGAGUUGGGCUUAGCCGACUAAUUGAAAUUAUUUAUGUUUCAUAAAUUAUGAAUAGGAGAUACAAUUAUGAAUAGUAGAUUGUUUGAAACAUUAACCAUAUAACACAAUUUCAAGAUCAUUUGAAAUGAUAAUUUGGAAGUGGUUAAACUAAUGUUAGAAGCUACUUAAAUAGCUGUUGAUUCUGUGCAUGUAAACAAUUUUGUGGAGUGCUUUUUACUAACAAGGAGAACCAUGGCAGGAAUCAUAAGCCAAAUCAAUCCCAAUUAUUCAUCUAAAAAAUGGUAUUGCAUCGGUCAUGGAAGAAUGUGGUGAAAGUGUAGGAAAAAAUGGCCUCAUAUGGCAGUUAUAAUAGAUUAAAAUCGGUAUUUGACAUGUCGUUUACACUAUCAAUGACUAAAGGAAAUAGCUGCCGACAAGUGAGCUAAAUAUUAGAAAAAUCUAAUAAAAAAGAGUGAAAAUAGAGUCAUGUAGAAGGAAAAAAAUCAUAUGUAUACCUAUCUAUGUGCUUAUAUACAGUGAAAACGAAAGUCUGGCCUAUCAUUUUACACUAUAAUUCAUCAAGUGGCUGCUCCUAGGAGUACAUAUGGUCAAAUUAAUUAUGAACUGGUAGAUUGUGCGAGACAUAACAUAUUUGUAUUAUAAACUCGAUUGAUGGCGUGUUGAUCACAUCAUCCUCAUGGGUUCUUUUUUGUGUAGUUUGGAAGUGUAUGUACCCUAUGUUCAGCUGGACAAUGCAAUUGCUAUCUACCCAGCCUGAUUUUCCAGAUUUUUCUUUGAGGCUUGCUGAUUCUGGAAUGUACUCCCAAUCUUUGUGAUAUACUGAACAAUAGUGUGAUUUUUCCCAUAACCUUCAACUACUGGUGUAGAUUGGUGUACCAUAUGUACUUUCAGACUGAGGCUAUCCAUCGUCUUUGUUAUGAUCUCCAAAAUGUAUGAACAAAUUUAAUAACUUGACGUAUACAGUUUCAGGGAGAUGGCCUCGUAUCAGAUUGUUGGCUAUUUUCGAUUGACAUUGUAGAUGAUGAAUGUUCGAGUUCAUACCGUGAAAGAGAAUGGAGAGGGAGUGAUGCUAUAACUGAUCAAAUGAUUUUUAAAAGGGGGGAAUAGAUUUGGACGAAGAUGUCCCUGUUUAAAUUGGUCAAGAUUUGCCUUUUUCACAUUUUGAGGUCAACGAGCUGCUGCUACUUUGGACUGCAUCUGGGAUUGGGACCUAUGGUGACACAAACUGAAAGUUGAGGUAAAGUCUACAAAAAAUAAAAAGGUUUGCAAUAGCAGCUGAUAUUUUUCCCAAUAAAUUUUCAAUAAAAUCUUAGUUGAGCUAUUCCUGAUUAAUAAUCUUUGCAUAGCAUACCAAUUUAUCAUUAUGUCAUUCUAUAAAAGUAUAAACAAAAGGGCAUGCAUUUUAACAUUUUAAUAUAUUGACAUUAUUGUAACUUUCUAAUAUUUUUUGUCAGUUUAGGAGAUGAUAGUGAUGAACUGAGAUAAAACGGUGAAGUUUGAAACGUAAUUGAAGUUUUAAUGAUAGUAUUGAGACAAUUAAAAUUUAAUGAACUAAUUGAAAUUUCAUUUUAAAAGUUUUGUGACCGAUAAUGAAAUUUACUAUGCUUCAACUCAAAACAAGAAUAUGCAGUAGAAAACAAUAAACCGAAGUCUUCGAAAAUAUGUCAGAUUGUCUGAAUUAGAUUUAAUACUUUCUAGGAUUUAUUUUCAAAUGAAAAACAUGAUUUUUGCAAUUACAACACACUUUAAUAGUUUCAAUUUUGAAGACCAAAUGUUUCAUGCAGACACUUAAAAUUAAUACGGUAACCCCACCAUGUGCAUGGCAAUUUUUUUUUUUUUUUAAUACAUUAUUUGCUUUUUAUUUAUUAUGAAAUUUCAUCUUUUAGCCAUUAUUGCCUACGUGGGCCAUGCAGGUACUCUUCAUGUUACCAAGGUAGCUCUUGCCAUUCCGAUAGGAAAGGAGGCUUAAACUAAAUGGAAGUCCCACCAAUAUUUUUUUUUUUUUACCUUAAAAUUUUAGAUGAGCGGCAAGAUCUAGGACUUUCAUCUCCGUAAUCUAUCACUUGUAACAAAUCGAAGCUACAAUAUUCACCAAUUAAUUUUAGACUAUAUUCUACCUGUGUGAAGUUCUUUGAUACACAUAUACAUUCGAUCAAGUAUAACUCUGUACACUUCCAAUUGUUCCUUAGCCGUCUAGACCAGAUUAUUUGGAGUCAGAAAACUACAAUUAAUCGAGUUUGGAAGUUCUUUUCGAUGAGUAUGCCUCAUAGGUAUAUAAUCAGUGUAAUAUUUUCAAGGUAUUGCGAGACUAUUUUCAACAUUAGUAAAGUACUCUAAAAUUUUCAAAUAAGAUUAAAAGCUUAAUUAGAACAAUAAUAAAUUACCAAUCUGAAAAUUUUAUAAUCACCCAUUCUAAAAGCUUAUUUAGUUGUGAAUUGGAGAUGGAAAAAUAUAUGUUUAACAUGAUCUUCAUGUGUAGCUCAUUUUGAUUUUUCUAUCAACGACCCUCAAAUGUUGAAAUCUAGAUUAAUUUGAAGUUUAAACACUUUGAAAACCUUCAGAAAUCUUCAAAAGAUUUCCAAAUUGGUGUAAUUUUUAUUAAAGUUUUGUUACCUAGAGAAAACUUUAAAAUAUUUGAAAACGUGGAUUUAAGAAUUACAAUUAUAGUGGACUUUUUGUGGCGUCAACUAAGAAGUAACCUAAUUAUUAUGCUACAAUAAAUUACACAGAUCUCUGUCCAAUUAAUAGUUUUGAAAUUAUUUAAAUUGUUUGUGGAGUCAACUGGAGUCCAAAUCUCUGUUCCAACUGUCUAAUCAUCUCGAUAAACUUUCUUGAAAUUGAAUUAUUCCAUGGCGAGCCGAUAUGGGAUAUCCUAUGAAUAAAGCCACCUAGCCAAAUUUAGUUAAAAUAAAAAAUAAAAAAUUACAGAUUGAUUUGAUAGCAAAUGAUUUGUAUUUUUUGUUUUAAUUUUUCAUACUGUCCAAUCGCGCGUCGACAUGUGUCCUACAUUUGUUUGAACUUGUUUUUGAACCUGUAUCUGUAGCAUAAUUGUAAACCUAACCCAAUUCCAAACUUGAUUUAUAUAUUCUCUUGUCAAAUUGCAUUCGCCAAUGAAACAACUAAGGAUUUCCUUUGAGUAUAAGAUUGUAUCUUAGUUGUAAAUUUGUAAUCACAAGAUCCUUCAAAACUGUGUUUGUAGAUGGAGUCAAUCAAACUUCAUUACUUAAAGAAGCCAUCAGUAUCAUGUGAGUUUCCAUUAAUAAAUCGACCAAAUCUUCUUGUUUCAGAGUUAUCUUAGGUUGAAACUCCAACCGAAUGUGAUAUUCAAAAGGGGUUGGGGUAGUAUAAAGAUCAUAGUAAACAAUAAUCUGUUUAAUUUUUAACCCUAUGCAAAAAAUUAAAGAUCAUGUUAUUGUUUAAUUCUGGAUUAACGUAAAAUCUGUGUAGCUUGAGGACUUUUGGGGUAAAUUUUCCCAUCGAUAUUUAUACCAAAUCCAAAAAUGGCCUCGUGGUAUUAUAUUCUAAUAUCCACGAUCAUGUUACAUAGUGACAAUUCCAGAAUUAAAGAUGGUAACAAUAACAUUGCGGUAGAAUUUCCAUCACAAGGAUAGAAGGGAAGCACCAUGUUUAUUUUUUGAAAACCGUGGAAUACGAACAAAUUCAAGGGCCAGAUGGUGUAGGAGUGGUGCCACCAACCGGAUUCGGCACCUCCACCCCGGGAUUAGGCACGAAUGUGUCGUCUCCACCAGGAAUAUUGCUGCCACCGGUCGAACCACCAAAAUUGGGGAUAGAUAAACCAUUUCCUCCAUUUGUACCAGUGAUAGGAUUGUAGGUAAACGGAUUGACUAUGGUGCCUGUCCUAGGGACCAUGUAGCGGCCUAAACCUGGAAUCAGCACCGUGCCAUCAUGGCCGAACGUUUGAGGCUGCUUUUUAUCUUCAACUUUCGAGUCCUUGGGGAUAUCGCGGCCUGCAAAAGCAUAUCCCGCUGUAGAGAACACAAUGCUGAGCAUGAAAAGGAAAGAGAGUACUCCACAACGAGCAUUGGAACCCAUUCUUUCGAA